CUACUUGCACAUACGUAACACCUCCGUCGUAGGAAUAAGUGUUUCGGCUUCGUAACAACAAUGUUCCUUCAAUCCCAAACACACCAUCCUUUUCAGUUUUGUACACAUUCGGGGUGCGAAAGGUGAGUGAGUAUGCGUUCUGAGAGAGGAUCUCAUCGCCUCCAGUGUAGUAGCCAGUGUGGAGUCGGGGAAAUGAUGAGAGGGCAGGUUCAAAUUUGUUCAGAGUCGAUUCGGGGACUAUAGAAUUGCAAUGAUCAGAAUAAGAUAUCUGAGUUGCAGAUGAUAGGACCGAGUUUAAACAGAAAGCUGUUAAGAAAAAGGAAAUUAAUAAAGUACGAAGCCACUGAAACGCAGAGGAGUUCAUGAUCAUAGUCGUCGAAAAAAGAUGAGUAUUCAACCUUCUGUUAUGCCAAGAAAACAUAUAGUCUUCUGGGGCACUGAAAUCUCCUCUUUACUUAUGCACUCUCAAUCAAAACUGGAGACAAAUUCUAUUGCGUAGAUAGCAAGUCACUAUUUUUAUUUUAUUUUUUCUUAUAGAUGGAAACGAAAAUGACAGCUUCAAUCAAGACAUGGAAAUUACCGCAAGCCAAACUACACAACAAAUGUAUUUCCUUUUAAGUUCAUUAUCCAAAGACAGCUUUUUCAAAGCUAGUGCAUAGUUUUUGGGUUUUGAAAGUAUAUUUGAAAGCAAUCCAUAGAAAAUAAACAUAAAAAGAUAAUAAAAAAAUUGCCGGCUUGGUGAGGUUUAUAGCGCACUACUUUCUUUUGAUCGUUUCCGUUUGUUUCCUAGCUGGAAUACUAACAAGAAGUACGUCAACACAUGUCAAGUGCGGGUAAUAUUUUACAAAGAUUAAAAAGAGUUCAUUAACUUGAAUUUUCUGUUGGCUAUUUCAUUAAUUCCUGAAGAACCAUUCUAUCAUUUUAAUAUUUACGAAAAAUGAUAUCUACACUCCCAAGGUUGGAGGAAAUAAUGGUAUAGACCCUUAAAUUUUUAAUAAAAGACACUAAGCUCCCUCUUUUGAUUGUUAUACUCUUUGUAAAUAGUAAUUAAAAAAAUUGACCUUAAAUUUUUUUAAUAAAUAUAAAUAUAAUUUAAAUUGUUUAAUUUGUCAAGUAGACUAAUAAUAUUAGAAUUUUUUUGAUACAUAAAAUAAUUUUUAAAAUGUAAUUAUUAAAUUUAUUUUAAUAAUACAUUUGUGUUUAUUAUAAAAAUUUUAAAUAAAUCUUUGUGUUAAAUAGAUUUUACAAUUAAUAAAAUAUAUCUCAUGUAUUAAUAAUAUUAAAAUUAUUUUAUGUAAUAUGAAAAAUUAUUUAAAUAUUUUAUAUAUUUAUUUUAAUAUUAUGUUUCUAUAUAUUAUAGGGAAAAGGACUGUUGGGUCCCCAAUGUUUGGAAAAAAGAACAUGAAAAGCCCUAAUUUUUUUUAAAAAAAUGGAAGUCAUUUUUCGGUUAAUAAUUCCUUUUAUUUUAAUAAAAAGGAUAAUAUUGUACAUUUACAAUAAAAAAUACAUAAAAAAUAACUAUUAGGACCCCAACGUUAGGGGAAAGGGAUAUAAAAUUUCAUAAUAUUUAAAAAACAAAAGACAUAUAACCCCUUCCCAUUAAUAAAUUUUACUUAUUUUAAUUAAGAAAGGGUAAUAUUAUUAUUAUCAUCAUCAUGAUCAUCGUUAUUGUUAUUUAUUAAUGUCACUAAUAUUAUAUUAAUAAUAAUAUUAUUAAAUUUUAUUGAUUUUAAUAUUUUAUCAUCAUCAUCAUCACUAUUAUUAUUGAUAUUAUUAUUGUUGUUAUUAUAUUAUUACAAAAUUUAUUAAUUUUAUUAUUUUAGUUAUUUGUUGUUGUUGUUGUUGCUGCUAUUAUUAUUGUUAUUGUUAUCAUCAUCAUCAUCAUCAUUAUCAUCAUUAUUGUUAUUUUUUAAAGUCAUUAAUAUUAUAUUAAUAAUAUUAUUAUUAAAUUUCAUUAAUUUUAACAUUUUAAUUAUUAUUAUCAUUAUCAUUAUUAUCAUUGAUAUUUAUUGUUAUUAUAUUAUUAGUGAAAUUUAUUAAUUUAUUAUUUUAAUUAUUUAUUGUUGUUGUUGUUGUUGUUGUUAUUACUACCCUUUUCUUAAUUAAAAUAAACAAAAUUUGUUAAUGGAAAGAGGGUUAUAUGUCCUUUUUUAGAAACAUUAGAGAGUUUUAUGUCCCUUUCCCCCAAACACUAGGGGCUAGAAGUCAUUUUCGGUGUAUUUUGUUGUAAAUAUACAAUAUUACCCUUUUUCCCCUUUAAAAUAAACAAAAUUAUUAAUAGAAAAAGGACUUACAUAUCUUUUUUAAAACCUUAAAGUGUUUUUAUAUCCCUUUCCUCAAGCAUUAAGGACCUAGCAGUCCUUUUUUCCUUUAUUAUAAAGUUUAGUUUAGGGCCAGUUUGGUAAUAUUAUAGCUUUUAAAAUAAUUUUUAAUAAUUAUGCUGUACAAAUAAUUAGGUAUGAAGAGAAUCAAUUAAAUGUUUGGUAAAAUUUAUUUUUAAAAGUAGUGUGACUUUUAAAAGUAGUUGUAUUUAUAUUUCGUAAAUGUUAUUGUUAAGAUAUUAUAUGAAUAAGAAUGAUUGAACUAGACAUAAUAUUUAAUAAAAUUUAUUCACAUAUUUAUAAAUAUGCACAUACAAUAAUUGACAACAAAAAUAAAUAUUAUGUAUUUUUAUUUUUAUUUUUUAUCUCAAUGUAAUUAGUAAUAAUUAUAAUCUCUUUAAAGUUAAUGAUUUUAUUUCCUAAGUAAUAAGGAUAAUUUUAGAUUUUUAUAUUAUAUAUGAGGAUAUAUAUGCAAUAGUAUUAAGUGUAAAACUGAUUUUCAAAAUCAAAAUUUGAAAAGUUAUUUCUUCCCUACUUUUUAAAAUCUAUUGUAAGACGAAGUGAUUUUUUUAGAAGUGAUUUCUAAAAAAAAUUACCAAACACCAAAAUUAACUUUUAACUUUUCAAAUUCACUUUUGAACUUCCUAAAGGCAAUUCUAAAUAGGCCCUUAAUAUAAUAUGAGAUUGUAAAGUAUUAAAAUAAUUUUUUUAAAUAUUAAAAUUAUUUAAAAUGUGUAUAUUGUUACAUUUAUUUUAAUAUUAUAUUUAUAUUUGUUGUAAAAUAUCAUAUUCAAUCUUUUUGAGUUAAUAGAGCUAAAGGAUUUUAUAGUCAAAAUGAAGUCUUAGGGCUAGUUUGGUAACGUUAAAGCUUUUAAAAUGAUUGCUGCUGGAUACAUUGUAGAAAUAAUUAGCUGUGAAGAGAAACAAUUAAACAUUUGGUAAAAAUUAUUUUUAAAAGUGUUGUAAGUUCGAAAAGCAAUUGUAUGUGUUUAGUAAAUCUUAUUGUUAAACUGCUGUAAGAAUGUAAAUGAUUGAUUGAACAUACUGUUGAAUAAAAUUUAUUUAUAUGUAUUAUAAACAUGUAUAUAAAAUAUUUUUUAUUUUGUGCAUCUAAUAACUGAUAACUAAAAUAAAUAUUUUAUAUUAUUAAUUUUAAUUUUUUUAAUUUGUUAUCUCAAUAUAAUUUGUAAUAAUAAUAAUUUCUUUAAAUUAAAUGAUUUUAUUUCUUAAUUAAUAAGGAUUAUUUUAGAUUUUUAUAACAUGUAUAAAGAUAUAUAUAUAUAUAUAUAUAUAAUUAUAUUAAGUAUAAAAGUGAUUUUUAAAAUCAGAUUUUGAAAUAUUACUCCUGUCUUGCUUGAAAGAAAUGAAUGAGUAACAUUUCAAAAUCUGUUGUAGGAAAGGGUGAUUUUGCCAAAAGUUAUUUAAAAAAAAAAUUGCCAAACACUAAAAUUAGGUUUUAACUUUUCAAAAUCACUUUUAAGUCUCACAAAAGCAACCCCAAAUGGGUUCUUAGUGUUCCUUAAUAAAAACUUGAGGCUUACUUAACUAUUUUCCUUAAUUUUAAUUUUAGGGAUGUAAGUAUUCUUUUCCUUAAUAUUUAAAAGAAAACCCACCUUCACUAAUGGACAUACCAUUUCAUUGAAGUUAUGUCGAUCGAGUUCGAAACAUUUUUAAACAAAGUCCUCUUACCAUAAUCAAUUCAAAACUAGUCACCUCAAGUUUGUCUAUUUAUGCAGCUUUUAGAGCAGUUGUGAUUGACUCGGGGACAACUAGAGCACAGUGAUCACAGCAAGAGAACUGAUAGCUAGCCAUAUGCAGAGAGAUUAUGAACAAAAUUUAAUCACCACAGGAAGUUGAGUUCUUCAUUUGAAGUAAUCUAUUUGUGCAUCAUUCAUGUGUCUCUCCUUAGGAAUUUCGAUCUACAAGACUUGAGAUUGAAGGUACAAGACAACAAGUUUUUGGAUCACUUCUAUAAAAACCUUUCUUAAAGAGUUGCUCAAAGGCAACGUUUCCCUAUCAAAUUGAUAUGCUUAUUUGAGGACCGAAAAUGAGAGUUUAAUAAUAAUUUUAUAGUCAUAAUUUAUUUGAAUAUGUUUAAUUCAAUAAUUAUGAAUGUAGUCAAACAUAUUAAUUAUUUAACAUAAUUUGAAACAGAGUUUUAUUAAACACAAACUUUUAUGAGACAACUUGAAGUCUAGAACUUUUAUUUUACAACAGUUGCUUGAAAACUAUAACACCGCAAUAUGAAAAGAAACACAGAGUGCUUUCAACGAAGAACUUAAAUGUUGUUGAAAGUUAAAAAAAAACCACAACUAGGGAAUAAUUUCACACCAUCUGCAGCUGCUAGAGGCUAACAUUUCCGGAUUAUAGGGAAAUCAGGUUUCACUGACAGAAGGAACCUUCUCAUAUUCCGGCCCCUCUAUACAUUUCCUGGGAUCAUUGCAACGACCUUCAAACAGCUGCUGCAGAAAAAUGAUUGCAGCAAACAGUAAGAACACUGAAGAAACAACGAUUUCACAGAUGUUAGAGGCAUAAUCUGAAUCAGUAGGGUAGAAAAUUUUGCAAGCGUUUGGCAGCAAUAUAAGACUAGUUGUUCUAAUGUAGAUGAACUGGCCAGAGCAUUGUCUUUCGAGUUUCUAAAUAUGUUCAACAGCAUUUGAGGCAACAGAGAUCCAUCCAAGACAAAACCAGCAUAUAAGUUUAUGCCCUCCCACUGCUGGGGCUGAAGAUAAAACCUUUGAGGAGCUAAAAGCAAAGCAAGAUAACAAUUGCGCCGCCUUUAGUUAAACAGAUAAAAUACAAAAAAGCCUGAAGCAUAUAAUGCGAACGACAAGAAUAGAGUCCACUUCUCAGCUGACCACAAGCCUAGUUGGUCUGCCUUAUCAGCUGAUUUUGAUGGGUGCGAUAGUUGCAGAAGUCUGAAAUCUAGCAAGAAAGCUACCGUUGUUAUUAUCCUCACAAGCGCUUUAUUGACUUGAAGCCAUCCACUUCUACUAAGCAAAACACGUAGUCCUUCGAGAUUUCUCAAGAACGUGGCUUCAAAGUUUAGCAACAGAGGCAUCAUGUGGCCUAAAGUAAGAAGCACUAGCAUAACAAGUGAAAAUGGAACGAAGCACUUCAGGAUUUUUUUCUCACGUCUACAAGCUGCAAUCCAAUGAAGAGACACGCAAAUGUGUUGGGUAUAAGAGCCAUGGAAAUCUCCCAAUCCAUCUUGGAAAUUGACUCUUAAACGACAGCAUUCAUCAGUUCAAAAUAAAGAGGGUCUGAUUCCACCUGCGUGCUUUUGAUGCUUCCCUUGAUACAACCUUCUUUGUCCUUAGGAAUUGAUGAAGGAAAGAAUCGUUGAUCCAUGAUUGAUUGCUCGAAACAAUGUUUCUACAACCUAUUAUUCGGGUUGGAUUUUUCUGAUAACAUUUCAAAAUAGAGUCAGCAUUAAUUUACUCAGAAUUUAUUACCAUUGAGCAGACCUCAUAAGUACAAACUGGAGCCCAUGUUAGCAACCUGGUUUACAAGUACAACCUGGAGCCUAUGUUGUUGACCUGGUUUGCAAGUACAACCUGAGGUUUAUGUAAGCUACCUAAUUUAAGAAUACAACUUUAAGCUUAUAUGAGCAACCCGAAAAUUCACCAAUCCGAUCUGGAAGUAAGUAAGAUAGUCCGACCUCGAAAUUCAUUUGUCCAACCUGAGAACUACUGACACGAAAAAUUGCUAGUCAAGAUAACGUGGCCUAACUUUUAGGGAAGUUGUAUUCCAUGAUUUUUUAAACCACCUCCAAUUAAUAACCACUUGCAACUGCUGAAGAAAGUGAGCUAAAGUUAAGGUGGUAACCACCCACGACUAAGGGCCUAUUUAAGCUGAAGAGGGAAACAGAGGAAGGGGUUAGCAAAAUCAACCAAAGAUUCUACAAGUCACCUAUCUAAAAGCCUCCUCAUUUCCUACAAGAUUUUCAACACCUCUACCGAAAAAAUUCUUUGAUUCUAACUUAUUCACAAUUCUUCCUUCUCGAUUUUCUUUCCUUAUACACAAUUUCUGACUUACGCAUCGGAGGGUCUACGCCAAAACUCCACCGACGUAUCCUAACCGUGUUUUAUGGUAGGUAAGUAUAGAAAGUUGUGAUUAGAUUGACUUUUGAGCUUGGAUUCAUGCUAUUAUUCCCCUAAGAAAACAAAUUCAGCUGUUGAGGUCGUUUUUCGGCAUCAACAUCUUGGCGCUGUUUGUGGGGAACGGUGCGAAAAGCCAUAUGUUUGAAGAUUUAGAAGGAAGAGGCUAUCAGAUUAGGAAAUGGCGAUAGAUGAUAAUGACGGAGAUAGGCAGACCUUGCGCCAAUUGGCAGAGGAAAUAAAUGCCACAGCAGAUAAGAGGUGGAGAGAAGGGAUCGAGAGGCAAAUGGCAAGAUUUGAGGAGAUGAUCAGGGGGCUGGUUGAUGCCCAAGUCAGAGGGGCUCAAGUUUGAACUAGUGAUCCAGAGAGUAGUACAGCGGGGGAGAGGGAAGAGCUUGGUGGUGAACAGCAGAGCAGAAUGGCACUGCCACAAGUUGGGGUACGACAGGAGAAUCGAAGUGCAGGAGAACAACUGAAUGAGUUGAGGGGGAGAAUCAAUGACCUGAAUAAAAAAAGGGAGAGGGAAGAGCUGAGAGACCCCCAACGAGCAAAUGAGCUUGAGCAGCGAAUGCUGCAAUUUCAAAAAUCUUUAGAGGCAUUAGAAGCGAAAACAUAGGGCAAGAAAGUGGUAGGAAGGUUGUUACUUGAUGACCAGUCCCCUUUGGUACCUGAAGUGAUGGCGGUAACUUUGUCACCCAAGUAUGUAGUUUUAGCCUUGGUGUAUAAAGGAAAAACUGACCCGAAUCAUCAUGUGGAGAAGUUUAAUGAGAUGACCGGGAUUCAAGGUUUGCAUGAUUUUCAAAGGUGCCGUGUUUUUCACCCUUUAAAUAAUCAUAACUUAGUUUAAGGCAAGCGUAAACAUCCACAUCAACAUCUUCUACAUCAACAAGCUUUGAAUUUUUGAGCUUUUGGGACACUGCUUUCCAUUCAGUAAUGCCCUUUUCUUUUAGAGCGCUUCCAACACUUACAAUUGCUAAAGGCAGCCCCCUGCAUUCCCUAUCAACUUCUUUUGCCGCGUCACUCAUGGAGAAGUCACCAUCAUCGAUGCCAGCAUGUCUUUUGAGUAAAGCCAAUCCUUCUUCUUCAUUCAGAGCAUUCAGUAGGAUCCGUGAUUGACAUCCCAUGGCAGUGCAUACAUGUUGUCGGCGAGUCGUUAGAAGGAUUUUGCAACCCUUGAGAUCAGGGGCGGAGGGAAUACCUAUAGUUGCCAAGUCCAGUUUUGCCCAAACAUCAUCUAGAAUUAUCAGGAUCUUCUUACUAGCGUCUGUAAAUCUCAAGUGCAAUCGUUUUGCUCUUUCUUCUAGGCUACUUUUCUCCUGUAUUGUCAUCCCCAGCGAGCCCGCUAGCUGAUCUUGAAUAUUUAUCAAGUUUGGAUUCUGUGAUACUACAGCCUUCGCAAUCUCAUCAAAAAUCUUUUGUUCUUGGACCUCAUUACCGAUCAUAUUUGCCAGAGUUGUCUUCCCUGCUCCUCCAGUCCCAUACAUUCCCACCAUCAUCGUCUUCUCGUCUUUCAGUGCCUCAAUAAUCUAAUAAGAAGUCAUUUUAGAUGUGCCACUCUGUUGAACUUGCCACGAACUUGUAGCUUGGCCAUAACGAGCGUCUUGUUUGCUGCCUGUCUACUCAACCGAUAUCGCCAAGCCCAGUUAGGACACCAUCCGUUAAGACAAGUACUACUCUUGUUCAUUAGUAUCUUUGGUGUUCCUUUUUUCUCUUUCUACUUCUUGCUUAAUGCGAUCUUCUGCCAAUUUCAGAUUGAUCUCUUCAUUCUUAAUAUCAUCAACAAUGCUGUUUAAACAGAAUAAAUAGCGAACUUGGUGCACUGUAGCCUCCACCAGAUAUUCACCAAUCUUUGAUGCAAUACCAGCAACAAUUUCCAUGCUAUCUCUGUUAUAUAUAUAUAAUAUGUGUAUGUAUGUAUAAGCAGUUUAGUAUGCGAAACAAUUAAGCUAAACAAGCGUCUUUUUUCCAUUGAAUUAAUGCUGGUUUAAUCAUUUUACAUGCAUCCACAACAGUAUACCAUUUAAUUAUUUAAUUUUUAUCAUAUCACAUAUGCAAGUACUCAAGGGUGCUAAUCUGUUAGUAAAUAAAAUAUUUAAUUGUAUUACAAGAGAUUUCGGACUCAGACGUUGUCCGACUGUUUAACUUUAAUAAAAUUACAAAUUAAUUUUUUUCAUCUUUCUGUAAAUUUUUAGGGACGUCUGAAAAAUUUCUUUAGUGUUAAAACUUUCAAAGUUUAGUAAAACUAGAAAAAUGAAUCCAAGUGCACUGCUUGAGACUUAAAAAUUUUGCAGCGAUCUCCAGCAGCUUCAAAGGAUUAAAAUAAAAUUUUAAAUAGUGAAAACUCAAAUCAUUCUCUUUAGCGGAUAACAGAAGAGUAAAAAUAAAGUUAAAAAAAAAAAUCUGAUUCCAUACUUUAGAAGUGAUGCUACAGAAAAUGUGCCAGAGAUCUUCCGGUACUGUUCCCUUGAUCUUCAAGUUUUUAUAUCUACUACAAAAGCAAAGCAAACAAUGUGGAAAUGAAACAAUGAAGCCGAAGGAUAUUAUAUAAUUUGAAAAGUGUAGCUUCUGUGAGCAUGAAGAUGGGAAUGGGAUGUCAUCAGCUCGUGCUACUAUAAAUGAUAAAAAUGAAUGGGAUUUCAUGUGCUAGUGCUACUCUAAAUGAUGAAGGCACAAAACUAGUCAAUGGGACGCGGCUUUACUAUAAUGUUACUAACUAGAAAUGGUAAUUUAGUUUGCUCACGCAAGUGGGUAGACAAGGGAAUGGAUGGCCUACCUACCAUGAGAUAAUAAUUAAUGACAGUCUCAUUCUACCCACUUAUAAGAAGAAAUGGAUUCGGUGCUCAAUUAAACAUGUUCUAAGCACCAAAUCAAUGGUUAGAAAUUGAUUGGAUACAUAUUUCACGACUCUUGACCAUUAAUUCAAUACUUAACACGAGCCCGGCUUAACAACGAAUACUAAUCCCAAUACAAAAAGCAAAUAUAUGUAUAUUUUUUUUUUUACUUACUUUUCAAAUUUGAUUCAUAAUUUAUCAAAUAUGUUAUAUGUAUUAAUCUUUCAAGUUGAUUAUUUUUUAGGAUCACAAUUCCAAUUUUUUUUCAUUAUUUUUUAAAAAGAUAGGGUGUACAAAAUUGAGAUUCAUUAUAACCUUUUUUGUUUUGGGUUCAAAAAGGUGAACUCAAGCUGUUUUAAAAUAACUCAAUUAAGUUCUUAGACUGAAAUCUCAAUUACCGACCAUUACAUUUGAGUAGGUUUUUUUUUACUAAUUAAUUACAAAAAAAAUUGAACUUAAUUUGCACUUACCCACUACAUCUGAAUCAAAGGCCCAUUGAUGAUGAUGAAGUUAUUUAUUUAUUUAUUAUUACUUGUUUUAGUAAGUAAGGAGAGAGAUUGACAAAUUGAUUUGAAAUGGGUGAAAUUGACUGAAAAAAAUAAAAAAUCCCUAAAUUCGCACCAUAUCGAAAAUUAUUUUAUUACACAUAAUACAAAUUAGGGUUGGCAAAAAGUGCACUUCGGCGAAACUUUUCCAAGCCUACCUCGGGCUGGGCUCGGGCAUGGCUUGGGCCUUCAUUUAUUCUUUUAAUUUUUUAAAUUAUUGUAAAUUUAAAAUGUGAUAAUAAUCAAUAAUAAAUUUUAAAAAAAAAUAUUUCAAAGGAAAAUAAUAAAUAAAGAAAAUAAAGCAAAUAAAAGUUUAGAGAUUUAAUAUUUUAAUAUUGGAUUCUCCAAUGCAAGUAUUCUCUUAAUUAAUUAAUGCAUAAGAGAGAGUUUAAUAUUAUAAUUUUAACUUUUUUAAAUCAUCAUUAAUUUAUGAAUUAGGAAGUUAAGUUUUUUUAUUAUUUUUUUCAAUUUUAAUUUAUUAUUUUAAUUUAUAAAUUUAUUAAAAAAUAAUGGGCCAUGCUUUUUUUUUUAAGCAUGUGUCCAUGAGGGUUGAACCGAAGCCCGCGGGCCUGACUCUUUUGUCCGCGCUAAUGCGAAUUAAAUAAACUACAUUCAAGUAUACUCAUUAAACUUGACACCAUUUGCAAACGAUAUUGCUCCAAAAUGACUCAUGGGCCUAUGGUAGGGCCUAAUAAGUCCUACCUAAUGUAACCCAACUAGCUCAGGCAUUAUUUGAGAUUUAAAGUCUUUGCUUGUUGGACUUACUUUUACUCGUCUGCUAAGCCAAAUCUUUGAAAUUUGAAUCUUGUAAUGCCAAGUCUCUCUCCGUAUAAUUUCUUAAAUAAAUUAGGAUCAUUAAACACCCUAAGUUUUUAACAAUUUUAUAUCAUGUAUUAUGUAGCAAUAGUAUAUUAAUAGAAUUUAAUUUUUUUAUAUUUUAAAUUUAUUAACCACUAAUCAACAUGUGAAUUUUUUAUCAAGAGAAGUUCAGAUCAUGAGAAAAUUUUAAUUCAUAUUCAUACACAUCAAACAUACAAAUUGCACCAUUUAAAAUGAGCUUGCUCUAAACGGGCUAAUGGGCCGGGCCUAAGCAGUCCGUCAGUGACAAACAUCAAUGCCAAUCUUAAAACCAAUUGGUUAAUAUUGUACUUGGUAUUUAAGCUCUUUGUGUAACACCCCAAGCCGAACUCCGGGGGCAAAUCUGACCACAACUCAUAUAUAAAUAUAAAUAACUCUUUACAAUCGAUAACAAUUCAAGCCUCAAAUACAAAAGCCAGUGGAAUAAUUUAAGAAUUUAGCCAAACCAUCUACCAUCCUCAAUUCAAAUCCAUCUUCUCACUCAUCCCGAAUUAAUCUUGACUUCUGAAAACUGAAUCACAAUAAACUAUAAUGAGAGAAAAACUCAAUAAGCAAACUAGUUUUUUUUUUUAUACCAAAAUACAUACAUACUUAUAUAUAAUGUAAAUGGAUGAUAUGUCAUGAUCUUUUAAAAAUAUUUGAAAUAAAUUCAUAAAAAUCUCUUUCUGUCGCUCUCAAACUUUCACAUUUUCUUCCAAUAAAACAUGUAUCAUGCAAUGUGGCACUUUGUGGUGUGCGUGGCACUUCGCAUCACACGUGUCACUUUGCAGCACUUUGGCCUUCAAGAGGUGGGCCCCACACAACUUCAAGAGCUGGCCCCCAAUGCAAAAUCUCAUAAAGCAUAAAUUCUAUUUGUUAAAAUCAACUUUUUCAUUCGUAGAAAACUCAAUGCAUUUUCGUGCUUAUGCCAAUGAAUCCCGACACAACAUAUGCCCAUGUACAUAAUCAUGCUCAACACAUAACAACACAUCACAUAAACACAUGGGCAGAGACAUAAAAACAAAUAUAUGUACAUAUAAAAAAUAGGCUUUUCAAACAAGUCAAACAUAUACAUAUUGUUUAUUGUAAUUUGUUUUGAAGUCUAGUUUACUUACCUCUUGGCAUCAUCAUGUAACAAAUGCGUACCGACAUCAUCGACCUAAAAUCAUCAAUAAAAUCCUCAUAAGAUAAAAUCAAGUUUCAAUCAUAAACUCUAAUGUCCUCAAAUAUCUCAUUUUAAACAGCUCCUAAACUCAACCUCAAAUGUCCUCAAUAUUCGUCCCUCAAAACAGAACUGUCCAUGUUUUCCAAUUUUUAAUAAAUUAUUUCCUCAUUGGAAAAAUCGAAAAUUGUACAGACCAUAUGCUGACAUAUUGAAAAUUCAUUAAUAAAAAUUUCAUAACUUAACUCCUUCAAAAACUAUUGAAAAUAAUUUACGUUUCAGACAUCAUCAAUACUGUCAAACUGUUUUCGGUUUUGAACAUACUUGCUUUGAAAAUACAAAACAAUUUAUUGGUUUAUCACAAAAUCAUGAAAAUUUACAGGAUCACAAUAGACAUAUAUAUAAAUCACUGAUCCAAAUUUCAUAAGUUUUGAGGAAGUCUAGCUAUGGUAAAAAUAAUUUCGUAAUUCAUGUUAUUCACUGAAAUCAGAAUUUUUCAGGUUUUCAGACUUAAGUUUGAAAAAUCGUAAUUAGUUGAAAUCUUAUCCGAUUAACUUGAAAAAAUUUCAAAACAUUCUAGACGACGUCUAGUUUAACAUAUUCAAAAAUCAAAAUCAAAAUCAAUUAGUAAAAACUACUAUGAUUUUCGAAAUAAUGCACUGUCAACAUAUUUAUGGAAAAUCUUAGGUUUCUACUUCUGUUGCAAAUAUCUAAUCAUGCUUCUCCACAACAAAUUAAUAAAAACCAAGAAUUAAAACUUACCUCCAAAUCCAAAUCUUCUCUCAAUAAUACCCAAUUCAAAUUAUGUAACUUGAUCUCAUGUGUUGCUCAUGGCAGAACAAAGAAGAAGACUUUCUUCUUCUCUUUUUCUUUUCUUCUCCCUUCUUUCUCUACAUCUUUUUUUUUCCUUUCUUCCUUGUCCGAUUUCUCUUUCUCUCUCUCACGUAAUGGGAAAGGCAUCUUAUUCUAUUUAUACUAGGGUAAAAAAGAUCACUAAAAACUAAAAAGACUUAAAUACCUUUAGGAGAAUUGGGUAUUACACUUUGCUUGUAGAAUUCUCAUUUGUCUGCUUAGCCAAGUUCUAGCAUUUACAGUAUCAUACAAGAAUCUUUCCUAUUUAAUUUAGGUAAUGUGUGAUAUUGAGGUAUAGUAAAAAAAUUAUAAUUAUUCAAUAAAAAAUAAUGAUGGUAAUAAAUCUGAUUCCUAAAUAAUAAUUUUGACUAAAAUAACAGAGAUUUAUAGGUUCUUUAUCCUUUAAGUGGUGGAUCAAAUUAAUUUAACUUUCAAACUAUAGUAGGUAGGGUUUAUCAAAUACUUUAGUUUUUGUAGCUUUUAAAUUAGAACUUAUUUGCUCAACGUCAGAAGUCUGAUAUUUUAUUAAUUUCAUAUUUUUUUAAAUUUCUUUUUUUUUGUAACUUAUAUAUGAUUUUUAGACGUUUACAUCUAAAUAGAGAACAUUAACUUUUGUGACUUUUGAAUUAAAAACGUCUGAAUGAAAAAUAAGUAUUAUAUCUCAAAAUAUUUUUAUUAAAUAUACUUAUUUCCUAAACUAUAAAACUUAAUCUCUUUUUUUCUUUAUUUUGAUUUACAAGGAUAUAAAUGUUAGAUAAUCAUAUUCAAUUUUUUUUAUUUAUAAAAACAAAUAAGAUGCGACUUAUAUUCAGACUUUUAAAAAAAGAAAACAAACAUUUCAUUUGGACAUAUUCAGACUUCAAAAAAACUCAUACCCGUUUAGAUUUUAAAUGAAAAAAAUAUUGUCGUACAGUUACCCAAUCUCAAUACCAAAUGAGACUUUAAUAUGCACAAUCAUGAGAGUUAGAAGCUUUUUUUUUUCAAAAUCAACUUCAUGUAUUUGCAUUCAAUCAUUUUAAAGUUUUUCAUCUUUUAGGUAUUUAAGUGGCCCAACUUUUAUUUCCACGACUAUUAUUAUGUAAAACUAUGAGUUAUAGCAAAACUUCUCUAUAGUCAUAAUAUUGUAACCAAACUAAUUUAUUACUAUAAGGAGAUUAUAACUUAAUGGAAGUGUAGCUCUGAAAAUUAUUUUAUUGACUUAGUUGUCUUUAGUGCAAGAAUAUAAAGGUAAAGUUUGAAUUGUAUUAAUAAGUCAAAUAAAAAAUAUAUAUUAAAAAACUAAUAUAUGUAUCUAUGUACUAUUUUUAGGAAUAUGCAAAUUUAUCUUAAAAUCUCUAAAUGUUGGCAUUAUCUUCAAUAAUUUUCCCUCAUUGUCUACUUGUACUAUGUGGAGGCAAGUUCCUUUAAUCUAACAAAAUAUAUAAUUUUGCAAUAUACAAAUAAUUAUUAGAGCAGUGAUACACAUCCUAAAUUUUUUAUCCUAAAAAACUAUAUCAUAUGAUGUGACAUUCAUUAAUUAGUUGGUGAUAUAACACAAUUAGUUCACCUAGAUCUUGUAAAUAAUUAUCAACCACUCAAUAAAUGACAUAUUAUAUAGGAUGAAAUUUCACACAAAAAACUUGGGAUGUCUAUCAUUACUUUAAUUAUUACUAUUUAGAGACAAGUUUCUUAAAACGAGAUUUAGAAAAAAAAAUGUAUAACUUUUACAAUGUAGAGUUCAUUCUCCUUUAUAACUGACUAAAUUAGGACCAAAAUUUUUUAUUACUAAAUUGAAGUUAUUCCUAUAUAAAGUACUACUGUAGAGAACUUUAUCGUAUUUGAUAUAAAAUAUAAGCAAGGGUGCAUGGAUGGUUGGUAAAUAUUAUCUACCAAGAUUGGAUAAUCAAUCAGAAGAACAUCCAUUAACAUAUAUUUCUAACAGUACCAUCUUGGUUGUUGGUAAAACCAGGUGUUUAUCAAGUGAUCUGAAAAUCUCAUUUUGUUUGUUAAGAGAUUGCAGGAAUGGCACGAUAUACAAAUGUUUGAAUUGAAUUAAAGCAGUAAUCACAAGUACAGUUCCUGUGUUUCCUCAAAACCACACCGAAUCUUAUCAAUACAUAUAGGCCAAAAUUUCAUAAGGAAUAUUCAUUAUAUUUCAUUUCAAGUGGUAUGUUAUGAAAUCAUUAUAAAUUUGUUAAGCUAACCCUUACCUAAUUGGAACCCCUAUGGGAGGUCCCCACUCCCCUAUAGGACAAGUACAACUACUAGGGAAUGCCCACCCCAAACACUCCUCACGACAGAAAGAGCUUAGAUCGAAGAGGCAACUAUAAAAGUGAUCCUAUCAUUGGAAGCCUAUCCAUUAGAAAUAGACCAAUUAUCUGACAUGUUGAUGACCCACAAAAGACCUGUAUUGUGGAAGCAAUAAGCUAAUCACUAGAUUUGUCAUUAGGGACUUGAUAGGAAAAAUAAGCAAUAAAAUUUUGUAUGUCAAGAAAGGGUUGAAUAAAUUAUCUUGAAUUUCUUGUGUUUGGAACUGGGGACAUAAAGAACUUGAAGAAACAACAGCAAACAUACCAAGAAGAUUCACUACAUCCUAAAAUAUUCAUAUUUGCAUGAAUAAUUUUUCAAUAAGAGAUCCUUUAAGUUAUUAAAGUAAGGGAUAAACUAAAAUACAAGUAAAAUACAUACUCAAAUACUCUGUGUGUGUGUGUUUUUAACUUAUUCCUUACUUUAAUAAUUUAAGAGAUCCUUCAUUAGACAAUGACUCUAUUUAUAUAUCCUUAAGACUUUACUUUUUUAUGAUGGAUAUUUGGAAAUUGAGCACGGAAAUGAUAAUAAGUAGCCACCUAAUCACAUAUAUAAUGAUUAUCACGAAUAGACCUAUUUAAUCAAAAAAAAAUUUUCAUCAACACUUAAUCAAAAAUAAAUAAAUAAAUAAAUAGAAAGAGGGACUGAAAUAUUACCAAAUCACCUAGUUAAGGAGCAGCCAUUUGCCGAUACUGUAGAUGGUGAGUUUGGUUUCAAUUUCCUACUAGUUUUGUUUUUCUUGUCAUUUUUCCCAAUAUGAUGGCAAAAUUUCUGGGAUCAUUUCAAAUCCCCAGCAAAUGAACUCCAAGGAAGUCUCUAAGGGGAAUUGUGCCUUGGCAUCUUCCUCAUCUACUUUCGGAGCCUGCACAAAUAAAUAAUUGAAGCAUAAAUAUAAAUGAAUACAGUAUGCUUUUCAUGUUUCUUCCAACAAUACCAAGUUAAGGAUCUCUAACUCGAAAUAAUAGGACACUUCAUAAUGAUAAUGUAAGACAACAAUCGAGUAAAAAACUUCAGAAAUUUACCUUUGUUUCAACAUGAACACCAGGUAUAUUUUGUUUGGCUGAAAAAAUUGUACUUAUCCUUGGGCAUUCUUUUAUUGAGAAUGUGUCCAGAGAAGGAAAUAUGAAGUGAUAGCCCACCUAGCGAAAGUUGGUGGGGCUUGGUAGUUCUUUGAGUGACAACUUCCAAAGUUUAGACACAACAAUUUUAUUGUCAUCCAUGAUGUCCUCAUCAUUUUCAUGUCCAAACACUACUUCUAACUACAAAUUAUCUGUUAUAGUUAAACCCCUAAGUUCUUGAAGAUCUUGAGCUACGUUAAUAUGAAACAAACUCGCUAAUCUGUUGCAUCAUCCAACACGGAGAAAGAUAAGGUUGGGAAAAUAUACAUGUUGGAGAUGAUUAUCCAUUAAAGAAAUAUGAUCCCUUUCAUCAUCACUUUCAACAAUGAUUUUCUCCAAUAUGCUGAAAUCAAUUACAUUCAGACUAAUUAUGGUCGAUGGGCCGGACGACAUGUGUUCGUACAACAUAGCAUGACAUGAGCACAUUUUGGUGUGGCACGGGACACUGCACAACAUGCAGGCAGGCUGGGCUGGGCUUAUAAUUUUAGGCUCACAGGCUUUAAAAGCACAGCACAAUUAGAAAUGGGCUAAAGCAUGGCACAUGAAAAAACCUGCAAUUAGCAUGUUUCACUUUUUAAUGAAAGUAAACUUAAAAUUUUAUGAUUUUACAAAUAACUUGAAAUUAAAUAUUUUAAAUUCAUUUAAUUCUUAGUUUUAAAAAAAUAAUAUAAUUGAGUUAUGUUUAUAAUUUAUUAAAUAAAUAAUUGAUAUCAUGAUUUCAAUAAAAAAAUAAUAAUUAUCAUGAUUUUAUAAAUAUGUAUUAAUAUUAUUGUGAACUAUGAUCUAUGACUUAUGUAAGUCCAAGAUAAGUUAACUCUUAAGAAAAAUUUAUCAUUAUUGUUGUUGUUAAGUAUUAAAAAAGAAUUCUAAUACCAUAAGGUCAAAUUUAGUAAUUAAUAUUACAUUCUUUUACUAUUAUUAGUUUAUUAUUAUUGAAUAUAGACUUGAGUUUUGAAUUUUCGAUUCUAUUAAAUUUGAAUAAAGGCACAUGGACCCAAAAAAGUAUAUAGACUUGAAAAAACUAUGCCAACAACUAAACAUGCGCUCUUAAAAAAAUUUAAAAAAAAAUUAUCGGGGUUUUUUUCGUAGGCACGGCACGGCACGGCCCACAACACAGCAUGUGUAGGCAUGACACAUGUGCCGGGUUAGGUCUAAGCAAAAAAAUUAGGCACGGUAUGAAACACAUAGUGGGCAUGGUACGACACAACAUGAGCACGCAUGGAUCUUCCCAUUGCUGGCAUGGCCCAUUGGCCAUCUCUCAUUCAAAAGUUCCAAUUGCAAUAGAUUUUCAGCGAGUGUAGUCGAGAAAAUGCACCUCAGUCUAUGGCAGCCUCUAAGGGUUAGACAUGUAAGAUUUUGUAAGCAUAAAAAUUGUGUUGGACCAUUACAUAAAAAUUCUAGCUCUGGCAGGUAUUCCAACUCUAUUUCUUUCAAAUUUUGGAGUGAUAAUUUACGUUCUUGUCCAUCUCCAGUAGUAGAUUUUAGCUGAAAUAUCACUUGUACUCCAAACUCUACCGUAUUUAAUUUUUCCACAUUUCUUAGGCCAUGUCUUAACGGAGAGGGAAUUUCAUUAUACAAACGGUCACAACUUUCUACAUAUAAAAACUACAAUUCCUGCAUAACUAAAAGUAAUAAAUAAUAAAUAAACAAAAAUCUAUGCUAAGGAUUUAUGAUUUAUCAAUUUAAUAAAACCAGUCAUUAUUGGUAAAUAUCAAAUUGAAAGUAUAUUUUGUAGGAUUUUAUGGAAUGGGGAUUUAAGAUUGACUAAAGGAGCCACAUAAGCUCUUAUAACUUGUAUAAGAGGCAAAUUAAAGUUACUAAAUGCAUAAUAAUACAAAAUUAACGUAUACGUUUUCAAAAGCGAACCUUUUUUUUUCCUUUUCUCCAAAAUAAAUAUAAGAAUCCUCAAGAAAAAAAAUAUACCCUUACCAGAUUGUGUAUAUUAGCCUCAAUUUCAGUUCUGAUAUUCAAUUUGGGACGGGAUAUGAGUGUUAACUUUAGCAAAACUAGCCAAGCUGAAUUAGAAUGUUCUAGACAGACACUGAUGAGAUUUGGUGGUCCUAUAAGUGCUAAUUCUCUUAACAUAAGAAGCAUAAAUACAUUUCCUUCUCCUAAAAUUACAUUUGUUUACCCUUGAUUAUCAACAAACUUUUCUUCAAUGAUUUGCUUCGAUCUCUUACAGUGAUGUACUUUGAGCUUUUUUAGCUGUAGCAAACUUGAGGCAACGAGAACGAGAAGAGAUGAGUCAAAUUAUGACACUCACUUUAUUAUUUGUAAGAUUAUGGAGGCUUACAUGUUAGGCAGACCCCUUCUAAAUCCCAUUCAGUUCCAGUAAAUUUCUCAAAUGUAGGUUAGCUAAACUCGAGAGCAACACAAGAAUUUCUCUCCCUGAAUGGCUUAACCCUUCAAAUUAAAACACCUCUUCUAGCUCAUUGCAAGAUUCAAUUUUCACUUCUUUCAAGUUUUGUAAAUCUUGAAGCAAUGUAGCUGGAAAUUAGCUACACAUACUGUCACACCCUUUAAUGUAUAGAAUUUCCAACUUUUCAAAAGAUUUUCUUAGAGGCCUUCCAUUAUUGCAUAUUUCUCUAAGAAUAAUCAUUUUUCUUAGAAAUGACUCCACUAUAUUUAGAGAAUGCGGUAGUUGGAACCUAGUGCUUAGAGAUAUCUAUGAGGCAUUCUAACUCCUUACAGUCUUCAAGUUCGAGAGAAGUUAACCCAUUUAAACCUUCUUGGUCUAUGUUUGGCACUAUAUUUUGACAACCUAUGGCAUUAUUCAAAAGAAGAAGUUAUAAAUACUGAUACAACGACUUGAAUAUAAUUAGUAAGGUUGCUUCAACAUUUUUUAUUCUCAAGACUGUAGUUUUACUAGGAUCACUAUAAAGUCAGUUCACUUUGAUGUCAUACCUUCACAAUUUACUGAGCUAGCAAGGUCUUUUGGAAAACAUUCAACAUUGCUUUCUAGAUGGGGUUGGGAAUUCAGUUCAGAGAAGUCAGCACAACAUGUCUCUUCAACCUUCUAGUUUUUUAUACUACCAUAGAGUUCUUCCAAUCGAGAAAAUCUUUUUAUCAUACAGGGGGAAAUUUCCUUCCUCUAAAUUGAGGAACUAUAAAAAUCUAGCAAUCUCAAUUUUUUGAGUUCACCUAAUUCUUCUCGAUCUCCAUAGAGGAACAAUACUAAAGACUAAGAAUUUGUAGUUUCUUCAGCUUUCUGAUAGACAACAUGUCUCUCAAAUUAGAACCAAUCAAUUGUAGAUUUUGCAUAUUAGUUAAGGAUUCAAUUGAAUUUAGUGACAAGUUGCCAUAGUUUAUAGUUACAAUUUUGAGUGCUUUCAUCUAUUCAAUAAAUUGGUCUGGAAUUUCCAUGUGACCAUUGUUGAAAUUUUGACUUGAAUAUGGAAAUUUAUUAAAGACAAAUUGCCAGCUAUUGGAGCGUGAAGAUGAUAGUGAAAUUGUUUGACAAUUUUAGCAUUGUUGUUGAAAAUUGAAAAUGGCACCAAAUUGCACAUGCAAUUGCUGACAAAGUAUGCAAGACUUUAAUGCAUGCAAUGCAAGCUCCAGCUCAACGUGAUAGCAAAUUUCAAGGAUAGUUGUGUUGAUACGAGAUUUUGGUGUCUGAUCGUCCACGACCAGUAUCUCUCCUCAACUCUUGAACUCGCAGCCAACCGGGUAUACUUCACGUUACUCUUCUAGGCGAGCAGAGCUAUGCCUUUUGCAACUUCUACUCGGCGGACUCCUGCGCACACAAAAACUAGUCAGAGCGCGCUGGGAGUUUUCCCGGCGUAAACCCUCUGACGCUCAAGUAAGAAAUUCGAGCUUACUUUUUAGGAAACUCUGCCAUUGAUCUCGUGGCUACCUAAUAAUUUCUUAAGCAAUAGAAUUCUGAUAAGCUUUCCUGAGGUUCUCAAUAGAACACUCUUCCCCCAUAAUUUGAUAUGUAAAAAUGUCUAACCCCUUUACCUUUGUUGACUGCCUCUUUUAUAGCAUUCAUGUGGAUUCGGCCCCCAUGAUUCACGUUCGCCACCUCCCCCAGUUCCCGAAAGUGGAUGCUUGAGUAUUGCAGUUGCGGCCGAGUGGAUUUCAUGCCUGGAUUCUCGGAUAGUAGUGCACGUCCCGUUAACCGCUAUGCACUGGGUCUGCCGACCCCGGACCCCAGCAGGAAAAGCUCUCGGCUCCUAGCAAGAGGCCUGCUGGUGCUACGGUCCAGCAGAGGGCGUCCUCGUAAACGAGCAGAAAACUCCUGCUCUCGGCAACCCGCUUCCAGACCUCACAUGUUUGCUCACUUACAAGAAGGUCAACUCCUCGUUUAGGGUAUGGCUGGUCGCUUUAUAAUAUACCAUCAAACACUGGUCCCCCAGUUUCUCGUAUCGGUAAUACAAUGGAUCAAUACUAGAAACUCAGUAAUCCUGGCUUGCUCGGGGUAUGAUACGACUUCUUAACCUCGAGCAGAGGAACUACUCGCUUUUUACGUCCACCAUUUUUUUCGACUGCCAAUAGUCGUUUUCUUUGAAGAGUCUUGUCGCAAUUAAUCGCAGGUGAUGUGGCAGGGAUCCAUCCAUUCGUUUGAAUUUCAAAUCGACGGUUAUGAAAUCCUUAGGAUUUGUGCUGUUAAAUGCUAAUAAACCAAAGGCUUAUGCCUCACUCGGGAACCCUAAACCUCAAAAGGAAGUUUCAUCUUUGAGCUUUCGUUUCACUCUCCGGUGACUGAGUGAUCUUUCUCUCUCGAAGUUGAAGCCACAUUCCUUGUCUCUGAUCUGCCGUGCCACAUUUGCAGGUAUUAUUUCUAUUUCUUCGGUCUUGGAUAGUUGUAAAUUUUUUUUUUUAAAUCGAUGUUAGUUGAAUGAAAUUCCUCCAAACUUCAUUGAUCACUGAGCUCGACUUACAUAAAAUUGACUAAACAUGAAAAACAAAUAACAACAAGAAUGAAUAGAAAUAACUCUUAAGUAUUGUUGGGUCUUAUCGGAGUAUUUCUUGAGAUGCGCUGCAUUCCACGGUCGCUUCACCUCGUGACCAUCCGUGCGAACGAGUUUGUAGGCUCCGUGUUAGAGUGCGAUUUAUGCACUAGUUUUGCAUUGUUUACUUCCCUUAAUAUCGAUGUUUUGCACUUAAUAAUAAUGUUUUACUUGUGUUUUACUUUUGUAGGUGCAAUUCUAUUGAUUGGUGAUAAAAUUGAGCUAAAAGAUGAUGUUUAAGGAGGAUUGUUCUCUUGGAGAAAUUAUGAGCGUCAGAAGAACUUUGUUGAUAAGGCGUGGGCGCGUGCUGUCAACUGCGGACCUGCAGUUUUUAGUUUAACGUGUUUUUUAUUUUUGGCUAUUUUUGUAAUUACGAAUUUAAUAUUUAAGAUAUUAGUAUUUUAUUUUAAAUAGAAUUCUAAAAGAGAAGAGAGAGAGAGAGUAUUUAAGGGAGGAAUCUAUUGUGAAAAAGGGGGGGGGGAUUUGGAUUGGAGAAAAAGAAAGAAACCCUAGAUCUAAUUUUUCUCUUCUCUCUAUGAAGAACUAAACCUAUUUUUCUGGUUGAAGGAUAAUGAAGCUUUGAUUCAUCACUACUGUGAGAUCUUUCUUAUGCUUUAAUUGUUUUAUUACUUUUUGGGUAUUUGUUUAUUCUCUGAAUUAGUUUCAUGAUUAUGUUUGUUAAUUAGGUAAUUGGCCACUAUUUAAUUAUCAACUUAAUCUAUUGUCAAUUAAAGGAUUCAUCGUAUGAAGAAUUUAAUGUUUGUGACAAAUAACAUAGCAGAGAGUUGUGUUGUGAGAAUAAACAAUCUAAUUUAAAUGAAUCAUCAUAUGUGUUGAUUAGGAUUUGGGUCUCUCUAGUUUUUCAGGCUGUCAAUUGAUUAAAUCCUAUAAUCGUAUCUAGGGUUGUCUAUUGAUUAGGGAAAUAUCCAACGGUCGUACCUUGGUUAUCGACUAGUUAAGGAGAGAUUGGCUAUUAGAGUGUCUCAAUAGCUAUAACCGGUCUAUUCAUAAGUAAUAAUAAUAUAUAUUUGAAUCAAUGAUCAGUAGUCGAAUCAAGCUGAGUUAAUUCCUUCAACCAGAGCUUUCUCCAAUUUGAAUUACAACUUUAAUUUGCAUUCUUGUUAUUUUAAUUUAUUUUUUAUUAUUGUCAACAAUUCCCCCAUUUUACGUUUUACAUUUCAAAAGGAUUUAAAUAAUUACCGAUCUCUGUGGACACGACCCUGCUCAAUCACUAUACACAAUUUAUUCAGAGUAGGAAUUUAUUUUUGUUGGCUUCGACACCCAUCAAAUUUUGGCGCCGUUGCCGGGGAUUGGUGUCAUUUAUUUAAUCCUUUUUACGUUUUACUUGGUGUAUGGUUCGUUCUUCUCGUACAGGUACACUUUCGUUUGAUCCUGAAAUUGAGAAGACAGCUCGCCAGCUGAGACAGCAGACGAAGCGAGCUAAGCAACGAUCCUCAUCGCCUUUGCUUUCUGGAACAGAUACGGUGCCUGAUUUAGUUGAAUCAUCUAGUGAUUCAGAAGAACAAGUGAUGGAUAGACCUGCACCUGUAGAAAGAACUCUUAGAGAGUUAGCUGAACCAGACUUGAAUCAGCAACCACUCUGCAUUCAAUAUGUAGAUUUGGAGGUAAAUUUUGAAUUAAAGUCUGGUCUUAUUCAUUUAUUAUCCAAGUUUCAUGGUUUUGCAGGUGAAGAUCCUCAUAAACAUCUUAAGGAGUUUCAUGUUGUGUGUUCAAGUAUGAGACCACAAGGCGUGACUGAAGAGCAGAUUAAGCUGCGUGCUUUUCCGUUCUCUGUAGAUGGGCUAGCUAAAGACUGGUUUUAUUACUUGCCUCCUGGAUCGAUUACAACGUGGAAUGAUUUGAAGAAGCAGUUCCUCGAGAAGUACUUUCCUGCUUCAAGAGCUGCUAACAUCAGAAAAGACAUUUGUGGGAUCAGACAACUUCCUGGGGAGACUUUGUAUGAGUAUUGGGAGCGAUUCAAACGAUUGUGUGCCAGCUGUCCUCAGCAUCAGAUUUCUGAUCAACUUCUUAUUCAAUAUUUUUACAAAGGAUUAUCAUUGAUGGAUAGAAGUAUGAUAGAUGCUGCUAGUGGAGGCGUGUUGGUGAACAAGACCCCUACUCAAGCAAGGGAGUUGAUCUCAAAUAUGGCUGCCAAUGCACAACAAUUUGGCAGCAGACAAGAUGCCACUUCAAGAACGGUGAAUGAGGUAAAUAUUUCUUCUGUUGAACAACGUUUAGAUAAACUUACUUCUCUUGUGGAAAAGUUUGUUGUAGGUAAUGUGCAACAUGUGAAGACUUGUGGCAUUUGUUAUAAUAUGGGUCAUUCAACUGAUAUGUGUCCUACACUACAAGAAGAACCCGUUGAACAAGCCAAUACAGUUGGAGGAUUUCCAGGCAUGCCUCAGAGGAGGUAUGAUCCUUAUGCACAAACAUACAAUCCGGGAUGGAAGGAUCAUCCCAACUUCAGCUAUGGAGUUAGGCCGUCAGGAUUCCCACAGCAGUAUCCACCAAGACAACCAACACCUCCACAGUCAAACUCCAAGUCAGGUAUAUCUCUUAAAGAAAUUGUUAAAUCACUUGCAACUAACGCUCAACAAUUUCAGCAGGCAACUACAACAAGCAUUCAGAAUUUGGAAAGCUAAGUAAGUCAAUUGGCAACUACGAUGAGCCGUCUAGAGUCUCAAGUAUCUGGGAGAUUGCCUUCACAAUCUGAGGUGAAUCCAAAGCAAAACGCCAGUGCCGUCAUCCUUAGAAGUGGAAAGGAGUUGCAAGAGCCUAGUAAGAAAGUGACAGAGCAUGUAGAAGAUGAGCUUGAAAAGAAUGAAUUGAUGCCUAAAUCUCAGGAUGCGCAACCCACCAGAGCGAAACCCCUACCUAUUGUGAUACCUCCUCCUUUUCCAAGCCGGUUUGCAAAAUCCAAGAAAGAGGAACAAGAGAAAGACAUCCUUGAGACAUUCGCAAGGUUGAGGUAAAUAUUCCUUUAUUAGAUGCUAUAAAACAAAUACCUCGAUAUGCUAAAUUUCUUAAGGAAUUGUGCACCUCCAAGAGAAAAUUAAGAGGAGAUGAAAGAGUUCAUAUGGGGGAGAAUGUUUCAGCAGUUCUCCAAAAGAAAUUACCUCCCAAGUGCAAGGAUCCAGGUAUGUUUACUAUCCCUUGCAAAAUUGGUAGUGUUAGAGUUGAGAAGGCUAUGUUAGAUCUAAGAGCUUCUAUUAAUGUCAUGCCUCGUUCUAUUUAUUCGUCUUUGAAUAUUGGUGCAUUAAAAGAAACUGGCGUGAUAAUUCAACUAGCUGAUAGGUCUAAUGCAUAUCCUGAUGGGGUAUUAGAAGAUGUCUUAGUACAAGUUAAUGAGUUGGUUUUUCCUGCUGAUUUUUAUGUACUUGAUAUGGAAGAUGAUAACUCCUCUAAUUUUGUCCCAAUUUUGCUAGGAAGACCUUUUCUUAAGACUGCUAGAACUAAAAUGGAUGUACAUAAAGGGACUCUUACUAUGGAGUUUGAUGGAGAGGUUAUAGAGUUCAAUAUGUAUGAUGCCAUGAAAUAUCCCAAUGAGGAACAUUCGGUAUUUUCUAUGGAUGUUAUUAACCCUAUAGUGCAGGAAGUUUUUUAUUUGGAUGUUGAAGAUUCAUUGGUAGCUGCUUUAAAUAACAGUUUGGGCCUCAAAGGAUUGCAAAAGGAUGAAAAUGAGUUUGUUUUAAAUUCUGUAUUGCAAGAGACAAUUUAUGAAUUAAAUUCUUUGAGAACUUUAACUCAUCAUAUGUCUAAUAAUGAAUUACCUUCAUCUAAUGCAAAACUUCUUCCAUCUAUUUUGCAGGCACCGAAAAUAGAGCUUAAACCAUUGCCUAGUCAUCUAAAGUACAUGUUUUUAGGAGAUGAUGAGACACUUCCGGUGAUCAUCUCUUCAAAGCUUAGUACUUUAGAGGAAGAGAAACUUAUUAGAGUGCUACGGGAUUACAAAAAGGCUAUUGGGUGGACAAUUGCAGAUAUUAAAGGGAUAAGUCCGUCCACGUGCAUACAUAGAAUACUGCUGGAGGAAGAUGCCAAACCUUCAAUUCAAGCUCAACGCCGUUUGAAUCCACUCAUGAUGGAAGUAGUGAAGAAAGAAAUUCUAAAACUUCUCGAUGCAGGUAUAAUCUAUCCAAUUUCGGAUAGCAAAUGGGUAAGUCCGGUACAAGUGGUACCGAAGAAAACUGGUAUAACAAUUGUUGAGAAUUCUUAUGGUGAGCUAGUUCCUACCCGAGUUCAGAAUGGGUGGAGGGUUUGUAUUGAUUUUAGAAAGCUUAAUUCACUCACUAGGAAGGAUCAUUUUCCUAUUCUUUUUAUUGAUCAGAUGCUUGAAAGGUUGGCAGGAAAAUCUCACUUUUGUUGUCUUGAUGGCUAUUCAGGUUUUCAUCAGAUACCAGUUGCGCCUGAGGAUCAGGAGAAGACUACCUUCACAUGUCCUUUUGGAACCUUUGCGUACCGACGUAUGCCAUUUGGUCUUUGUAACGCUCCCGCCACUUUUCAGAGGUGCAUGGUCAGUAUUUUUUCAGACUAUGUAGAAAACACUAUAGAGGUAUUUAUGGACGAUUUUACGGUCUAUGCUGAUUCUUUCGAUGAUUGCCUCUAUAAUCUGAAGAAAGUGCUUGAAAGAUGCAUUGAAACAAACCUUGUCUUGAAUUAUGAAAAAUGUCAUUUUAUGGUAGAUCAAGGCAUUAUUUUGGGUCAUGUAGUCUCUGCUAGAGGAAUUGAGGUAGAUAAAGCUAAAAUAGAUGUUAUUAAAUCUUUACCUUAUCCCACAUGUGUGCGGGAAGUUCGUUCUUUCCUUGGUCAUGCAGGUUUCUAUAGACGAUUUAUCAAGGAUUUUUCGAAGAUAGCUCAGCCUUUAUGCAAGCUUCUUCAGAAAGAUGUGACGUUUGAUUUUAAUGAAGCAUGCAAGGUAGCAUUUGAUAAACUUAAGGAGUUAUUGACUUCAGCUCCAAUUAUACAGCCACCAGACUGGAGCCUCCCUUUUGAGAUAAUGUGCGACGCCAGUAAUUAUGCUGUUGGUGCUGUUCUCAGACAAAGGGUUGGAAGAGCUGCUCAUGUGAUAUAUCACGCAUCAAGAACACUUGAUAGUGCUCAGUGCAAUUACUCAACAACGGAAAAAGAACUUUUAGCUAUUGUUUUUACUUUAGAAAAAUUCCGUUCAUAUUUAUUGGGUACUAAAGUGAUUGUUUUUUCUGAUCAUGCAGCUCUCAGAUAUUUGCUCGCCAAGAAGGAAGCAAAACCGAGACUUAUCCGCUGGAUCCUAUUGCUUCAGGAAUUCAACUUGGAGAUCCGUGACAAGAAAGGAACAAAAAACUUAGUUGCAGACCACCUUAGUAGAUUGACCACGAGUGAAGAAGCAGCACCUUUGAAAGAUGAUUUUCCAGAUGAGCAUCUCUUUGUAACUCAAGGUAUGGUUCCUUGGUACGCUGACAUUGUCAAUUACUUAGUUACAAGAACACUACCUAGUGAUCUGACGAGGGCUCAAAAAGAUAAAAUUAAAAGUGAUGCUAAAUACUAUGUUUGGGAUGACCCUUACUUGUGGAAACAUUGCUCUGACCAAGUCAUCAGAAGGUGCGUAUCUGAGUUUGAAAUUCCUUCUAUUCUUUAAUUUUGUCACUCAUAUGCAUGUGGUGGUCAUUUUGGUCACAAAAGGACAGCAUCCAAGGUGUUAGAAUGUGGUUUAUUUUGGCCUACUUUAUUUCGUGAUUGAUAUAUGUUUUGUAAGUCGUGUGAGAAUUGUCAAAAGACUGGUAAUUUAAGUCAUAGAAAUCAAAUGCCACUUACCCCUAUUCUUGUAUGUGAAAUAUUCGAUGUAUGGGGCAUUGAUUUUAUGGGACCUUUUCCCUCAUCUUUUGGCAAUGCUUACAUUCUUUUAGCAGUGGAUUACGUUUCUAAGUGGGUAGAGGCUAAGGCCACCCGGACUGACAAUGCUAAAGUUGUUGUAGAUUUUGUCAAGUCUAAUAUUUUUGCCAGGUUUGGUGUACCGAGAGCGAUGAUAAGUGAUAAAGGCACUCAUUUCUGUAAUCGAGUGGUGGAAGCUUUGUUCAAAAGAUAUCACGUUACCCACCGAGUGUCUACCGCCUAUCAUCCACAAACAAGUGGACAAGCUGAGAUAUCAAACAGAGAAAUCAAGUCUAUUCUUGAAAAGACAGUUAGUCCAAAUCGAAAAUAUUGGAGUUUGCGAUUAGAUGAUGCAUUAUGGGCGUAUCGCACCGCUUACAAAACUCCCAUAGGUAUGUCUCCUUAUCGUUUAGUAUUUGGUAAGCCUUGCCAUUUACCUGUAGAACUUGAGCACAGAGCAUACUGGGCGGUUAAGCAAUGCAAUAUGCGGAUGGAUGAAGCGGGAAAGCAGAGGAAGUUGCAGCUGCAAGAGUUGGAGGAGAUAAGAAAUGAAUCCUACGAGAGUUCGCGAUUUUACAAGGAAAAGACGAAGACAUUUCAUGACAGAAUGAUUUUGAGAAAGGAGUUCUCUGUUGGUCAAAAAGUUCUUCUUUUUCAUUCUAAACUUAAACUUUUUCCUGGUAAAUUACGUUCUCGUUGGGUAGGACCUUUUAUUGUUGCUAAUGUUUUUCCUCAUGGUGCAGUUGAGAUUCGGAGUCCGACAUCUGAUAAAGCCUUUAAGGUUAAUGGUCAUCGUUUAAAACCUUUCUAUGAAGGUUUUUCGGUAAAUAUUGUGGAGGAAAUGGCUCUCGAGAGUCCUAUUUAUGGAGAUUGAUGCAUAAAUGUGUCUAGCCAAAGACAUAAAAUAAAGGCGCUUUUUGGGAGGCAACCCAAAUGAUUUGUUUAUUUUGGUUUUUGUUUUAUCUUCUUUUAGUUUUGAUUCAGAUUUAAAAAAAAAAAAAAUUUUAAUGUGUUUGCUUAUCUUGGUCAGAAGAAAAUUUUUGAUAAGGCGUGCCCACGUUUUAACUAAUAAGUACUUCUGAAAUUUUUAAAGUAAAAUAGUUUUAAGGCGUGCCCACAUACUUAUUAGAAAAGUACUUCUGAAGUUUUUAGUGUCUCAAAGUGAUUCAUCACAAAAAAAAAAAAUUAUUUACUUAUUUAUUUUUUCGUUCUUUUCUUUCUUAUAUAUAUAUAUAUAUUUAUUUAUUAAAAAAAAAACCAAAAAUCGAAAAUCACUGUUCACAAAUCCCUAAUUCAAAAAAAUUCACUGUCGAUUUUCGUUUUCCUGCAGCAAACCUUAGCUCCAGCGCGCAUCAGUCCCACCUGCAACGCAAACCAGCCCGCCUGAACUAGCAAGCAUCGAGCACUAUCCAGCGUCUCGCAGCCUAGCAGCGCGCGCAACACCAGCAUCGACCACCAUUCCGCACGCGCAACGUAGCCGAGCAGCAGCAGACCAGCAGCGCGAACCAGCUCUCGCGCGCAACACAGCCACGCAGCAGCAGUGCGUAACCAGCCCCAAGCCGAGCAGCAACGCAACGCAACCAGCCUACGCCCUGUAUUCCAGCCGGGUAAAUUGAAAUCCGUGAGUGCAAUCAUUGUAACAAUGCCAAAGAGGAAAGCAUCUACUUCCAAGUCAUCGAAAAAGACACCUGUCGCAAAGAAAUCUAAGAUUGCCGCUCCCACUACGGUUCCAUGGAACACAAUUUCAGAUUCACGCCAAGUCGUGAGACAAAGAUCGAAGCAUGGAAAAGGCAUGAGUGUUUUGCCACUUGCGGAAUCCAAUCUCGAAGGGUGCCUCGCGUUCGUGAUUCAACAAGAGAAAGAGAGGUACAAAGAUAUUUCCACGCGCAAAAUACUUCCAGCUAAGUAUAUUCAUUACCCGACUCUUGAAAAAUUGAAUGUUAAGGAUAAUUUUGAUUCUUUGAUAGAUAAGAUUGGGUUGCGUAAAUUUGUUGAUGUUGAUUGUUUGGGUUAUGUUGAGUUGAUUAGGGAGUUUUAUGCUACUUUUCAAUUUAAUAUGCCGAAUGAUUUUACUUUGCAUACCCCGAAUGUCAUAAAGUUUAGGUUAAUGGGACAAAAUUUUUCACACUCUAUCACGGAUUUUAACCUAGCUUUAGAAUUCAUUGAUGAUGAUUAUUCUUCUAGUGAUGCAUAUUUAGGAACAACUUGUGACUUUAGCGAAAAUUUUGAGCCUUAUGGUCUUUGGCGUAAUUUAUCUAUUGAUCACAAUGCCUAUGACCCGAGCAAAUCAAAGAGUUCUUUCUUACGUGAUCCUGUUUUGAAAUGUGUGCAUCGAUUCUUAGCAUAUAAUUUUUUAGGCAAGAAAGAUCACUCAGGAGUUUUCUCUAAAACUGAAUUUUAUUUUAUCUGGUGCAUGUUAAAUGAUGUGAGGCCUAAUUUAGGUUUUUGGUUAGCGGAUCAAUUUCAAAGUGUGCUUAAAUGGUAUAAGACUUUAUUUCUUGGUCCAUACAUUACUCUGUUAGCUAUAAACCUAUGUGUGCUUGAUCCCGACAAUAAUGAUUUGCAUCCUGCUUGCAAAAAGGAAUUUUUGGAUAUGUCUGCGUUUGAAAGAACAGGUGUGGUCGAAUUCAAGGAGGGGAGAUUUCAGUUUACUGAACCAGGACCCACUCAACUUCCGAAGAAGCUUUAUGCUAGGAGUGGGGGAGAGAUUUUUAUGUGAGCUUUGAUUAUCUUACAUUGGGGACAAUGUAAGUUCUUGGUGUGGGGGAGAGAUUUUUACAUUAUUGAUGCCUGAAAUUAUUAUUUUCACUCUACUCAUCCUUAAAUGAUUUUGGAGUUAGUAUGCUUCAUAUAUUAUUAAUUCUCUUUUCCUUUCUCUCUCACUACUCUUUUCCCUUCUAUCUCAAAUUAUUUACAUCUAUUUUUUUCUAUCAUACUCUUUCAUCACUCACAUUUAUCUUUCAUUUUUUUUACUACAUACAUCUUUCUCGCUUAUUAUUAUUUUUUUACCUUUCCUUUUAUAUCUCACUCAUACCUUUUUCUCAUUCUACACCACUAUUGAUGGUUGAUUUAUUUGAAGAGUGUACAUGAUUUGAUGGCAAAUUUACCAACUUUGUGAGGAUUUGAGCCUAUGAGCAACCACUUUGCUCUAAUAUUUUUGUUGCGUGAAUAUCAAUCUUAGUUUGUUUAUUCUAGAACUUGCUUUGUUAUGCAUGUUGAAGCCGCAUUACGGGAUUUUAUGCAUUAAAAUGAUAAGGGCAAACCCUUUUCCAUUUUUCUAUUCUCGCAUUUUUUUUUUCUCUACCCGAAGACCUUUAUUUGCUACAUUUGUUUGAGCCUUAACCAUUACCCAUCUAAUUCUCUUCGUCUACUUAACAAUUUUUCUUCUUUUUGAGCCUCAAUUUAAGGAGAUUUUUGGACUCAUUGUGUGGAUAUAUUUUGUUGCUUUUUCUACCUUGUAUUGAAGUUUCUCAAUUAGAUCAACAAGCAUUAUGCUUGAAUUAAAUUGUGCAAGGUUCGUUUCUUUUGUUUGAUUUGAAAAAAAAAGAAAAAACAAAAAAAAAGGAAAAAAUGAAAAAGAAAAAUAAAAGAAAAAGAAAAAUAAAAAUAAAAUGUUUACAUUCUUGGUGACUUGAGUAGAAAUAAGCAUUUUGAUAUCAUAAGUUCAUUCAAUGAGUUCAUUCUUCUCAUUUUGAUCUCUUUUUCUUUCGUAAACCUUUCUUUUUCAUUUAACCCAUUUAACCUCAUUACAACCCUUUUAAGACCCUUAGAUUUUUGCAUUUUAUUCAUGUUUUGUGGAUUGAGAUGUGAUAUAUGAGCAAGCUUAUGGUAAUAGCAUUCUUUGAUUUGAUUUGAGUGGAUAAAUGACACCCUAAACACUUUGAGUGCAUGGAAUGAAGUUAUUGAGAGGGCUAUUAAAUCUUGUUGCACUUGAAUUUUGAAUGGAUCUUCUUGGUCGUUGAAUGUUCUUAAUCUAUCUUAUGAAAUUCUAUGCUUUAAAAUCCUUGUCUCUCGAAUGAUGAACGACUUAAUUUCUUGAGGUAUGCUUGCUUAAAAUUGUUUUUGGAUGAGUUGAGAUGAGAAUUGAGUGGAGAUUUGAGAUUAAUCUUGAGUUAUAUGCUUGAGGACAAGCAUCAUCUUGGUGUGGGGGAAUUUGUUAGAGCGCGAUUUAUGCACUAGUUUUGCAUUGUUUACUUCCCUUAAUAUCGAUGUUUUGCACUUAAUAAUAAUGUUUUACUUGUGUUUUACUUUUGUAGGUGCAAUUCUAUUGAUUGGUGAUAAAAUUGAGCUAAAAGAUGAUGUUUAAGGAGGAUUGUUCUCUUGGAGAAAUUAUGAGCGUCAGAAGAACUUUGUUGAUAAGGCGUGGGCGCGUGCUGUCAACUGCGGACCUGCAGUUUUUAGUUUAACGUGUUUUGUAUUUUUGGCUAUUUUUGUAAUUACGAAUUUAAUAUUUAAGAUAUUAGUAUUUUAUUUUAAAUAGAAUUCUAAAAGAGAAGAGAGAGAGAGAGUAUUUAAGGGAGGAAUCUAUUGUGAAAAAGGGGGGAUUUGGAUUGGAGAAAAAGAAAGAAACCCUAGAUCUAAUUUUUCUCUUCUCUCUAUGAAGAACUAAACCUAUUUUUCUGGUUGAAGGAUAAUGAAGCUUUGAUUCAUCACUACUGUGAGAUCUUUCUUAUGCUUUAAUUGUUUUAUUACUUUUUGGGUAUUUGUUUAUUCUCUGAAUUAGUUUCAUGAUUAUGUUUGUUAAUUAGGUAAUUGGCCACUAUUUAAUUAUCAACUUAAUCUAUUGUCAAUUAAAGGAUUCAUCGUAUGAAGAAUUUAAUGUUUGUGACAAAUAACAUAGCAGAGAGUUGUGUUGUGAGAAUAAACAAUCUAAUUUAAAUGAAUCAUCAUAUGUGUUGAUUAGGAUUUGGGUCUCUCUAGUUUUUCAGGCUGUCAAUUGAUUAAAUCCUAUGAUCGUAUCUAGGGUUGUCUAUUGAUUAGGGAAAUAUCCAACGGUCGUACCUUGGUUAUCGACUAGUUAAGGAGAGAUUGGCUAUUAGAGUGUCUCAAUAGCUAUAACCGGUCUAUUCAUAAGUAAUAAUAAUAUAUAUUUGAAUCAAUGAUCAGUAGUCGAAUCAAGCUGAGUUAAUUCCUUCAACCAGAGCUUUCUCCAAUUUGAAUUACAACUUUAAUUUGCAUUCUUGUUAUUUUAAUUUAUUUUUUAUUAUUGUCAACAAUUCCCCCAUUUUACGUUUUACGUUUCAAAAGGAUUUAAAUAAUUACCGAUCUCUGUGGACACGACCCUGCUCAAUCACUAUACACAAUUUAUUCAGAGUAGGAAUUUAUUUUUGUUGGCUUCGACACCCAUCACUCCGGGUCCGGCCACCUGUUUGACUCUAUAUGGCCCUUCCCAGUUAGGACCGAGUACCCCUUGUGUCGAGUAUUUAGUGUUCUGAUUUACCCUUCUAAGUACCCAAUCGUCGACUCUGAACUAUCGUACACGCACCUUCUGGUUGUAAUAGCGAGCAACCCUCUGUUGGUAGGCAACUGACCUCUUCAAUACUUGCUCCCUCUUCUCAGUCAGCAGAUCCAUAUUUAAGCAUAUCUGGUUGUUGUUCUCAUGCUCAUCAAAGUGCUCGGUUCGGUACGUGGCUGCCCCUAUCUCCACGGGCACAACAGCUUCAUGUCCGAAGGCCAAAGCGAACGGAGUUUCGCCGGUCAUUGUUUUAUGAGAUGUCCUGUAUGUCCAUAACACCCCUAGUAGAUCAUCAACCCAUGCACCAUUUUUCUCUCAUAGCUUGGUCUUCAAACGUUUCUUGAUAACCUUGUUGGCUGCUUCUACUUGUCCAUUAGAUUGAAAGUGAGCAGGCCAGCAGAAUUUCAGCUCUAUUCCGAGGUUCUGGCAAAACUCUCUAAAGUUAUGAUUAUUGAACUGCCUACCAUUGUUUGCUAUCAAGGCAUACGGGUUCCUAUAUCAGCAGACUAGGUUCCUUCAUACGAAGUCGAUCGUCUUUUUCUCUGUGAUCCUGCUGAGGGCUUCUACAUCGACCCAUUUUGUGAAAUAAUCUACUGCUACUACUACAUGCGUUGCCGCUCUACGUCCCUUUAGCAAAGGUCCAAUCAAAUCGAUUCCCCAUUGAGCAAACGGCCAUGGCGAGGCCAUAUAAGUGAGUUUUUCUGGUGACUAAGUGGAGAAAUUGGCAAAACUCUAACAACUUUUGCAACUCCUAGUUUUCUCCUGAGCGUCCUGGUGCAUCGUCGGCCAGAAAUACCCUUGCCUAAGAGCCUUGUAGGCAAGGGAUCUCGCACCAGAAUGGUUUCCAUAAACCCAUUCAUGCACUUCUCUUAGUACGUAAUCCGCGUCGCCUUUGUCCAAACACCGAAGAGUAUACCCUCACCGAUACAGCACCCCAUCAAUUAUUGUGUACCCCGACUCCUGGGAUCUGAUCCUCCGUGCCAGUAACUUAUCUGCUGGUAACACCCCAUACCGGAUGUACGAAAUUAUUGGGUCCAUCCAUGAGCUCUCCUGUUCUAUUCGCAUCACCUCCAGAUUCUGCUCGAUACUGGGGCAGGACUUCACCUCCAAAGGGACCGACUUUGGCAUUUUUGGGUCCGCUACAGCUGCCAUUCUGGCCAGGAUAUCUGCUCGAUAGUUCUCCCCCCUUGGAAUUUGCCCUACGUCCACUGAUUUAAACUUCCCAAUCAUUUGUCUAACUUUCUUUAAAUAUUGUUCCAUCUUCCUAUCUCUGGGUUGGAAUCUUUCACUGACAUGGUUGGUAACCAGUUAGGAAUCGGUCUGGAUUUUUACCCUAUCCCCUUUCACUACCUUAGCUAAUUCUAACCCUGCUAUUAAAGCUUCGUAUUCUGCCUGGUUGUUUAUGGCUGUGAACUCUAAUCUAAUAGCAUAAGAGAUCUCCUCCCCUUCUAGGCCUUCCAAAACAAUCCCUACUCUGGCACCCUGCUCACCUGAGGAUCCAUCUACCGAUACCUACCAGACUCAAUCCUCGUCGUUGUCUGCAACAGCACUCGGUUGGUCAAAACUAACUUCGGGCUCUGUGAAUUCUGCCACAAAGUCUGCCAUCGCUUGGGCUUUUAUUGCUGCUCGGGGUUUAUAGUUUAUAUCGAACUCACUCAGCUCUAUUGGCCAUUUCACUAGCCGACCGGAAGCAUCCGGUUUGUGCAGCGUCUGUCGCAGUGGUUGGUUUACUAUUACCAAGAUGGGGAAUGCUUGGAAGUAUGGUCUCAGCUUUUGAGCAGCCACUACAAGAGCAAAUGCCCAUUUCUCCAACGGCGGGUACCUGGUCUCGGCAUCGAGCAGGGUCUUCCCCGUGUAGUAUAUUGGAUACUGAACCACUUCUUCUUCUCUCACCAGAACUGAGCUCGUAGCAUGAUCUGAUACCGCUAAAUAUAUGAACACCACGUCUCUCUCUCGCGGUGUGGACAAUAAGGGUGUUUGCUGCAGAUAUUGUUUCAGUUUCUAGAAGGCCUCUUCGCAUUCAGGGGUCCAUUCUGUUUUCAUUCCCCUCCUUAUCACUUGAAAAAAGGCUUGGCACUUAUCUAUUGCCUUAUAUAUGAAUCGACUCAACGCCGCCAGUUUUCCCGUGAGGCUCUGUAUCUCCUUCAAGUUACGAGGGGAUCUCAUCUGCACAAUUGCUUGGAUCUUCUCAGGAUUCACCUCAAUCUCUCGAUGGCUCACCAUGAAUCCAAGGAAUUUCCUGAUUCGACUCUAAAGGCACACUUCUCCGGUUGAGCUUCAUCUUAUACUUCCUCAAAAGCGCAAAUGUCUCCUCGAGGCGCUUGACGUGUUCACUCGGACUUUUCGAUUUGGUUAUCAUGUCGUCCACAUAAACCUCCACCGUUCUUCAAAUCAAUGGCUUAAAGAUUUUGUUCACCAACCUCUGGUAUGCACCUGUAUUUUUUAGGCCAAAUGGCAUUACCCUGUAACAGAACAAACCCUGGUUAGUGAUAAACGUCGUGCUCUCCUCGUCCUGUUCGAACAUUGGGAUUCGAUUGUAUCCCGAGAAUGCAUCCAUGAAGCUGAGCAGACCAUGUCCCGCUGUUGAGUCAACCAGCUGGUCGAUCUUUGGUAGGGGAAAGCUAUCUUUCGGGCACGCCUUGUUGAGGUCAGUGAAGUCAACGCACAUUCUCCAUUUACCAUUAGCAUUCUUUACUAGAACGACAUUCGAUAUUUGGGGUAGUUGACUUCCCGAAUGAACCCUACCUUCAAGAGCUUCUUUACCUCACAAUUUAUGGCUUCGUAUCUCUCCUGGUUGAAGCACCUUCUCUUUUGCCUUACCAACUGGGCACCCUUAUUUAUUGCCAACCUGUGGCAAGCCACCUCAGGGUCGAUUCCUGGCAUGUCAUCAUGCGUCCAAGCGAACACAUCUGCGUGAGCUCUCAAACAAUACACCAGCUCCUGCUUAAGCUCUUCUUUAAGCCUUGACCCAAUUCAGAUUGUUUUUCCUGAGUCGCCUUGUUCCAAGUUUACCAUUCCCAGCUCCUCAAUUGGCUCCUGUUUGCCACCCUUGACUUCCACUCGAGUGUCAAGCGAAGUGAUUUGCACUGCCUCCCUUGCUGCUGUAGAGUAACAACUUCGGGCGAUUCUCUAGUCUCUUUGUACCACCCCCACUACUCCGUUCACCCAGUAUUUGAGAGCUAAGUAAUGAUUAGAGAGCAUUGCCUUGCUCACUCUAACAAGAGGAUGACCUAUAAUCAUCUAGUAAAGGCUCUCCUCAUCGACAACCACAAAAUCUAGGAUCAUGGUAUUUUCUGAUGGGGAGCAGCCUAUCAUGAUGGGCAGCUCAAUCACGCCUAGAGGAAUUAGCUUUCCUCCACCGAACCCCUUUAAGGAGGUAUUGGUGUGCUCUAUCUUCAAAUAUGUUAUUCCCAUUUCCUCUAGAGUUGACUUGAGCAGGACAUCGACCGAACUUCCUAUAUCUACUAGGAUUCGGUCAAACCUCUUGCUGGCAACGGUGGCUUUAAUGACCAAUGUAUCCUCAUGUGGGUACAACACUCCCUCUUCAUCCUCAUCCGUCCACAUGAUCGGCACCUGCCUGAUUCUUGCUCGUUUGGCCGCUGGGGUGUUGAAGAAUAUAUUUUUGCUAGUUAUGGCGUACCUAUCAUAGUUCUGUCUCAAUCUGUUGGAGUCUCCAGCCAAAGUUGGGCCCCCAGCGAUCACCCUUACAAUCGGCUGCUCGUGGCUCAUGUUUCUAUUACUCUGCUCUCCUUCGCAUGACGAGCCCACCAUCGGGAUAGCUGAUGGUUGUCGAAGCCAGCAAAAAUAAAUACAUACUCUAAAUAAAUUGUGUAUAGUGAUUGAGUAGGGUCGUGUCCACAGAGAUCGGUAAUUAUUUAAAUCCUUUUAAAAUAUAAAAUGCAAAAUGGGGGAAUUGUUGACAAUAAUAAAAAUCAAAUUAAAAUAACAAGAAUGCAAAUUCAAAUUGUAAUUCAAAUUGGGGAAAGCUCUGGUUGAAGGAAUUAACUCAGCUUGAUUCAACUACUGAUCAUUGAUUCAAAUCUAAAUUAUUACUACUUAUGAAUAGACUGGUUAUAGCUACUGAGACCCUCUAAUAGCCAAUCUCUCCUUAACUAGUCGAUAACCAAGGUACGACCGUUGGUUAUUUCCCUAAUCAAUAGACAACCCUAGAUACAAUCAUAGGAUUUAAUCAAUUAACAGUCUGAAAAACCAGAGAGACCCAAAUCCUAAUCAACAAACGCAUACGAUGGUUCAUUUAAAUUAGAUUGUUUAUUCUCACGACACAACUCACUGCUAUGUUAUUUGUCACAAACAUUAAAAUCUUCAUACGAUGAAUCCUUUAAUUGACAAUAGAUUAAGUUGAUAAUUAAAUAGUGGCCAAUUAUCUAAUUAACAAACAUAAUCAUGACAAUAAUUCAGAGAAUAAACAAAUACCCAAAAAGUAAUAAAACAAUUAAAGCAUAAGAAAGAUCUCACAGUAGUGAUGAAUCAAAGCUUCAUUAACCUUCAACCAGAAUAAUAGGUUUAGUUCUUCAUAGAGAGAAGAAAAAAAUUUAGAUCUAGGGUUUCUUUCUUUUCUCAAAAUCCCCUUUUUUUCACAAUAGAUUCCUCCCUUAAAUACUCUCUCUCUCUUCUCCUUUAGAGUUCUAUUUAAAAUAAAAUAAUAAUAUCUGAAAUAUUAAAUUCGUAAUUACAAAAAUAACUAAAAAUACAAAACACGUUAAACUAAACACUGCAGGUCCGUAGUUGACAGCACGCGCCCACGCCUUAUCAAAAAAGUUCUUCUGACGCUCAUAAUUUCUCCAAGAGAACAAUCAUCCUUAAACAUCAUCUUGUAGCUCAAUUUUAUCACCAAUCAAUAGAAUUGCACCUACAAAAGUAAAACAUAAGUAAAUCACUAUUAUUAAGUGCAAAACAUCGAUAUUAAGGGAAGUAAACAAUGCAAAACUAGUGCAUAAAUUGCACUCUAACAAUAGCCUCAUAUAUGAACUCGUCCAGGUAGUGAUUCCUCACUAAAUCUUCCACCUGAUUUUUGAGAUCCCUACAUUCAGUCGUAGUAUGACCAUGGGUGCCAUGGAAUUUACAAAACCAUCCCUUAGCUCGCUUGCUAGAUAAUUUUGCUAUUGGGGUAGGAGGAUACAGCAGCCCACGGUCUUUUAUUGCAUAAUACACCUCGUCCAGGAGCACCUUUAAGGAAGUAUACCGCCCAUAGCCUUGACUUUGAUUGAUCAUGUGCAUUGCCCUUUCCCUGUGGGUGCCGUUUUGAGCAGGAGGGGGCACCGGUGCCUCUGGUCUGCUAGCUCUCAUACCUUGUGGUUGGUGAGCCAUCGUGGGAUGUUGAUAAGGAUGACUGUACACAUGAUCAUGCCUUUUCUAGGAACCUCUGACUGGUGAGUAAAGAGGUUGCAUCCUGCCACGCUAAUAUUGGGGUGGCCUCUGAUGAGGCUGGUAAGAAGUGACCCGGCUUCCUGCACCACCACCUGGGGCAUGGUGGUCCUUCCGCUUAAUCGGCCCGCUUCCCGCUAAGACUUUCUUUUCUUUUCUCCUCAACCCUUCCAGCUAGUCUGUCUUGAUCCUUGCUGUUUUUUCCUCCUCGAUUUCUAUGUCCCUCUUGGCCUGCUCAUAGGCCGCGGAAUAUGACUGAAUGGCUGGACUCCUCAAGUUGUACCACAUGCGUCCUAUCUUUACUCUUUCCUUUAAUCCCCUCAAUGCUUGGGGAUGGUUGAAGGUUGCCAGAUCGAGGACAGUGCGAUGAUACCUUUUGAUAAACUCCCGAAGAGUUGCAUCAUCUCUUUGCUUCAUACUCGUCAGCUCCAUCAUAUCAUCUUCAGGUGCAUUUGCCUCCCGAAAUUGUUCUUCAAAUUCUUGGCACAUCUGCUCGAAUGUUUCAAUGAUCCCCCAAGAAAGCUUCAGGUACCACUCACGUGCUCGUCCCUCUAGAGACAACGGGAACACCCUGCACCUUUAGGCUUCAGAUAAUCCCUACACCCCGGUUAUGUCAUUAAAACGCUCUAUAUGCACUAAUGGGUCGGUUCGUCCAAAGUACUUGAAGUCGGGGAAGCGGAAGUCCCUCGAGAUGAUAGCACUCAUGAUCUCUGGCGAGAGGGGAGAUUCGACGUCGAGCAUUAUCCACCAACCGGGUGCUCUGCUUUGUCCCUGCAUGUCAUCUAUAAUUUGCGUUAGUCUAUGCACUUAUUCCUCCAGCUGCAUGGCACGACUAGGGUCACGUGUCGCAACCUGGUCUCGCUCUUUUUCCUCUACAUUCAUAACCCUGUCAUUAUUAUCAAAGCUCUGCCUCCCCGGGGAUUGAUCCCCUCCUUCAUGACUUCCUCCCCAUAGAGAUUGGCCACCCACUUUACCACCAAACCUCUUGGUGGUUCAACCUCUCAAUGCGGCACCGUUGUUCCUUCUGUUAACGUGCCCUGGUGUUACUCUACCACUUCUCAACCCCUCCUCUUGAAUUCCUCUUUGUUCGUUACUCAACCCCUGCAAGAUGGUUGUCAGGGUCUCCAUCUGUUCCAUCCGCUUAUAUAUUGAUUUUUCUCGCGCUUCGUUAACUAUCUCUCUCAAUGUUACGGACUCGUUAAGCCCCAGAUCACCUCCUUAGGCACUACUCCCACUUAUGUCCAUAGUCUCCCCACUUUUGUUUCUCCUUAUUCUUUCUAUUGACGGAAGCCUUUUGUUCAACUCCCCACAGACGGCGCCAAAUGUUGAUGCGAGAUUUUGGUGACUACUCGUCCACGACUAGGAUCUCUCCUGAACUCUCGAACUCACAGCCAACCGGGUAUACUUCACGUUACUCUUCUAGGCGAGCAGAGCUAUGCCUUAUGCAACUUCUACUCAGCGGACUCCUACGUACACAAACACUGGUUAGAGCGCGCCAUGAGUUUUUCCGGCGUAAACCCUCUGACGCUCAAGUCAGAAAUUCGGGCUUACUUUUUAGGAAACUCUGCCACUGAUCUCGUGGCUACCUAAUAAUCUCUUAAGCAAUAGAAUUCUGAUAAGCUUUCCUGAGGUUCUCAAUCGAACGCUCUUCCCGCUUAAUUUGAUAUGUAAAAAUGUCUAACCCCUUUACCUUUGUUGACUGCCUCUUUUAUAGCAUUCAUGUGGAUUCGACCCCCAUGAUUCACGUUCGCCACCUCCCCUAGUUCCUGAAAGUGGAUGCUUGAAUAUUACAGUUGCGGCCGAGUGGAUUUCGUGCCUGGAUUCUCAUAUAGUAGUGCACGUCCUGUUAACCGCUAUGGACUGGGUUCUGCCGACCCUGGACCCCAGCAGGAAAAACUCUCGGCUCCUUGCAAGAGUCCUGCUUGUGCUACGGUCCAGCAGAGGUUGUCUUCAUAAACGAGCAUAAAACUCCUCCUCUCGGCAACUCUUCCAGACCUCACGUCUGCUCACUUAUAAGAAGGUCAACUCCUCGUUUAGGAUAUGGCUGGUCGCUUCAUAAUAUACCAUCAAACAAGUGGCUUAUCUUGUUAAAAAUCAGGGCUACACAUACACUAUAAAUUGAGCUUCAUCUCAAAAGAGCAAGGGGUCCCAAAAUUGAGAAAAUCGAGAGCAAUUGCAUGCGAAGCAAAUUGAGAGAUUUGAGAGAGUUUUUAUUGAGUGUUCUAGUGAGGUUCCAUUUGAAUGUAUUGGGGUUUUGUGUGUUAAGAGUUUUUUCUAAUUUUGUAAAUUUCCAUUUGUUAGUCAAAUUAUCUUCUAGUCUUUGUCCAUAGGCUUUAUGCCGAACCACGUAAAUUAUUGUGUCCUAUUUUCUUUGCAUUUAUUUGUCACAUUUAUAUCUCUCCAAAUGUUGUAGUCACCAUAAUAUUGGUAAUUGCUCCACCACACGCUUCUGCAACAACCAUGACUCUCACUACAGCCCCAAUAGUAAAAUUUUAAGCUUAGGGAAUGCUAAAGUACUGGAAGCACUCUCAUAUUAUUUUUGAUCAAAGAGAUUCCCGUGAGUUUUUCUAAGCGUUCCUCCUCUGGCCAAUCAGUCAAUUCCAAGUCAGAUUUAACUUACAUGAAUGCUUUCUUCUCUUUAGAUGAUAUCCAUAAGGCGACAUCACGAAUUACAUCAUGCAUUCUCACUAAUUCUUCUUUAGCAGUGUCUAACAAUAAACAAGAAGCUUUGAGCAUCUUAAUCAUUGCACGAAAAAUGCUUCUAGCUUCUUCAAUUGAGUCAACACCUGGAUACAAACACAAUCCAUGUUGAAUAAAUAGAGUAAAAAAAAUCUAAUUAUCCAAAGGAAUUAAAAACACACUCUAAAUAGAACUCACAAAACUCUCUUAAAACAAACUAAGACACAAUGGCUAAUUGUCUUAUUUGUGUUUAUUUCUUUUCGAAUGUUAUACAAACAAGCACAAGGGCUAUUUAUAGUUUUAUAAAUGCAUUUCAGGCCACACAUUAAAAAAAAAAGAAAAAAUUACAACCAUGCACAACAUUGCCUUACACACGUUUGCUUUUUAUUACUCACAUUAAAAAACUAUAUAACAUAUUGUUUGCACUCUAUUAUUUCCCACUCACAUUAAUUUUUUUUAUAGCUUAUUGCUUUCCACUCCAUUAUUGGAAUGUAGUUUAUCAUAACCUAAUUUAAAAGCUUCUCAUGCUUGAGCUUGAACUUCAAAUUAUGUCCAACAUCCUUGGAUCUUGAUAUUGGGCUGGUGUUGUUUAAUUUCAACAGCCCCAAUAUUCUAAAUAUAUCCUCCAAAUCAAUUUUACAAUCUUCCAGAAAUAAGGAACAGAACAAGAAACAUAAGUUAGCAUUCUCGCCUUCAAAUAAUCGUAAUUCAAUUUUGGACAAGCAUAAAGGUUGACAUCAACAUCUUCAAUAUCAACAGAUUUUGAGUCUUUUAGUUUUUGGGAUACUACUGUCCAUUCGUCAGCAUCUUUUUCUCUUAAAACACUUCCAACAAUUACAAUAUCUAAAGGCAGUCCUUUACAUUCGACUGCAACUUCAUUUGCCACAUCAUUCAAGGUGGAGUUAAAUUCAUCAUCAUCAAUACCUGCAUGUUAUUUUAGUAAAGCCACUGCAUGUUUUUUUAACAAAGCCAAUCCUUCUUUUUCCUUUAGAACGUCCAGUGCAAUUCGCAGUUGACACUUAAUAGAAACAUAUACUUGUUGUCGUGGAGUCGUCAGAAGGAUUUUGCAGUCUUUGUGAUCAUUUCUGUUGGGAAUCCCAAUAAUUUGUCAAAUUGAGUCUUGUCAAAACAUCAUCCAACAUCAUCCAGAUUGGGAAACUGUAGCAAUUACAACUUUCUCAAAAAUCUUCUAUCCUUCAACUUUGUUACCCACUGCUAUUACCAAGCUUGUCUUUCCCACUCCUCCAGUCCCAUAUAGUCCCACCAUUUUGGUGUUAUCAUCUUUUAAUGCCUCAAUUAUUUGAUCAAAAGUUGAUUUUAUAGAGUCCAUAGGGAUAAAUUUGCAUGUGUAAAGAAUUCUAUGCCGGGUAGAUUGUCACGAUGGGACAGUUUGUUGAAUUUGCCACUUUUUUAUAGCUUCAAAAGAAUACUAAUCAUUUCUGCUGCUUUCCUACUCAACCGAUAUCACAAACCCCAACUAGGAAACCAGUCGUUAAGACUGGUCUUUGAACAUUUGUCAUGACAUUGCUCGCUUCAAUAAGCCAUACUUGUACAUCUUUGUCAAUUUCUUCAGUAUUUCUUAUUGCUCUUUCAAUAUCCUGCUGCAAGUAGGCUCGCCCAAAUUCUAAUUUCUUUUCUUCUCUCCUAAGAUUCUCAACAAUACUGUUGAAACUAAAUAAGUUACCAAUUUGGUGUAAUAGUUGCCUCAAAUUCCAUCCCGUAGAUCUGUGACCAAGACACACUUUUACAUAAAUAUUAAAUAAGAAAAAUAGAAGGGGCUAACCAAAAGAGAAAAUUUAAGCACCUUAGAUCAUGCGGCAAAAAUAAUGGAAACAAACACUUCCACAACAAUCCAAAAGUAGUCACCCAAAACAAGAAUCUAGUGGCAAAUGAAAUAUUUGAGAGAUCAUGAUGGACUUUUAUAUAACUUAGCACCCCACUUUCAUAUAAAAAUUCCUUAAAUAAUAACCCAACAUUAUCAAAAUAAAAUAAAAAUUGACCUCAAAUUAUUUUACAUAUCAGAAUAAUAUUAAAAGGGGAAAAAGCAAAAAAAUCGCUCUAAACCUCCAACAUUUGAAUAAAAACUAAAAUGAUUGAAAAAAUCAAUGUCUUUAGUAAAACUAUAGAAAUGAAUCCAAAUGUUGAGUUUGAAAAAUGAGAAAAAAUUCUUGUUGACCCCUCAACGUAAUAUAAAUUUGAAGCUUAUCUUCAACUUCAAGAGCUUCAAAAGGAUUCGAAAUCAAACAAGAAAAAUGGGAAAAUUGACUUCUCUCUAGUUGAAAAACGAACUAGAUGAGAGAAAAUAAGGUAAAGAGUUACUGACCAAUAUAACAAUCGAUAAGCUAUAGAAAAAGUGCAUUGCGAUCUUCCACUGUUCACUUCAUCUUCUAGUGUUUCUAUGUACUAGAAAAGCAAACCCAACAAGUUUGAAGGAUAAGAUAUAGAUAUAUGGUACUGCUAAAUUAAAUCAGAAAACAAAUAUUAGCAAAGGAUAUUAAACAAUGAAGUUGAAAGAUGUUUUGUAAUUUAAAUGCACCUUACCUACCAUGAGGUAAUAAUUGAAUGUGAAGGCAUCAUAAAACUCAUAAAAUAAAAAUAUAAAAAGGUUAUUAAUAAUAAAUGAAAAAGUCAUACUCAAGGAUAUGUUUGGGAGUUGGGAUUGUUUCGGGGAUGAAACAAGGUGAUUAUGAUAAGGUGUUUAGUCAAACAAUAUCUUACUCUCUUUAAAGUAAAAAGAAGGCAAAGAGCAAAUAAGUUACGAGGAGAUAAAGUUGUGUGGAGGUGUUUGAAGGUCAUUUGGGGAUGACUUCAAGUAGAUCACCCCGAGAAUGACGUAAUUCUAAUGAUCUUGAGCAUAUCACCUCAAUCAAAAGAUAAUUUUAGUGACCAUGAGAUAAUUCUCGUGACCUCGAGCAGAUCACCUCAACAAGGAGGUAAUCCGGUGAUCAUGAACAUAUCACCUCAACCACGAGAUAAUUUCAGUCAUCUUGAGCAUAUGGGUUUGAGGAAAUACUUGACCAAGUCACCAAAAUAUAAAAUUUAGUCAACACAACCACUACUCUUGUCCUAAAUAUAUGGGACCAUAUAACUAAAUCCUUCCUACCAAGAAUUAAGGGAUUUAGAAGUCAGGCUUUCAAACUUUACAACUGAUAAGACUUCAAUCUCUAUAAAUAUAUGCAACAAAUUCAUAAAUGAGUAGGUUCAACUUCUCUCUCUAUUAUAUCAUUUAUUUUUAACACUUUUGACUAUGAGAGAUUUCUUCUUCACCCAUCUUCCCAAAAACAAAAACAAAAAAAGAAACUAUUUAUUUAUUUAUUUUGUAAAACCAAAAAUCGACUUGAGCAUCAGAGGGCUAACGCUGAAAAACUUCUAGAGCCUUUUAAUGUCCUUUGUAAUUUUAGUUAUUCGCAGGUUAUUUGCUAGCAUUCGUAGGACGUCCUAAGUGAUUGGCAAACCACUUCUUCACCAAACAAAUUUCAUGUUGAUGCAAGAGUUUUGUAUCAAGUCGGUUAGAGUAGAUUUCGACAUCAACAUGAUAAUCAUAAAGAGCCAUAUUUGUUUAUCAAGCUCUCUAGUAACAACUUUUCCAAUAAUCACAUCAUACACAAUCAUUCCUGUAAUUGCAGACCAGCAAAUUUGAAAAAAAAAAGAUUGUCCAAAAAUUAAAUUCUUGAACAGGUCUAAUUGCCUGAUCGUUAAUUUAUCCUUUAUGAUUCUAAACACCGGUUGAAGUUUUGAAUAAUUCUUUAUGCCAUCUUCAAUGUUUUGUUGCAUGUGCCAUGACAAAUCUAUCAAGAGAUGGAGAAGUAUUUAUUAUGGUGCCAAUUAAUUCAAUUAGUAAAAUCUCUUAAAUGAAAAUAAUUUAUUAAAAUUUGAAUCUCGAAUUUAGUUAUGAAGUGAGAAAGGCGAGAAUUGGACUCUUCAAUUCAAAACGGGUGAAACCGACUACGAAAAUAAUAAGCCUCUAAAUUCACACCAUUUCCAAAAUUAAUGUGUAACACCCAAGCCUAAACUCCGAGGGAAAAUCUAACUGCAACUCACCUAUGUAAUUAAAUAUCUCUUUAAAUCAAUAACAAUUCAAGCCUCAAAUAUAAUAUUUAGAUUGCAAAAGACAUCAAAAACUCUGUCAAACCAUCUACCAUUCUCAAAUCAAGUCUUCUACUCACUCAUCAAAAAUAAAUCUUGACUUCUAGAAACUGAAUCAUAAUAAAUUAUAAUGAGUACAAAGCUCAGUAAACAAAUUAGUUUUUUUUAUACCAAAAUAUAUACAUAUUUACAUAUAAUGCAAAUGGAUGAUAUGACAUGACCUUUUGAAAACACUGUAAAACAAAUUCAUCAAAAUCUCUUUCUAUCACUUUCAAACUUUCACAUUUUAUUUUAUCAAAAUACAUGCAUGUGGCACUUUUGCACUAUGUGUAGUACUUCACGGUACAUUGGCCUUCGAGAGGCGCCCCCCUCCCCCCAUAAUCUCAAGAGGUGGCCCCCGCACAACUUCAAGAGGUGGUCCCCAUUGUAAAACUCUCGCAAAACUUAAUUUACUUUCUUUCUUUAAAAUCAGUUUUAGUAAAACUCACUUUCUCAUUUCAUAGAAAACGUAAUGCAUAUUCAUGCUAAUGCCAAUAAACACUCGCACAUACUUAAGUCCAUGUACUUAAUCACAUUUAACACAUAACAGCACAUCACAUAAACAUCGACAAAAUCAUAAAAAUCCAUAUCCGUACAUAUCAAACAUACAUAUCAAACAUAGGCUUUUCAAAAAUGCCAAACAUAUACAUAUUGUUUAUUGUGAUCCAUUUAGAAGUCUAGUUUACUUAUCUCUUGGCAUCUACUUGUAACAAAUGCAUAUUGGUAUCAUCGACCUAAAAAUCAUUAAUCAAACUCUCAUAAGAUAUAAUCAAGUCAUAAUCAUAAAUUCUUAUGUCCUCAAAUUUCUUAUUUUAAACAUCUCCUAGACUCAACCGCAAAUACCCUUAAUAUUGGAUCCCUAAACAGAACAACCUAUGUGCUCCGAAUUUUAAUAAAUUAUUAUCUUAUUAGAAAAUCUCAAAUUUUACAAAGCAUAUAUUAUGAUUCAUUUAGAAGUCUAGUUUACUUACCUCUUGGUAUACACAUGUAACAAAAGCGGAUUGAUAUCAUCGACUCAAAAAUCAUUAAUAAAACUCUCAUAAGAUAUAAUCAACUCCUAGUCGUAAAUUCCAAUGUCCCAAAAUUUCUCAUUUUAAACAUCUUCUAAACUCAACCUUAAAUACCCUUAAUAUUCGGUCCUUAAAACAGAACAACCCAUAUUCUCUGAUUUUUAAUAAAUUAUUACCUGAUUGGCAAAAUCUCAAAUUUUACAGAGCACAUGAUGACAUACUGGAAAUUCAUGGAUAAAAAUUUCAUAGCUUAGUUCCAUAAAAAAAAUUAUUGAAAAUAAUGUAUGUUUUAGACAACAUCAAUUCUAUCAAACAAUAUUUUAUUUUAAACCUACCUACUUUAAAAUUACAUAACAAUUUAUUGUUUUAUCAUAAAAUCAUGAAAAUUUCUAGAAUCACGUUAGUCGUAUAUAAAAAUAACUUAUCCAAAUCUUAUAAUUUUUGAAGAAGUCUAGUUAUGGUAAAAUAAUUUCGAAAUUUAUGUUCUUCUCUGAAAUCACAAAAUUUGCAGGUCUUCAGACUUGAGUUAAAAAGAAAUCCUAAUAAUUGAAUUCUUACCGAAUUAGCUUGAAAAAAGUUUCAAAACAUUCUUGAAGAUGUCUAGUUUAACAUAUCCAAAAUCCAAAAUCAAAUCAAUUUGUGAAAUUUUAUGAUUUUCGAAAUAACUCACUCUCGGUAUAUUUUUGCAAAAUUUUGAGUUUCUACUUCUUCUACAAUUGUCUAAUCAUGUUUCUCCAUGACAAUCAACAAAAAUCAAGAAUUGAAAUUUACCUCCAAUUUUCUCUCAACAAAUAUUUGUUUCAAACGACACAAUUUGAUCUCACGUGUUGCUCAUGACUGAACUAAGAAGAAGACUUUCUUUUUCUACUCUUUUUCUUUUCUUUUCUCUCUCCUCCUCCUCUUCUUCUUCUUAUUUUCCUUCUUUCUCUCAAUCAAUCUCUCUCUCUCUCUCUCUCUCUCUCUCUCUCUCUCUCUCUCUCUCUCUCUCUGGUUAACGAAAAAAGCAAGGUAUCUUAUUCUUUUUAUACUAAGAUACAAAAAUCACUAAGAAAUUUAAAAGACUAAAAUACCCUUAGAAGAAUUGAGAUAUUACAUAAUAGUCAUCCCAAUUGAUACUAACAAAUUAAGGAAAAUAAAAUUGCUUUCAAAACAAAGCUAGAAAUUCCAUUGAUUCUUUCAUCCUUUUUUACGAAUACAAGGUAAAAUAUUUAAACUAAUGCUAGCAAAAAUUUUGUUUCACUCACAUGAUAUUACAACUAUACAAAUUAAUUUUUUUAAAAAAUUAAAUAUCCAAUAUAAUAAACAAAUUAAAUAAAAAUAAAAUCAGGCUAGAGAUAUUCCUAUGGGCUUGUGGGCUAUGGGGUGGGUGACCAUUAGUAAGACAGCAAUAUCAAUCCUUAUCGGAACCCAACUAGCAGUCACGGAUAUUUUAAGCUCCAUGCUUCUCGCACUGUCUAUACUUUUCCUUUUCCGCUAAGCUAAACCAUCGAAUUCUGCAUGUCACUCUCUACAUAUGUUUCUCCAAUUUAUUAAGAAUAUUAUAAUGCCACUCAUAUCAAUUUCUUUUCCAUAUUUCGAUUAGGGUUGCAAUAUUUCACUAAUGAUAUAUGAAUAUUUCUUUUAUGCAAAUUAAUAUACAUGAUCAAUUACGGGGUUUAGAACUUUUCAUUCAUAAUCAAUUUGAUUUAUUUGCAUUCAGUUCUUUAAAAGGGUUUCUCAUCUUUUAGUUUAUGUCUAGAACUUUAGUGCGCGACUUAACAAAUUAUAAAAUAUAAUUACUAGUUGUCAAAUAUAAGCAGGUGGUAGUGGCUGUUUGUAAAGUUUAUUUAUCUGUCAGGUGUUUAUCAAAAACUUUAUAACGGUUUCAAAAUCAAUCAAACAUAAGCACAGAAAUUACAAACAUAUAUUGCUUUAAAACUUAACGAUUUUUCUUUCCCCUUUUUAUGCUAGGAUCGAAUGUUUAUCGACGAUGGUCCAAGCAGCAGGUAUUUCUGCCGUUCGUAAAACGGUUUCGUAUUGCAAAUGUGGUAUCACCAUGGUAUCGAAUGCCUCCAAUAUGUGUGUCACGUGUUUGAAAUCUGAAGUAGACAUUACUGAAAGUUUGCAGAAGCAUGCGAACAUAACACCAUGUCCCAAGUGUGAUAGAUACUUGCUACCACCAUGAGCAUGGACUAAAGCCAAAUUAGAAUCAAGGGAGCUGUUGACAUUUUGCUUGAAAAGACUCAACAAUUUGAAUAGAGUUCGGUUAGUGAAUGCAGAAUUUGUUGGUACUGAACCUCAUUCAAAGAGGAUCAAACUGAAGUUGACAGUCCAGAAGGAGGUUCUUGAAGGAGUGAUUCUUGAACAAUCAUAUGUUGUUAUGUCCAGAAAUAUCACAUGUGUGAAUCUUGUUCCAGGGUUCAUGCAAACCGGCCCUGACCACUGGGAUGCUGCAGUGCUGUUAGAGGUGUCAUGUUGCUCAGGCGAGGUUUCACUAAUUUAGAGCAGCUGAUUCAAAAGCAUGAUGCUCCUGCUCGGGUUACAAAGAUCAAGAAAAUGGAUCAUGGAAUUGAGUUUUUCUUUUCUGACAGAAGCCAUGCUGUGAAAUUCGUCGAAUUUGUGGGGGAGGUUGUUCCAGCACAAAGCCACCAUGACAAACAACUUGUGUCUCGUGGUACUGAGAGUCGUAAUUAUAAAUGUAAGUACACAUGCUCAGUUGAGAUCAGUCGUAUUUGUCGGGAGGAUCUGAUUUGCCUGCCGCCAAUAGCUGCACAUAAUUUGGGAAAUCUUGGUCCUUUUGUUAUCUGCACAAAAGUGACUAAUAGCAUUGCUUUGCUGGAUCCUUUCACUCUCAGGCACUGCUACUUGGAUGCUGAUCAGUAUUGGCGAUCACCCUUUAAGGCCUUUUUCACUAGCAGGCAGCUUAUGGAAUAUAUGUGUUAGAUGUGACGGUCGUUUCCAUUGAAGUCAAUGUUUGCAGCCCAAAGUAUGUUUUGGCUGGUGCUCAAGUAGCUCGUGUACUGGGUUUCGGAAAGAACGAUACCAUUUUGUCCACUAGAACACAUCUAGGCCAUCUCCUGAAUCUGGGUGAUUAUGCUAUAGGUUACGAUCUCCAUGAGGCUAACCAAAAUGACAUUGAACUUGAAAAAUACAAAGUCUUGUACCACCGGAUACAAUCAAGAUAAAGAAUAGUUAUAAAGAGAAGAAUCAAAGGAAGCAUAGGAAACCUAAUCCUCCGAAGCUCAAGCCCCUAGACAUGGAGGUGGAUGGCUCUAAAUGUGGAGCUGACCAAGAGAAGGUGAAUAAUGAGUAUGAAGAGUUCUUGAGAGAAGAGAGAAAACAGCUUGUUUGGAAACUAAGAAAUAUUGAGAGAAAAUGAUAAGAUUCUGAGAAUUUAUUUUUACUUCCUUUUAAUCAAGAUUACAAAGGAAAUGUACAAAGUUUGCUUUAUAUACUCACGUAUCUAAUCAGCUGAUAUUAGCUUAACUGAUCUCACAUGCUAAUCAUGCUUAACAACUUAUUAACUAACUGAAACUAAUAUUCUCGUGUACAAGAGAUUAUAUAACCACCAGGUGCUCGCUGGCAUGCCAAGUCAUCAACUUGUAACUGUGAGCUGCUGAUGUUACAAUCCUCUGCUCUGCUGACUAUUUGGCUCACAUGAGCUUCCUUAACAUCCCCUCUCAAUCUCAAGGGUCUAUUGAUUACAUUGAGCUUGGAAUGAAAAUAGCUAAAUUUUGGAAAUGACAGAGGCUUAGUGAGAACAUCUGCCACUUGCUCUUCAGUGGGAAUAUAUCUCACUUCUAACUCUUUAUUCAGAACCUUAUCUCUAAUGUACUGAACAUCCAGCUCUAUAUGUUUGGACUUGGAGUGAAAUACUGGAUUUUUAGCUAGAUCACCUGCACUCUGAUUGUCACACCAGAGAACCGGAGUUGGCAACUUGAUAAUCUUCAGCUCAGAAAACAAGGAUUGCAGCCAAGUAAGUUCUGAACUUGCUGCUGACAAGGCUCGGUAUUCACUUUCAGUACUGGACUUUGCUACAAUAGCUUGCUUUUUCGAAGACCAGGAGACCAGAUUAUUACCAAGGAAAAUACAGUAGGCUCCAAUAGAUUUUCUGUCAUCAAUAUCACACGCCCAAUCAGCAUCUGAAUACCCUGUCAACCCUAUUGUUUCCAAGGUCCCCUCUUGCUGAAUAUAAAGACCAUAUGUAAUAGUUGCUUGAAGGUAUCUCAACACUUUUUUGCAAGCUAACCAAUGUUGGAGAGUUGGAGCACUUAGAUACUGGCUGAGUUUAUGUACUGAAUAGGCAAUGUCUGGUCUGGUUAAAACCAAGUAUUGAAGUCCUCCAACUAUACUUCUGUAGAGAGUUGGAUUUUCAAACUCUGCACCCAAUAGGCCUUUAGUUGUUCUUUCUAAUUUGUAUCCUGUGCUGAAAGGAGUUUUAGUUUCUUUGCAGUUCUGCAUUGAUGCCUUGGCCAACAAAUCCUUUAUAUAUUUAGUUUGUGAGAGGUGCAUUCCAUGAUCUGUGUAGCUGACUUCUAUACCAAGGAAAUAUGAUACCAGACCUAAGUCUUUUAAGGCAAACACUUUACUCAGGUUUGUGAUGAAUGCCUCCAGCAAGACUGAAUCUGGUCCUGUGACUAAAAUAUCAUCUACAUAGAUCAAAACAAGGAUGAUGCCUUUAGUGUCAUGCCUGAUAAAUAAUGAAGUAUCAACCUUGGAAUUUGUAAAAUUCCAAUCUGUAAGACAACCUUUAAGUUUAUCAUACCAGGCCCUUGGUGCCUAUUUUAAACCAUAAAGAGCUUUGUUCAGCUUACAUAGGUAGCCUCCCUCUGAAACAAAACCCUCUGGUUGUUGUAUGUACACAUCUUCAGUGAGAUCCCGUUUAAGAAAUGCAUUGUUGAUAUCUAUUUGUCGAACAUUCCAGCCCUGCAUGACAGCUAAACUCAGUAUAACUCUGACAGUGGAAGACUUGACUAUAGGACUAUAAGUUUCUGAGUAGUCAGCCCCAACUGUCUGAUGGAAACCUUUAGCAACUAACCGAGCUUUAUACUUAGAGACUGAACCAUCUGGAUUAUACUUUGUUCUGAAAACCCACUUACAACCCACCAGUUUAUAAGUUGGAUCCAUUGGAACUAGACUCCAGGUUUUGUUUUGAAUGAGUGCAUUAUAUUCCAGUUGCAUUGCAGCUUGCCACUUAGGAUCAGCUAAAGCUUCAUUAACACUAGAAGGCUCUAAGUUGUUAUGUGCUGUCAAGAAUGCCUUAGGUUUGAAUAUACCAGCUUUAGCUCUGGUAAUCAUAGGAUGGGUAGAAAUAGUAGGUUUAGAAAGUGAUAAGGAGGGUCUGGAAGGUGAUGUGUGUAAAGGAACUUGAUGUGUUAUAGGAGGUUCUGGAGAAUUUUGAUGGAUGAUGGGUGAAAUUGUAGUAUUUGAAGUUGUUACUGGAGAUGUUGUGUGAAUAAUAGGUGAUGAUAUGGUAUUAGUGGAUGAAACAGGAUGAGUGGAAAAAUGAGGUAACAUGAUAUUGUGAUUAGAACUAGAAGUAUGAGAAUCAGUAUCUGCUGCAGCAGCUUCAAAAGAUUUUAGAUUGCUAUGAGGGACUGAAAUAUUAUAAAACUGUAAAGAAUUGUAUUGAAAGUCAGAGACCUUAGGUGGCAUGGACUUCAAAAAAUUGGAAUCAGUUGAGUAUGGAAAAUAAGUUUCAUCAAAGAGAACAUGGCUUGCUAUAUAAACUUUCCAUGAUGGAUGGAGACACUUGUAACCUUUGUGUAAUGGACUGUAUCCUAAGAAUACACAUUUUGAGGUAUGGAAAUCAAACUUGUGAUGAUUGUAAUCUCUUAAGAAUGGGAAACAAGCACAACCAAAUGUUUUGAGAAAAGGAUAAUCAGGUUGCAAAUGAAAGAGACAUUCAUAGGGAGUUUUCAUGGAAAGAACAGGAGUUCGUAAUCUGUUAAUAGUGUGAGUGGCUGUAUGAAAUGAGUCCUAUCAGAAUUUGAUAGGUAAUUUAGCUUGUGCAAGCAAAGUUAAACCCAACUCAGUGAUGUGCCUAUGCUUUCUUUCUACAAGGCCAUUUUGAUUGUGUGUAUAGGGGCAUAAAUGUCUAAAUUGAAUUCCUGUUUCAUGAAGAAAAUGAACAAAUGAUCUGUAUUCACCACCCCAGUCUGACUGAAGACAUUUAAUAGGCUUAUCCAAUUAUUUUUCUACCUGAGCUUUAAAGAUUUUGAACACUUGAAAAGUGUCAGCUUCAGUUUUCAAAAGGAAAAUCCAGGUGAACCUUGUAAAGUCAUCCACAAAACUAACAUAGUAUUUGUAACCUUGGAUAGAAGGUGUAGGAGAGGGUCCUCAUAAAUCAGUAUGUAGAAGUUCCAAAGGAUUUUUGGUUUUGGUUUCAAUUACUGGAAAAUGAAGUUUAUGCAUUUUUCCCAUCUUACAAGCAUCACAAGAAUCAAUUGUUUUAUUGCCACUGAUAUUCUUUAAAGAAGAACAAGAAUUGAUUACAUGACUAAGCACCUUAGUAUUAUGAUGACCUAGUCUCUGAUGCAAAACCAUAGUGUUCAACAUACAACUUGGAGUUUGACAACAUAGAGCUUCUGUAUGCAAACAAGAAGCAGUUUUAUUUGGAAAUUUUGAAACAACAGUAGAAAACAUUGAAAUAGGCUGAGUUGAAACAGCUGACUCGACAUGAGUAAAGAGACUUUGGUUUGACUGUGAAGUACAGGACUUGGUUAAGGAAACACACAACAAUCUAUAUAAACCUUUUUCAGCUUUGCCCUGCAGCAUAACUAAAUUCUUCACCUUGUCCUUCACAAAACAAAAACUAUCAGUAAAUUCAACCACAACAUCAUUAUCUCUGGUUAAUUUGGAUAUACUUAUCAGGUUUUUUGUUAUUUUAAGGACAAGUAGAAUAUUGUUCAGCUUAAGAUCAGAAUGAUUCAGGGCAUUAGGCAUUCUUAGAACAACAAAACCUAUGUGUGUUAUGCACAAACCAAUACCAUUUCCAACAACAAGUUUAGAAUUACCUGCAAAAGGUUCAGUACCAUUCACAUUAUUCAUAUCAUUGGUGAGGUGAUGUGUGGCACCACUAUCCAGAUACCAAUUGUUAUCAAUUAGAGCAUCCAUGUUAGCCAGAUAAGCAACCUUUGGUCCUCUAUUUGGUGGUGGUCUGUAAGCACCUGAAGUAAUAAAUUCUUCAAGUUUCCAGCAAAUGUUUGCAGUGUGUCCAGGCCUGAGACAAAUUUGACAGGUAGGCUUUGAUGCAUUCCACUGUGGCUUAGGAUUCACAGAUGGUUUACCAUUGUUAAAGUUACUUGGUCCAUUGUUGUUAUUCCAAUUACCUCCUCCUCCUCCUCUCUGAUUACUGGACUGAUAUCCUUUGAACUGAUUAUUAAAACCAACACCAGCAAACUCAGUACCAAAAUUCCUUUGUAGUGAUCAUUGUUACCAAAGCCUGCAUUAUAGUUAUUUCCAGAACCAGAAUUGUAGCCAUAACCACCAAAACCUUUUCCAUUGAACAUGUUUCCUUUUAGGUCCUCUGUUUUGAGCAAAAUUUGCUUCAAAGUUAUUUUUCAUAUCUGCACCAACAAGCAUAUGAGAUUGCUGUUCAAUCCUAGCUUCUUGAGUUAAGAGCAUUGCAUAAGCUUCAUUUAGAUCCAUUUUUCCAGUUCCUACUUGACCAGUUAUAUAAGUAGCUACUGAAUUAUAAUCUGGUCCUAAACCAGACAAUACAUGCAAAAUUAAGUCAUUAUUACUCAAGGCACUUCCUGCUGCAGCCAUAUUAUCAUAUAUAUUUUUCAUUUUAAUGAAGUAAUCUGUGAUUUUCUUAUCAUCCUUUCUAGUUGAAUUCAUCAUGUAUCUCAGAUGUAAAAGUCUUGAUUUUGAUUGAGAACCAAAUUGUACCUCAACAGCUUUCCAAACCUCACGUGAUGUCUCCAGAUUGAAGACCAGACUGAUGAUUCCUUCACUCAUUGAAGAGAGCAACCAUUCAAGCAGCACUUGAUCUUGAGAUCUCCAUGAUAUAAAUUCUGGAUUCUCCACAGAUCUGACAUUAUCUCCAACUCUUUGAGCAAUGUGAGAUGGAGGAGGAGUAAUCGAGUCAUCAAUAAGCUUUUCAAGUCCGUUGCCACGAAUUGAAGCCGGCACUUGAGAUCGCCAUAUGAGAUAAUUAGCUUGAUCAUGCUUUACUGGUGUAUUGAAAGUGAAUGAAACAGUAGUUGAAACUGCAGGAGUAUUUUGGACUUGAUUUGAAUAAGAAGCUAGAUUAACAGAAGCCAUUAUCGUGGCUCUGAUACCAAGAGAAAAAACAGCUUGUUUGAAAACUAAGAAAUAUUGAGAGAAAAUGAUAAGAUUCUAAGAAUUUAUUUUUACUUCCUUUUAAUCAAGAUUACAAAGGAAAUGUACAAAGUUUGCUUUAUAUACUCACGUAUCUAAUCAGCUGAUAUUAGUUUAACUGAUCUCACAUGCUAAUCAUGCUUAACAUCUCAUUAACUAACUGAAACUAAUAUUCUCGUGUACAAGAGAUUAUAUAACCACCAGGUGCUAGCUAGCAUGCCAAGUCAUCAACUUGUAACUGUGCACUGCUGUUGUUACAAUCCUCUGCUCUGCUGACUAUUUGGCUCACAUGAGCUUCCUUAACAAGAGAUUUGGUGGAAACUUUGAGUCGUAUCACGAUAAAGAUUACACAUCCUCUGAGACGGCAUCAAUAACUGAUGAGGAGGAUGUGCCUUCCGUUCAUUUGGACUAGUCGAGUGAUAAGUGUUAGAGUGCAAUUUAUGCACUAGUUUUGCAUUGUUUACUUCCUUUAAUAUCGAUGUUUGCACUUAAUAAUAGUGAUUUACUUGUGUUUUAUUUCUGUAGGUGCAAUUCUAUUGAUUGGUGCUAAAAUUGAGCUACAGGAUGAUUUUUUAGGAUGAUUGUUUUCCUAGAGAAAUUAUGAGCUUCAGAAGAACUUUGUUGAUAAGGCGUGGGCGCGUGCCAUCAACUACGGACCUGCAGUUUUUAGUUUAACGUGUUUUAUCUUUUUGGUUAUUUUUGUAAUUAUGAAUUUAAUAUUUAGAUAAUAUUUUAGAUAUUAGUAUUUUAUUUUAAAAAGAACUCGAGAGGAGAAGAGGGGGGAGAGAAUUGAAGGGGAGAAUCUAUUGUAAAAAAAAAAAACCCUAGAUCUAAAUUUUUCUCUUCUCUCUAUGAAGACCUAAACCUAUUAUUCUGGUUAAAGGUUAAUGAAGCUUUGAUUCAUCAUUACUGUGAGAUCUUUCUUAUGCUUUAAUUGUUUUAUUGCUUUUUGGUAUUUGUUUAUUCUCUAAAUUAUUGUCAUGAUUAUGUUUGUUAAUUAGAUAAUUAGCCACUAUUUAAUUAUCAACUUAAUCUAUUGUCAAUUAAAGGAUUCAUCGUAUGAAGAUUUUAAUGUUUGUGACAAAUAGCAUAGCAGUGUGUUCUGUUAUGAGAAUAAACAAUCUAAUUUAAAUGAACCAUCGUAUGCGUUUGUUAAUUAGGAUUUGGGUCACUUUGGUUUUUCAGGCUGUCAAUUGAUUAAAUCCUAUGAUCGUAUCUAGGGUUAUCUAUUGAUUAAGGAAAUAACCAAUUGUCGUACCUUAGUUAUCGACUAGUUAAGGAGAGAUUGGCUAUUAAAGGGUCUUAAUAGCUAUAACCGGUCUAUUCAUAAGUACUAAUGAUUUAUAUUUGAAUAAAUGAUUAGUAGUCGAAUCAAGCUGAGUUAAUUCAUUCAACCAGAACUUUUUCCAAUUUGAAUUACAAUUUUAAUUUGCAUUCUUGUUAUUUUAAUUUGAUUUUUAUUACUGUCAACAAUCCCUCAAUUUUGCAAUUUACAUUUUAAAAAGGAUUUAAAUAAUUACCGAUCUCUGUAGACAUGACCCUGCUCAAUCACUAUACACAAUUUAUUUAGAGUAGGUAUUUAUUUUUUCUGGCUUCGACAAUCAUCAAAUUUUGGCCCCGUUGCCGGGAUUGGUGUCGUUUAUUUAAUCAUUUUUACGUUUUACUUAGUUUAUGGUUCGUUCUUCGCGUACAGGUACACUUUCGUUUGAUCUUGAAAUUGAGAAGACAGCUCGCCAUCUGAGACAGCAGACGAAGCGAGCUAAGCAACGAUCCUUGUCGCCUUUGCUUUAUGAAACAGAUACAGUGCCUGAUUUGGUUGAAUCAUCUAGCGAUUCAGAAGAACAAGUGAUGGAUAGAACUGCACCUGUAGAAAGAACUCUUAGAGAGUUAGAUGAACCAAACUUGAAUCAGCAACCACUCUGCAUUCAAUAUGUAGACUUUGAGGUAAAUUUUGAAUUAAAGUCUGGCUUAUUCAUUUAUUACCCAAGUUUCAUGGUUUGCGGGUGAAGAUCCUCAUAAACAUCUCAAGGAGUUUCAUGUUGUAUGUUCAAGUAUGAGACCACAAGGCGUGACUGAAGAGCAGAUUAAGUUACGUGCUUUUCAUUUCUCUUUAGAUGGGCUAGCUAAAGACUGGUUAUACUACUUGCCUCCUGGAUCGAUUACAACAUGGAAUGGUUUGAAGAAGCAGUUCCUCGAGAAGUACUUUCCUGCUUCAAGAGCUGCCAACAUCAGAAAAGACAUUUGUGGGAUCAGACAACUUCCUGGGGAGACUUUGUAUGAGUAUUGGGAGCGAUUCAAACAAUUGUGUGCCAGCUGUCCUCAGCAUCAUAUUUCUGAUCAACUUCUUAUUCAAUACUUUUACGAAGGACUGUCAUUGAUGGAUAGGAGUAUGAUAGAUGCUGCUAGUGGAGGUGUGUUGGUGAACAAGACCCCUACUCAAGCAAGGGAGUUGAUCUCAAAUAUGGCUGCCAAUGCACAACAGUUUGGCAGCAGGCAAGGUCCCACUUCAAGGAAGGUGAAUGAGGUAAAUAUUUCUUCUAUUGAACAAUGUUUAGAUAAACUUACUUUUCUUGUGGAAAAGUUUGUUGUAGGUAAUGUGCAACAGGUUAAGACUUGUGGCAUUUGUUCCAAUAUGAGUCAUUCAACUGAUAUGUGUCCGACACUUCAAGAAGAACCCGUUGAACAAGCCAAUGCAGUUGGAGGAUUUCCAGUCAUGCCUCAGAGGAGGAAUGAUCCUUAUGCACAAACAUACAAUUCGGGAUGGAAGGAUCAUCCCAACUUCAGCUAUGGAGUUAGGCCGUCAGGAUUCCCACAACAAUACCCACCAAGACAACCAGCCCCUCCACAGUCAAAGUCCAAGUCAGGUAUAUCUCUUGAAAAAAUUGUUAAAUCACUUGCGACUAACACUCAACAAUUUCAGCAAGCAACUACAACAAGCAUUCAGAAUUUGGAGAACCAAAUGAGUCAAUUGGUGACUACAGUGAGCCGCCUGGAGUCUCAAGUAUUAGGGAGAUUGCCUUCACAAUCUGAGGUGAAUCCAAAGCAGAACACUAGUGCUGUCAUCCUUAGAAGUGGGAAGGAGUUGCAAAAGCCUAGUAAGAAAGUGACAGAGCAUGUAGAAGAUGAGCUUGAGAAGAAUGAAUUGAUACCUAAAUCUCAAGAUGCGCAACCCACUGAAGCGAAACCCCUACCUAUGGUAAUACCUCCCUCUUUUCCAAGCCGGUUUACAAAAACCAAGAAGGAGGAACAAGAGAAAGACAUCCUCGAACAUUUCGCAAGGUUGAGGUAAAUAUUCAUUUAUUAGAUGUUAUAAAACAAAUACCUCAAUAUGCUAAAUUCCUUAAGGAACUGUGCACCUCCGAGAGAAAAUUAAGAGGAGAUGAAAGAGUUCACAUGGGGGAGAAUGGUUCAGCAGUUCUCCAAAAGAAACUACCUCCUAAGUGCAAGGAUCCAAGUAUGUUUACUAUCCCUUGCAAAAUUGGUAGUGUUAGAGUUGAGAAGGCUAUGUUAGAUCUUGGAGCUUCUAUUAAUGUCAUGCCUCGUUCCAUUUAUUCAUCUUUGAAUGUUGGUCCAUUAAAAGAAACUAGCGUGAUAAUUCAACUAACUGAUAGGUCUAAUGCAUAUCCUAAUGGGGUAUUAGAAGAUGUCUUAGUACAAGUUAAUGAGUUGGUUUUUCCUGUUGAUUUUUAUGUACUUGAUAUGGAAGAGGAUAAGUCCUCUAAUUUUGUCCCAAUUUUGCUAGGAAGACUUUUUCUUAAGACUGCUAGGACUAAAAUGGAUGUACAUAAAGGGACUCUCACUAUGGAGUUUGAUGGAGAGGUUAUAGAGUUCAAUAUGAAUGAUGCCAUGAAAUAUCUUAGUGAGGAACAUUCGGUAUUUUUUGUGGAUAUUAUUAACCCUAUAGUGCAGGAAGUUUUUUAUUUGGAUGUUGAAGAUUCAUUGGUAGUUGCUUUAAAUAACAGUUUGGGCCUCAAAGGAUUGCAAAAGGAUGAAAAUGAGUUUGUUUUAAAUUUUGUAUUGCAAGAGACAAUUUAUGAAUUAAAUUCUUUGAGAACUUUAACUCAUCAUAUGUCUUAUAUCGAACUACCUUCAUCUCAUGCAAACUUCUUCCAUCUAUUUUGCAGGCACCGAAAAUAGAGCUUAAACCGUUGCCGAGUCAUCUAAAGUACAUGUUUCUAGGAGAUGGUGAGACACUUCCGGUGAUUAUCUCCUCAAAGCUUAGUACUUUAGAGGAAGAAAAGCUUAUUAGAGUGCUGAAGGAUUACAAAAAGGCUAUUGGGUGGACAAUUGCUGAUAUUAAAGGGAUAAGUCCGUCCACGUGCAUGCAUAGAAUACUGCUGGAGGAAGAUGCCAAACCUUCGAUUCAAGCUCAACGCCGUUUGAAUCCACUCAUGAUGGAAGUAGUGAAAAAAAAAAUUCUGAAACUUCUUGAUGUAGGUAUAAUCUAUCCAAUUUCGGAUAGCAAAUAGGUAAGUCCGAUACAAGUGGUACCGAAGAAAACUGGUAUAACAAUUGUUGAGAAUUCUUAUGGUGAGUUAGUACCCACCCGAGUUCAGAAUGGGUGGAGGGUUUGUAUUGAUUUUAGAAAGCUUAAUUCACUCACUAAGAAGGAUCAUUUUCUUAUUCCUUUUAUUGAUCAGAUGCUUGAAAGGUUGGUAGGAAAAUCUCACUUUUGUUGUCUUGAUGGCUAUUCAGGUUUUCAUCAGAUACCAGUUCUGCCUUAGGAUCAGGAGAAGACUACCUUCACAUGUCCUUUUGGAGCAUUUGCGUACCGACGUAUGCCAUUUGGUCUUUGUAACGCUCCCGCCACUUUUCAGAGGUGCAUGGUCAGUAUUUUUUCAGACUAUGUAGAGAACAUCAUAGAGGUAUUUAUGGACGAUUUUACAGUCUAUACUGAUUCUUUUGAUGAUUGUGUCUAUAAUCUGAAGAAAGUGCUUGAAAGAUGCAUUGAAACAAAUCUUGUCUUGAAUUAUGAAAAAUGUCAUUUUAUGGUAGAUCAAGGCAUUAUUUUGGGUCAUGUAGUCUCUGCUAGAGGAAUUGGGGUAGAUAAGGCUAAGCUAGAUGUUAUUAAAUCUUUACCUUAUCCCACAUAUAUGCGGGAAGUUCGUUCUUUCUUUGGUCACGCAGGUUUCUAUCGACGUUUUAUUAAGGAUUUUUCGAAGAUAGCUCAGUCUUUAUGCAAGUUGCUUCAUAACGAUGUAACGUUUGAUUUUAAUGAAGCAUGCAAGGUAGCAUUUGAUAAGCUUAAGGAGUUAUUGACUUCAACUCCAAUUAUACAGCCACCCGACUGGAGCCUCCCUUUUGAGAUAAUGUGCGACGCCAGUAACUAUGAUGUUGGUGUUGUUCUCGGACAAAGGGUUGGAAGAGCUGCUCAUGUGAUAUAUUACGCAUCAAGGACACUUGAUAGUGCUCAGUGCAAUUACUCAACAACGGAAAAAGAACUUUUGGCUAUUGUUUUUGCUUUAGAAAAAUCUCGUUCAUAUUUAUUGGGUACUAAAGUGAUUAUUUUUUCUGACCAUGCAGCUCUCAGAUAUUUGCUCGCCAAGAAGCAAGCGAAACCGAGACUCAUCCGCUGGAUCCUACUACUUCAAGAGUUCAAUUUGGAGAUCCGUGAUAAGAAAUGAGCAGAAAACAUGGUUGCAGACCACCUUAGUAGAUUGACCACGAGUGAAGAAGCAGCACCUUUGAAGGAUGAUUUUCCAGAUGAGCAUCUCUUUCUAACUCAAUGUAUGGUUCCUUGGUACACUGACAUUGUUAAUUACUUAGUUACAAGAACACUAAGUAAUUAACACUACCUAGUGAUCUGACGAGGGCUCAAAAAGAUAAGAUUAAGAGCGAUGCUAAGUACUAUGUUUGGGAUGACCCUUACUUGUGGAAACAUUGCUCUGACCAAGUCAUCAGAAGGUGCGUAUCUGAGUUUGAAAUUCCUUCUAUUCUUCAGUUUUGUCACUCAUAUGCAUGUGGUGGUCAUUUUGGUCCCAAAAGGACAGCAUCUAAGGUGUUACAAUGUGGUCUAUUUUGGCCUACUUUAUUUCGUGAUUCAUACAUGUUUUGUAAGUCGUGUGAGAAUUGUCAAAAGACUGACAAUUUAAGUCAUAGGAAUCAAAUGCCACUUACCCUUAUUCUUGUGUGUGAAAUAUUCGAUGUGUGGGGCAUUGAUUUUAUGGGACUUUUUCCCUCAUCUUUUGGCAAUGCUUACAUUCUUUUAGCAGUGGAUUACGUUUCUAAGUGGGUAUAGGCUAAGGCUACCCGGACUGAUAAUGCUAAAGUUGUUGUAGAUUUUGUCAAGUCUAAUAUUUUUGCCAGGUUUGGUAUACCGAGAGCGGUGAUAAGUGAUAGAGGCACUCAUUUCUGUAAUCGGGUGGUGGAGGCUUUGUUCAAGAGAUAUCAUGUUCCCCACCGAGUGUCUACCGCCUAUCAUCCACAGACAAGUGGACAAGCUGAGAUAUCAAACAGAGAAAUCAAGUAUAUUCUUGAAAAGACGGUUAGUCCAAAUCGAAAGGAUUGGAGCUUACGAUUAGAUGAUGCAUUGUGGGCGUAUCGCACCGCGUACAAAACUCCCAUAGGUAUGUCUCCUUAUCGUUUAGUAUUUGGUAAACCUUGUCAUUUACCUGUAGAGCUUGAGCACAGAGCAUACUGGGCGGUUAAGCAAUGCAAUAUACGGAUGGAUGAAGCGGGAAAGCAGAGGAAGUUGCAGCUGCAAGAGUUGGAGGAGAUUAGAAACGAAUCCUAUGAGAGUUCACGAUUUUACAAGGAAAAGACGAAGACAUUUCAUGACAGAAUGAUUUUGAGAAAGGAGUUCUCUAUUGGUCAAAAAGUUCUUCUUUUUCAUUCUAAGCUUAAACGUUUUCCUGGUAAAUUACGUUCUCGCUGGGUUGGACCUUUUAUUGUUACUAAUGUUUUUCCUCAUGGUGCAGUUGAGAUUCGGAGUCCGACCUCUGACAAAGUUUUUAAGGUUAAUGGUCAUCGCUUAAAACCAUUUUAUGAAGGUUUUUCGGUGAAUAUUGUGGAGGAAGUGGCUCUCGAGAGUCCCAUUUAUGGAGAUUGAUGCAUGAAUGUGUCUAGCCAAAGACAUAAAACAAAGACGCUUUUUGGGAGGCAACCCAAAGGAUUUAUUUAUUUUAUUUUAUUUUUAUAUCUUUUGUUUUUAAUUUUGAUUCAGAUUGUUUAAAUAAUGUUUUUUGUUUAUUUUGGCCAGAAGAAAAUUUUUGGUUAGGCGUGCCCACGUCUUAACUAAUAAGUACUUCUGUGAUUUUAAAGUAAAAUGGUUUUAAGGCUUGCUCAUAUGCUUAUUAAAAAAGUACUUCUGUAAUUUUUUGGUGUCUCAAGUGUCUCUUUUAGUUUUUAGUUUCAAAUAAAUAAAUAAAACGAAAAAAAAUUUCUUUUAUUUUAUUUUUUUAUUUUAUUUGAUAAAAAAGGGGUUUUUUAUGUUUUAUUAUUUUAUUUUUUCUAUUUCGCAACCAGCGCAGCACCAGACCAGCAUCCCUGCAUUCCAGCCGCGUGAAUCGAAACCCAUGAGUAAAAUUACUGUAACAAUGCCGACGAGGAAAGCAUCAACUUCCAAGUCAUCUAAAAAGACACCCGUCGCAAAGAAAUCCAAGAUUGCCGCUCCCACUAUGGUUCCAUGGAACACAUUUUCAGAUUCACGCCAAGCCGUGAGACAAAGAUCGAAACAUGGAAAAGGCAUGAGUGUUUUGCCACUUGCUGAAUCCAAUCUCGGAGGGUGCCUCACAUUCACGACUCAACAAGAGAAAGAAAGGUACAAAGAUAUUUUCAAGCGAAAAAUACUUCCAGCUAAGUAUAUUCAUUACCUGACUAUUGAAAAUUUGAAUGUUAAGGAUAAUUUUGAUUCUUUGAUAGAUAAGAUUGGUUUGCGUAAGUUUGUUGAUGUUGAUUGUUUGGGUUAUGUUGAGUUGAUUAGGGAGUUCUAUGCUACUUUUCAAUUUAAUAUACCGAAUGAUUUUACUUUGCAUACUCCGGAUGUUAUAAAGUUUAGGUUAAUGGGACGAAAUUUUUCACAAUCUAUCACAGAUUUUAACCUAACUUUAGGAUUCAUUGAUGAUGAUUAUUCUUCUAGUGAUGCAUAUUUAGGGACAACUUGUGACUUUAGCGAAAAUUUUGAGCCUUAUGGUCUUUGGUGUAAUUUAUCUUUUGAUCACAAUGCCUAUGACCUGAGUAAAUCAAAGAGCUCUUUCUUACGUGAUCCUGUUUUGAAAUGUGUGCAUCGGUUCUUAGCAUAUAUUUUUUUAGGAAAGAAAGAUCACUCGGGAGUUUUCUCUAAAACUGAGUUUUAUUUUAUCUGGUGCAUGUUAAAUAAUGUGAGGCCUAAUUUAGGUUUUUGGUUAGCAGAUCAAUUUCAGAGUGUGCUUAAACGGUAUAGGACUUUAUUUCUUGGUCCAUACAUUACUCUGUUAGCUAUAAACUUAUGUGUGCUUGAUCCUGACAAUAAUGAUUUACACCCUGCUUGCAAAAAGGAAUUUUUGGAUAUGUUUGUGUUUGAAAGAACAGGUGUGGUCAAAUUCAAGGAGGGGAGAUUUCAGUUUACUGAACCAGGACCCACUCAACUUCCAAAGAAGCUUUAUGCUAGGAGUGGUGCUACCUCCGAUGACGAGUUUGACGACGAAAAUGCUGCCCCACCAACUAUUCCUUCUACAUCUGCACCACCUUUGAGCAUUCAGUUAGAGAAAAUAAAGCACAAGCUGAACAAGAUGGAGCAGAAUUUGGCCGCAUACUUCGAGAGUGUGGGAUUUAUCCCACCAUUUCCACCAAGCCCAUAGACGUUAUGUGGAUCAAAGCUCACAAUUCAGGAACAUUUUUCCUUUAACCUUUUCUCCUUACGCUUUAUUUCUUAAUGUGAGUUUUGCUUAUCAUACAUUGGGGACAAUGUAAGUUCUUGGUAUGGGGGAGGGAUUUUUGCAAUAUUGAUGUCUGGAAGUAUUAUUUUCACUCUGCUCAUCCUUAAAUGAUUUUGAAGUUAGUAUGCUUCAUUUAUUAUUUUUAAAUUUUUUUUCUUUUCUUUUCUUUCUCACCACUCUUUUCCCAUCUAUCUCAAAUUAUUUACAUCUAUUUUUAUUUUAUCAUACUCUUUCAUUUUUUCCACUCACAUUUUAUCUUUCACUUUUUAUAUUACUACAUAUAUCUUUCUCGCUUCUUAUCCUUUUUACCUUUCCUUUUAUAUAUCACUCAAACUUUCUUCUCAUUCUACACCACUAUUGAUGGUUGAUUCAUUUGAAGAGUGUACAUGAUUUGAUGGAAAAUUUACCAACUUUGUGAGGAUUUGAGCCUACGAGCAACCACUUUGCUCUAAUUAUUUUUGUUAUGUGAAUAUCAAUCUUAGUUUGUUUAUUCUAGAACUUGCUUUGUUAUGCAUGUUGAAGCCGCAUUAUGGGAUUUUAUGCAAUAAAAUGAUAAGGGCAAACCACUUUCCAUUUUUCUAUUUUCGCAUUUUUCUUCUUUUUCUCCACCCGAAGACCUUUAUUUGUUAUCUUUGUUUGAGCCUUAACCAUUACCCAUCUAAUUCUCUCCAUCUACUUAUCCAUUUUCCUUCUUUUUGAGCCUCAAUUUAAGGAGAUUUUUGGACUCAUUGUUUGGAUAUAUUUUGUAUAUAUUUUGUUGCUCUUGCUACCUUGAAUUAAAGUUUCUCAAUUAGAUCAACAAGCAUUAUGCUUGAAUUAAAUUGUGCAAGGUUCAUUUCUUUUGUUUGAUUCAUCAUAAAAAAAGAAACACAAAAAAAACACAAAAAAAAUAAAAAAAAAAAAAGAAAGAAAAAAAAGGCGUUUACAUUCUUGGCGACUUGAGUGGAAAUAAGCGUUUUGAUAUCAUAAGGUUCAUUCAAUGAGUUCAUUCUUCUCAUUUUGAUCUCUUUUUCUUUCAUAGACCUUUCUUUUUCAUUUAACCUAUUUAACCCCAUUACAACCUUUUUAAGACCCUUAGAUUUUUGCAUUUUAUUCAUGUUUUGUGGAUUGAGAUGUGAUAUAUGAGCAAGCUUAUGGUAAUAGCAUUCUUUGAUUUGAUUUGAGUGCAUAAAUGAUACCCUAAACACUUUGAGUGCAUGGAGUGAAGUCAAUGAGAGGGCUAUUAAAUCUUGUUGCACUUGAAUUUUGAAUGGAUCUUCUUGGUGGUUGAAUGUUUUUAUAUUAGCUUAUGAGAUCCUAUGCUUUAAAAUCAUUGUCUCUCGAAUGUUGAUCGACUUAAAUUCUUGAGGUAUGCUUGCUUAAGAUUGUUUUUGGAUGAGUUGAGAUGAGAAUUGAGUGGAGAUUUGGGAUUAGUCUUGAGUUAUAUGCUUGAGAACAAGCAUUAUCUUGGUGUGGGGGAAUUUGUUAGAGUGCAAUUUAUGCACUAGUUUUGCAUUGUUUACGUCCUUUAAUAUCGAUGUUUUGCACUUAAUAAUAGUGAUUUACUUGUGUUUUAUUUCUGUAGGUGCAAUUCUAUUGAUUGGUGCUAAAAUUGAGCUACAAGAUGAUUUUUUAGAAUGAUUGUUUUCCUAGAGAAAUUAUGAGCUUCAGAAGAACUUUAUUGAUAAGGCGUGAGCGCGUGCUGUCAACUACGGACCUGCAGUUUUUACUUUAACGUGUUUUGUCUUUUUGGUUAUUUUUGUAAUUCCGAAUUUAAUAUUUAGAUAAUAUUUUAGAUAUUAGUAUUUUAUUUUAAAAAGAACUCGAGAGGAGAAGAAGGGGGAGAGAAUUGAAGGGGAGAAUCUAUUGUAAAAAAAAACCCUAGAUCUAAAUUUUUCUCUUCUCUGUAUGAAUAACUAAACCUAUUAUCCUGGUUGAAGGUUAAUGAAGUUUUGAUUCAUUAUUACUGUGAGAUUUUUUUUAUGCUUUAAUUAUUUUAUUGUUUUUUGGGUAUUUGUUUAUUCUCUAAAUUAUUGUCAUGAUUAUGUUUGUUAAUUAGAUAAUUAGCCACUAUUUAAUUAUCAACUUAAUCUAUUGUCAAUUAAAGGAUUCAUCGUAUGAGGAUUUUAAUGUUUGUGACAAAUAGCAUAGCAGUACGUUGUGUUAUGAGAAUAAACAAUCUAAUUUAAAUGAACCAUCGUAUGCGUUUGUUGAUUAGGAUUUGGGUCUCUCUAGUUUUUCAGGCUGUCAAUUGAUUAAAUCUUAUGAUCGUAUCUAGGGUUAUCUAUUGAUUAGGGAAAUAAUCAAUGGUCGUACCUUGGUUAUCGACUAGUUAAGGAGAGAUUGGCUAUUAGAAGGUCUCAGUAGCUAUAACCGGUCUAUUCAUAAGUAGUAAUGAUUUAUAUUUGAAUCAAUGAUCAGUAGUCGAAUCAAGCUGAGUUAAUUCCUUCAACCAGAGCUUUUCCCAAUUUGAAUUACAAUUUUAAUUUGCAUUCUUGUUAUUUUAAUUGGAUUUUUAUUAUUAUCAACAAUCCCCUCAUUUUGCAAUUUACAUUUUAAAAAUGAUUUACACGACUCUGCUCAAUCACUAUACACAAUUUAUUUAGAGUAUGUAUUUAUUUUUGCUGGCUUCGACAACCAUGAAGAGGGUGAUGAUAGCAUGAUAGAGUGAAUGUACAAUGUUUUUGUUAUGAAUUAUGUUUCAGCUAUUCGAGAGACGUACUAUGUUAGUUAGGAACCAUUGCACGUGUUUAAAACAAGUUCGUCUUGGUUGAGUUGAAAAAACAAUGUCUUACUGAAGCUUCUGUACUUGUUCUUAUUCUUCCAGUAGCCCUUCCUAAAUGCAUCACAAAGACUUUCUGGGAACGUGGAUUGUGAAUCUAACCUUACGUUCUAACUGAACGUGGAUUGUGAAUCUAACCUUACGUUCUAACUGAAACUGAGAUAUUGAUGCAAGUGCUUAUGUAAUUCCAUGCUUAUCUACAGAAGAGAAUAUUUCAAAGCAAUUUCUGAAGUCCAAGUUCUUAAGGAAUUCUGUUUUUGUAACUUUGUUUGUAUGAUUGUGUUGAAAUUUAUAUCGAUCAAUCAUGCCUUGGAAAACCAACUAUCUGAAUUAUUAUACGUACGUUUCUCACAGUAAUAUCCAAAUAUGGCUGUAAAAUUCAGCCCAUAAACAAUCAAGUAAACAAACUUGAUUAUCAUUACUAUAUAAACACAUCAAGUAAACAAACUCGCUACUUUUUUCACACCAACUGCACCAGCAAGGAAAGUAACAUUGAUCGAAACAUACGAUACCAAAUCUUCUAGAUUUCACACAGCAUUUAUUCUUCAUUAGCUUCUCGUGUUUUCAUUUUCUAGAUUCCACACAGCAUUUAUUCUUCACUGGUCUCUGGUAUUUUUUCAUAAACUUCCAGCUUCCUGAACCUCCGAGGAAGUAAACAACGACCACCAAACUGCUGCUGGAAAUGAAUGAUUGCAGCAAAAAGCAAACCAACGAACAGGAUAGCGACAUCCCAACCAGUGGAGUAGAUGUCUGCAGCAGGAUCAGCAUAAAUGUACGAACCAUCGAACUCCUGAACAUAGUUUUGGGCCCUGUAAAUAUCAUAUGCGUGUGGCACCAAGCGGACAACAGUCAAUCCGAUGUAGAAGAAGCGGCAAAGUGCAUUUUCUCUUGAGUUGUGAAAAAUGUUGAGGAGAAUUUGAGGUAAGAGAAAACCAUCCAGGAUCAAACCAGCAUAUGAUCUCAAGUUCCCCCAAAGAGAAUGCUGGUGGUUGUUAUAGCUAAAAGAUUGUGCCAUUAUGCCAGUUUUGCUGGUCCUCCAGUUUACAAACAGAGUUAUUAAGGCUCCAGCUAGAUACACUGGCACGGUCAGGAAUAAUGCCUUUUUCUCAGCAGUCCACAAGGCCUUCAGGCUGCUGUCACGCAUUCUUCUGGACAAUGAGUGCUGGAGAAGACGACAAUGCAACAGAAAAGCCACCAUUGUGACUACUCUUACAAUCACUUCAUGCACUUCUAGCCAUCCUCCACUUCCAAGCAAGACAGAGUGGGGAUACUCGUUUUGAAAGAACAAGGCUUCAAAAUUUAGAACAAGAAGAAUCAUGUGGCCCAGAGUGAGAAUCGCAAGCAUGAGAACCGAAAUGAAAGGAAGAACAUCUGGGUGCUUUUUCACGUACAGGAGUUGAAGUACUGCAAAGAUACACGCAAGUGUCUUUGAUAUCAGAACCAUGAGGAGCUCCAAAUCCAUCCUCCAUAUUGAUCGUCUCUCCAGGAUCCUGUAAUAAGAAGUGGCAGAGACAAACAGAGGUUCAAAGUAAAGAGAAUCAGAUUUGUUGCGUAAACUUGUAAUACUUCCUCUGAUAAAACCUCCCUUCGUCAUUGCAUUUAGUGGAGGAAACUGAAGAUGGAUGCUAAUCUCGCAGUCCAUAGAAUUAUUGCUCGAUUUCUGAUAUUUUAAGCCAGCAUCUCUACAGCCAACCAUGCAAAGGACUCCUGUUUCUGAAUCAUAAACCCCUUCAGCAAAUAUUGCAACUCGCCUCUCCCCACUCGAAGAAAUGUUGAAUAAACUCUCCACACCACCCAAUUUCAGAUAGUAAUACGGUCUCAAACUUAUUUUGUAGCUGAUAUUGAGUGGUUUACUACUGCUGAUAUUUGAUUCAACAACAGAGCUUGUGGUACUCGAGCUUGACCAUGAUAUGAAGGAUUCUGACAACUGAGAGAUUUGAUCAUCAACAGCUAUUGGAACUGCAUGGCCCCAUGCAAUUUUCCCUCUAGAGAUUUUGACAGAAAUGCCAAAAUUCAUUUCUUGGGAAAAUCCAUCCGGAUAUUUUUCCAAACUGUUUCUCAAAGGUUUCUUCUGCAAGCAUGACAUAUUUCUUACCUUUUCCAUCUCUGUGUAUUCAUACUUCAGUCCUGGAACUUUAAGCACUUCAUUAUCCGUACUUCGGAACAGAAUCCUCCCAAAAUAACCUGUAUCAUUCAAAGCUCUGUUGCUCCAUAUUUGGCCUGACAUGCUGGUAGAUUCUCUGAUUGACCAAAUUGCAGGAAAUCUUAAUGUCAGCCGUAUUGAUCAAUCUUCCACACGAGAAUUGUCCAAAGAACCAUGUGCGUUCAGAAUUCUGCAUGCUGCAACACACAGCCGAUUCUUCUUCCAAUCCCAUGAUCCUUCUGCAACAAAAGUUGUUUCUGGAUUGAAAUUGCGGUAAUAGUCAACAUAGCUAGUAUUCGGAAAUUCCAUCAGAAACCUCAAUCUUUGUCCCUCUGUUGAACACUGAAUGGUGUUUAAAGACAUCACUUGAGGUAAAUAUCCCACAGCAUCGCCAAAAGGAUUGCAACUCUUUGAAGAAUUGCAAUCACUUGCAUACUCUAACUCAAAUGCAUUGACUCGCCUCUCAAGGAUUGAACAAAUAGUUGAACUGACCUGUAAGCUGAGUGACAAAUUCUCUGCUGGAACAUUGAUCUCACCAGAACACUUGUUCUCGAGUUCUUUCGAAAACAUAGUGUACUGGUAAUUGGUUUCAGGGAAUAUCAACAAGGAAAUAGGAUCAAAAUAGCUUGGAUCGUCAGCAGAACUCAAGCUCCGCAACGUUCCAGCUACAAGACUGGUAAUAUUACUUGAAUCUUUUACACCAUUAAGCUUUAGAACAGCAUGAUGAUGAAGCAGAUUACCUUCUGGAGAGUAACUAGUACUUGAACCCACCAUGCAAAGCUUCCCGGAUGAUUUUGACCAGAAGCCUUUCAAGCUAAAGCUCAAAGCGCUAUCAUCUCCAGUCCUUAGAGGCGAGAAGAAUGAAUGACCAUAAGUCCUACCGUGUCCAAAAUGGUACGAGUUGUAGAAGUGCAAAUUCCCCUCAAAUUUGAAGACACCUUCAGCAUUAGUUGCAUAGACGUUCUGGGUGUGAAACAACAGAAGGUUGUGUUUAUUUGAAGAGUAUUCAGAUGGGUUUGGAUCGAGUAUUCGAUCCCCACCAUCAUAGUAACCAUUUUGGAAGGGAAGGAAUGGUAAGGAGGCAAACUCAGGGGCGGUUGCUGUUGACUCUGGGACAACUGAAGCACAGUGGUCACUGUAAGAGAUUUGAGUUCCAUUGCAGUGAGUUGAAAGCAGGAGAAAUAUGAAAGUAUGAAUAAGCCAUGAAAUCAGAAAGCAGCAUCCAUGCAAAGUAAGAGGAACCGUAGCCAUAUGCAUAGAUUGUAAAAGAUGGGAAGAAAAUUUAGUCACCACAGGAAGUUGAGUUAUUCAUUUUAAGUCGUCUAUUUAUGCAUCAUUCAUGUGUCUCUUCCCUUAGAAAUUUCCUACUACAAGACUUGAGAGAGUAGGUAGAAGUCUUUGGAUCAUUUACAUGAAAAGCUUACUUGGACAUGAACCACUUACUUUGACACGUGCUUUGAAUCUUAAGUUGAAUAAUUUUGGAUAAUUUGUCUGUGAGAUUGAAACAUAUUGUAUGGUCUAUAUAAAAUCAGAAAUGAAUGUUAAUGUCAAUAGCUCUAAUGUCAAGUUCACAUUGAUUAUUCAUGAAGAAAAGUCAUACUCCCACCUUGAAAGUUCUUCUUGAGGCAUGAAAUUCUAUGCGUGCACAUGGGGUUUGAACCAGAGAAAACGUUAACCGGGAUACUAAUAGUCCACUGAUGGUGAUCGAUGGAAAUGUUUAAUAAAAAUGAAAUUGCUAGGAAUUUGACAAGAGGGAAUGGUGGACUUUCAAAAUAAAGUUAUUUGUUUACAGAAAAAAAUUUGUUGAAAUUUUAUAAAUAUGUAUUCAAAGAACAUUAUCUCCAGACAAUUUUAUUUACAUAAUGUAAAACUGAAGAGGAGUCACAGCUACGUAGCAGCAACAUAUAAAUAAAGUCGAUGAGAUUAAGAGUGCUUUAACAUAUAAAAAAUUAAAAAGACUACUAAUGUAACUUAUUUUGCAUGGUUGAAAUAUAUAAGAAAACCAACUACAACUGGAGAAUUAACAACUGUUCAAAUGUAGAAUGAAUAGGCCAAAGAAUUCUAUGACAAAUUGCAAUCUCUGUGCUCUGUUCUUCCUGGGAAGCAAUAUUGGGCUUUGCAUCCCAAAAUACGUAUACUUAAUUAAGAGAGUCCGUAACUUACAAACUAAUCCAAGAAUUCACUCGUUGGUGAUGUGGGAUACUACAAUCACUCACUCUCGAAACCUUACUACUUCUAAUUCCAAAAACGAACCCUCAUUUCCAACAUUUAAAGACCGAUUCUCACUCGAAAAAUUUCUCAAAGACAGAUGCAAAUCGGGUAAUUUUACUCCCACUGAAGCUCUUUGUUUCUUUGAUUCCAUGAUCAAAAUGCAGCCAGCUCCUCCUCCUGCGUCUUCCUUCAACAUUUUGUUUGGUGGUCUUGCUAAGGGUAAGCAAUAUGAUACUCUUUUUUUACUAUACAAGACUUAAUUCAGUUGUUGGGUUGUUGCCAGAUUGUUUAUUGGUUAAUUGCUUUUGCAAAAUGGGCAGAAUGCGUGAUGGUUUUGUAGUUUUUGGGAGAAUCCUAACUGGAUAUAUUGUAGAGGCUAUUGAACUAUUCCAUACUUUGAGGAAUCUCAAGUUUGAACUUAAUGUUGAAGCCUACAACUGCCUUAUUGAUGGAUUGUGUAAAUCAGGCAGACUCGAAAUCGCAUGGAAAAUUUUAAUAGCUUGCUUAAUAAGGCCCAAUUCCAAGAAGAGGUAGGAAACCAAUCCAAUUCAAUGAACCCGAUUUAACCCAAUCUAAUUUUGAAGGAUUGAGUGAAUUAUUAUGGGUUAAUUGAGAUAAUUUUUUAGAAUUCAAUUAAUAAUUGGGUUGGGUAAGGUUAAUUAUGAACUCAUCUAACCCAUCCCAACUCAUGUAAAUAAUAAUAAUAAUAUGUAUAUUCUCAGUUACAAAAUUCUAAAGAUCUAAAUGGCUAACUUAAUUUCUAAUUCUUUUUAUUUUUUUAGAAGAGAUUAUUUCAUUCUUGUAUCUGCUAUUCUAGACUCUAAUUUUAAAAAUAAAAUCACUCUCUCAUAUAAAUAAAUUUAUUAUCUUAUAAUUAUUUAAAAGCUCUGAAUUUAGAAUUAAAAAAAAGAGAUGUGGGAAGCUAGGAAUAAAGUCUAGAAACACAUUGCCCAAAUUUUCUUAAUUUUAAGGUAGUUGAUUUUUAAACUUUUUUUAUCGAACACUAGACAGUAAAUAAAAUUUUUAUGUUAUAAUAUAUAUAUAUAUAUAUAUAUAAUUUUAAUAAGUUUCAUUUCAUAUCUCAUAUCUUUUUUUAUUUUAAUUUAGUUUUAAUUUGACCUUCAACUCGAUCAACCUAACCCAACUCGAUGAUUUAAGGUUGGGUUGAAUUGAGUUAAAUAAAUUUAUUUAAUUGAGUUAGAUUGAUUUUAUUUCAACCCAUUUAAUAAUGGGUUAGGUUGGAUUUUCACAUAUCCUAUCCAACCCAACCCAUACCCACCCCAUGUUGUGACAUAUAUGAUACAUAGGUUUGUAAUAAGAGGCAAAUUGGAAGGCAAAUGAUUUAUUUCUUGAUAUUUAAUAACGUCAUGCACGGUUUCAUCCGAAGUAACGAGACUUCAAAAGUUAAUUAACUUCUUCAGAAGAUGGAGAGAAAUGUAAUGCCAGAUGCUUCCAUAUUUUCAAUAGUUGUGGACUUAUUGGUUGCUUCCAUAUUUUCAAUAGUUGUGGACUUAUUGGUGAAGAAUGAAAUUAGACAUGGCUGACACUUCCGAAAGAUUUGUUGUUUCAUCAGAUAACUUUCAAAGUCUAGCAACUUUUUGCUGUAAAAUAGCUUCUUCUCUUUUUUUAUUCAAUUCAUAAUUUUCUUCUUAUGAUGUCUCUUUCUCAUUUGCUGGAAAUGCUAGUUCUUUAAGCUCUUCCAAUUUAAGACAUUUUGUUCUCUGAAGUAUAUGAGAUGGCAUUUUAUUUUUCUUCUGUUAGAGGGUGCAAGAUUAAUGUCAAAUCUUUGCUAUAAUUAGAUUUAUUGUAAAAGCCCAAAGCUCAAACCUAACAACCAAGUAGAUAUUAUUUGUUUUGACACAUCACCCAUCACAAUUUUGUUAUUAGGUUUUACAAUUCAAAAUGCAUUUAUCUAAUUAGAGUAUCUCCAAAAGGUUUUAUUAAUUUUACUUUUCAAAUAUUUAUUUGCUUACCUAUAUAAUAAAAAAGAUAGUGAAAAAUAUGUUAUUCUCUAAAAGGUUCUCUCAAGUAAAAUUAAGUUAAUAUUAUUUUAAUCAAAUAAAUAUAUUUUUAAAAGAAAAAUAAAUGAUAAUUAAAGUACUUCUCUCACUCUCCAAUAAAAAGUAAUAAAAUAUAAAUCAAAGAGGGAAAAAGCAACUCUACAAAAAUAGAAGAGAGAGAAUUAUUUUUUAUUUGAAGAAUCCUAAUUGGAGUAUUUUUUGGAGUUUUAAAUGUUGAUGUGGCUCUUCAAAUAAAUAAUAAAAUAUUAUUUGAAGAGAGCAUCUCCAAAAGACUUUUUAGAUUUUACUUUUCAAAUAUCAAUUUGCUUACGGAUGUGGCAAAUAAGUGGAUGGAAAAAUAUAAUCUUCUCCAAAAGACUCAUCGAAUAAGAAUAAGUUAACAUUAUUUUAAUCAAAUCUUUCCACUAUUAAAUUGAAUUGUUGUUAUUUUUUUGAAAGGAAAUAUAAAUAAUAAUUAUUGCAGCCUUAUCUUUUCAAUAAAUAAUAAUAAAAUAUUAAUAGAAGAGGAAGAAACUCACUCGGCAAUAUUGAAGAGUGAGAAACAAAUCUUAUUUGAAGAAUCUAAAUCAAUGUGUCAUUUGGAGUGUUUAAUAUUAAUAGGACUCUUCAAAUAAGAAGUAGAAUUUUAUUUAAAGAGUCUUUUGGAGAUGCUCUUAGGAGAGCUCAAGGCUUAUAAACUAAUCUAGAAACGCUCUCGCUAGAGAUGUAGGAUUUUACAUACUUUUCCCCUUGAAGAUCUCGUAUCCUUGUGAGGAACUCUCUUACUAAAAAUGUGGGAUAUCACAUACUUUUCUCCUUAAAGACUCGGAGUCCUCUUGUGGGUCAUUAGAAAUAGAACAAAACAAAAUAAUAUCAUACAAAGUGAUCAUUUAAUAGCUAUUUUACUUUAAUCUAACCUAUAAAAAAUCAAAAUCAAAGAUUUAUCUAUCCACACGUAGGGUCGCGAGUUGACUCUGAUUCCAAUUGUGACACUCUAAAGACUCAGCUUUAGGCACAACUCAUCACGGUUUUAUUAUCGGGCUGUGCAACCCAAAAUACAUCUACCUAGUUAGGAGAGCCCAUGACAUAUAAAUUAGUCCAAGAACUCUCUCACUAGUCAUGUGGGAUGUUACAGUUAUUGUUUACGAUUUAUUGAACUUCUCUUUCAAGAUUUGCUAACCUGAAUUAAUAUCAAUGCGUGAGCAUCAAUCAAUGCCUCACAAUUUAUGCUUCUUCUUUAAAAUGAUUCAUUCUGAAUGUUGCUAGGUUAAUGUUUCUUCUGGAAUCAACCUGGUAUGAGCGUACUCAAACAUAUUAAUUAUUUAAAAUAAUUCAAACAAAAAUUUUAAAACUUUAUUUAUUUACAAAAUACCAUUCACUUUUAUUAGAUGGCUGGAGCUUUUAUUUUACAACAGCCGUUAAAAACCAUAGCAUCACAAUAUCAAACCAAAGACAGACUGCUUUUAAGGUAGAACUCUUUUUACAUUGUUGAAACUUGAAGAAACCACAACUGGAGAAUGGAGAAUAAUUUCACACCAUCUGCAUCAGCAGCCGGAGGCUUUAAAUUUCCGAAUUCCAUGGGCAAUCAGGUUUCACUAACAAUAGAAACCUUCUCAUAUGCCUGGCCAUCUAUAAAUUUCUUGCGAUCAUUGCAACAACCCCCGAACAGCUGCUGCAGGAAAAUGACUGCAGCAAACAUCAUACCUCCUACAGAAACAAUGAUGUUACAAGCAUCAGAGAAAUAAUCUGCAUUGGUAUGGAGAGCAUGGUAUGCAUGUGGCAGCAAUCGGAGACUGGUCACUCCAAUGUAGAAUGAACUAGCCAAAGCAUUGUCUUUGGAGUUUCGGAAUAUGUUGAACAGGAUUUGAGGCAACAGAAAUCCGUCCAAGACAAAACCUGCGUACAAUUUCAGGCCCUCCCACCGCUGUGGCUGAGGAUAAAAUCUUUGGGGAGAUGAGAGCAACCCGAGAUAAUGAUUGUGCUCCCUCCAGUUAAAAAGGUAAAAUAUGAUAGCGCCUGGAGCAUAUAAUGAGAACGACACAAAUAGAGACCGCUUCUCAGCUAACCACAAGCCUGGUUGGUCUUGCCCAUCAGCCAGCUUUGCUGACCAUGAAAGUUGCAGUAAUCGGAAUUCUAACAAGAAAGCUACCAUUGUUAUUAUCCUUACAAGCACUUCAUUCACUUCAAGCCAUCCACCUCUACUAAGCAAAACACGUGGCCUGUCGAGAUUUUUCAGGAACAGGGCUUCAAAGUUUAGCAUCAGGGGAAUCAUGUGUCCUAAAGUAAGAAGCAAAAGCAUAACAAGCGAAAUGGAGGGAAGCACUUCGGGGUGCUUCUUCACAUGCAACAGCUGCAAUCCCACGAAGAUACAUGCAAGUGUGUUGGAUAUAAGAGCCACGGUUAUCGCCCAAUCAAUCUUGGAAAUGGACUUUUUCACAGCAAGUGCAGAAUAACUAACAGAGUAGACUUCCAUUGGUUCAAAAUAAAGAGGGUCUGAUUCCGCCCGCAUGCUUUUGAUGCUUCCCUUGAUAUGACCUUCAUUCUCCUUUGGAUUUGAUGGCGGAAACUGGAAGUUUAGAAGAAUUUCACAGUCCAUGGAAUCACUGGUUGAUGAUAGAUUAUUGGAGACAAUGCUUCUACAACCAACCAUACACAACUGUCCUGUUUUUGAAUCAUAAAUUCCUUCAGCUGAAAUCUCCACUCCCUCAUAAGAACUCCUAGAUAUAUCAAGAGAAUAAACCUGACCACCAAAAGUUGCUCCAGGUAGUAAUCUGAUGCCAAUUUUGUAGCUGAUGUUGACCUGGCUGUUUCGAUUGAAGCUUUCUUGAACUUUAGGUCUAGAAGUACUUGACCUUAAGGGCGUUUUACUAUAUAGGUACCGUGGAUAAAACUGAUCGCCAACAGAAAGAGGAGUUGCGUAACCCCGAGACCUGUUUGCACUAGGUCUGUGAACACGAAUAUUGAACUGCAUGUCGUAAGAAUGCUCACUUGGAUAUUUCUUCCCAUUGCUCUUUUGAGGCUUCCACUUCGGCCAACAUAAUUCUCUUGCUCUGUUGAUUUCUGAGUAUUCAUACUUCAAACCUGAGACUGUUCUGAAAGAAUUCUCAGAAUUUUGAAAAUGGAUCUUCUCGAAGUAACCAGAAUCAUUCACAGCUUUUUUGCUCCAAAUUUCCCCCACGAUGUUCCUGCUCUGUCUGAUUGACCAGAUUGAAGGGAAGCUCAAACUCAACCUUGUGGUGCAAUCUCCAAUAUAAGCAUUAGCCGAAGAUUCUGCUGAGUUCAGAAAUCGGCAAGCCACAAUAAAUAGCUUAUUCAUCUUGUCAUCCCAAUAUCCUUCUGCGACCAAUGUUCUGAUGGGAUCAAAUGGAUGGUAGUAUCCAACAUAGCUACAAGAAAUCGCAAUCUCUUUUCCUCUUCCAGGCACUCAAUUUGCUUUAAGGAAACAACACGAGCAAAAUAUCCAUCUGUCGAGUCACUGAAAGGACUGCAUAUAUUUGCAGAACUGCAAUUACUGUAGUACUUCAAAUUAAAUUCAUUUCCUCCUAGGACUACAGAACAGAAACUUGUUCUGGGCAGUGAACUAAGUGGUAAACAUUUCACAGUAUCAUUUCCACCAGAAAAUUCAUUACUUAAAUCUUUUGAAGCCAAACUAUACUCAUAACUCAUUCUUGGUGGAAUAAGUAUAGAAAUUGGCUCAAAAUAGUUUAAAUCAUUAGCAGAACUCAUGCACUCCAACCUUCCACUUACCAAAGUUGUAACAUCACUUGAAUUCUUGAGAUUACUAAGCUUCAGGACAGCUGCAAGGUUGGGUAAUUCAUCUUCUGUUCCCACCAUACAAAGAUUACCAGAAGAUUCUGACCAGAACCCGUGUAGCCUGAAUCUCACUAAACUUCUCCUACGGUGAACUCCAGGCUCAUGAGAAAUGGCCCCUGGAUCAUAUGAUCUAGCUACUUGCAGAUACGUAACACCUCCGUCGUAGGAAUAAGUGUUUCGGCUUCGUAACAACAAUGUUCCUUCAAUUCCAAACACACCAUCCUUCUCAGUUUUGUACACAUUCGGGGUGCAAAAGGUGAGUGAGUAUGCGUUCUGAGAGAGGAUCUCAUCGCCUCCGGUGUAGUGGCCAGUGUGGAGUCGGGGAAAUGAUGAGAGGGCAGGUUCAAAUUUGUUCAGAGUCGAUUCGGGGACUAUAGAAUUGCAAUGAUCAGAAUAAGAUAUCUGAGUUGCAGAGGAUAGGAAAGAGUUUAAACAGAAAGCUGUUAAGAAAAAGGAAAUUAAUAAAGUACGAAGCCACUGAAACGCAGAGGAAUUCAUGAUCAUAGUCGUCGAAAAAAGAUGAGUAUUCAACCUUCUGUUAUGCCAAGAAAACAUAGUCUUCUGGGGCACUGAAAUCUCCUCUUUACUUAUGCACUCUCAAUCAAAACUGGAGACAAAUUCCAUUGCGUAGAUAGCAAGUCAUUAUUUUUAUUUUAUUUUUUCUUAUAGAUGGAAAUGAAAAUGACAGCUUCAAUGAAGACAUGGAAAUUACCGCAAGCCAAACUACACAACAAAUGUAUUUCCUUUUAAGUUCAUUAUCCAAAGACAGCUUUUUCAAAGCUAGUGCAUAGUUUUUGGGUUUUGAAAGUAUAUUUGAAAGCAAUCCAUAGAAAAUAAACAUAAAAAGAUAAUAAAAAAAUUGCCGGCUUGGUGAGGUUUAUAGCGCACUACUUUCUUUUGAUCGUUUCCGUUUGUUUCCUAGCUGGAAUACUAACAAGAAGUACGUCAACACAUGUCAAGUGCAGGUAAUAUUUUACAAAGAUUAAAAAGAGCUAAUUAACUUGAAUUUUCUGUUGGCUAUUUCAUUAAUUCCUGAAGAACCAUUCUAUCAUUUUAAUAUUUACGAAAAAUGAUAUCUACACUCCCAAGAUUGGAGGAAAUAAUCGUAUAGACCCUUAAAUUUUUAAUAAAAGACACUAAGCUCCCUCUUUUGAUUGUUAUAUUCUUUGUAAAUAGUAAUUAAAAAAUUAAUUUUAAAUUUUUUUAAUAAAUAUAAAUAUAUUUUAAACUGUUUAAUUUGUCUAGUGGACUAAUAAUAUUAGAAUUUUUUAUACAUAAAAUAAUUUUUAAAAUGUAAAUUAUUAUUUUUAUUUUAAUAAUACAUUUGUGUUUAUUAUAAAAAUUUUAAAUAAAUCUUUUUGUUAAAUAGAUUUUACAAUUAAUAAAAUAUAUCUCAUGUAUUACAAUAUUAAAUUUAUUUUAUGUAAUAUAAAAAAUAAUUUAAUUUUUUAUAUAUUUAUUUUAAUAUUAUGUUUCUAUUUAUUAUAGGGAAAAGGACUGCUGGGUCCCCAAUGUUUGGAAAAAAGAACAUGAAAAUCCUUAAUUUUUUUUUAAAAAAAAUGUAAGUCCUUUUUCGGUUAAUAAUUCCGUCUAUUUUAAUAAAAAAAGGAUAAUAUUGUACAUUUACAAUAAAAAUACAAAGAAAAUAAUUAUUAGGACCCCAACGUUUGGGGUAAGGGAUAUAAAAUUCCCUAAUAUUUAAAAACAAAAGACAUAUAACCCCUUUCCAUUAAUAAAUUUUACUUAUUUUAAUUAAGAAAGGGUAAUAUUAUUACUAUCAUCAUCAUAAUCAUCAUGAUCAUCGUUAUUGUUAUUUAUUAAUGUCACUAAUAUUAUAUUAAUAAUAUUAUUAUUAAAUUUUAUUGAUUUUAAUAUUUUAUUAUCAUCAUCAUCACUAUUAUUAUUGAUAUUAUUAUUAUUGUUAUUAUAUUGUUACAAAAUUUAUUAAUUUUAUUAUUUUAGUUAUUUGUUGUUGUUGUUGUUGUUGUUGUUGCUGCUGCUAUUAUUAUUGUUAUUGUCAUCAUCAUCAUCAUCAUCAUUAUUGUUAUUUUUUAAUGUCAUUAAUAUUAUAUUAAUAAUAUUAUUAUUAAAUUUCAUUAAUUUUAAUAUUUUAAUUAUUAUUAUCAUUAUCAUUAUUAUCAUUGAUAUUUAUUGUUAUUAUAUUAUUAGUGAAAUUUAUUAAUUUAAAAUUUUAAUUAUUUAUUGUUGUUGUUGUUGUUGUUGUUACUACCCUUUUCUUAAUUAAAAUAAACAAAAUUUGUUAAUGGAAAUGGGGUUAUAUGUCAUUUUUUAGAAACAUUAGAGAGUUUUAUGUCCCUUUCCCCCAAACAUUAAGGGCUAGAAGUCCUUUUCCGUGUAUUUUGUUGUAAAUAUACAAUAUUACCGUUUUUCCCCUUUAAAAUAAACGAAAUUAUUAAUAGAAAAAGGACUUACAUAUCUUUUUUAAAACCUUAAAGUGUUUUUAUGUCCCUUUCCUCAAACAUUAAGGACCUAGCAGUCCUUUUUUCCUUUAUUAUAAAGUUUAGUUUAGGGCCAGUUUGGUAAUAUUAUAGCUUUUAAAAUAAUUUUUAUUAAUUAUGCUGUAAAAAUAAUUAGGUAUGAAGAGAAUCAAUUAAAUGUUUGGUAAAAUUUAUUUUUAAAAGUAGUGUGACUUUUAAAAGUAGUUGUAUAGAUAUUUGGUAAAUGUUAUUGUUAAGAUAUUAUAUGAAUAAGAAUGAUUGAACUUGACAUAAUAUUUAAUAAAAUUUAUUCACAUAUUUAUAAAUAUUAAAUAUUUACAUACAAUAAUUGACAACAAAAAUAAAUAUUAUGUAUUUUUAUUUUUAUUUUUAUUUUUUAUCUCAAUGUAAUUAGUAAUAAUUAUAAUCUCUUUAAAGUUAAUGAUUUUAUUUCCUAAGUAAUAAGGACAAUUUUGGAUUUUUAUAUUAUAUAUGAGGAUAUAUAUGCAAUUGUAUUAAGUGUAAAACUGAUUUUUAAAAUCAAAAUUUGAAUUCUUCCCUACUUUUUAAAACCUACUGUAAGACGGGGUGAUUGUUUUAGAAGUGAUUUCUAAAAAAAUUUACCAAACACCAAAAUUAACUUUUAACUUUUUAAAUUCACUUUUGAACUUCCUAAAGGCAAUUCUAAAUAGGCCCUUAAUAUAAUAUGAGAUUGUAAAGUAUUAAAAUAAUUUUUUUAAAUAUUAAAAUAUUUAAAAUGUAUAUAUUGUUACAUUUAUUUUAAUAUUAUAUUUAUAUUUGUUGUAAAAUAUCAUAUUCAAUCUUUUUGAGUUAAUAGAGCUAAAGGAUUUUAUAGUCAAAAUGAAGUCUUAGGGCUAGUUUGGUAACGUUAAAGCUUUUAAAAUGAUUGCUGUUGGAUACACUGUAGAAAUAAUUAGCUAUGAAGAGAAACAAUUAAACAUUUGGCAAAAUUUAUUUUUAAAAGUGUUGUAAGUUUGAAAAGCAAUUGUAUGUGUUUAGUAAAUCUUAUUGUUAAACUGUUGUAAGAAUGUAAAUGAUUGAUUGAACAUACUGUUGAAUAAAAUUUAUUUAUAUGUAUUAUAAACAUGUAUAUAAAAUCUUUUUUAUUUUGUGCAUCUAACAACUGAUAACUAAAAUAAAUAUUUUAUAUUAUUAAUUUUAUUUUUUUUAAUUUGUUAUCUCAAUAUAAUUUGUACUAAUAAUAAUUUCUUUAAAUUAAAUGAUUUUAUUUCUUAAUUAAUAAGGAUUAUUUUAGAUUUUUAUAACAUGUAUAAAGAUAUAUAUAUAUAUAUAUAUAUAUAUAUAUAUAUAAUUAUAUUAAGUAUAAAAGUGAUUUUUAAAAUCAGAAUUUGAAAUAUUACUCCUAUCUUGCUUGAAAGAAAUGAAUGAGUAACAUUUCAAAAUCUAUUGUAGGAAAGGGUGAUUUUGUCAAAAGUUAUUUUUAAAAAAAAAUUACCAAACACUAAAAUUAGGUUUUAACUUUUCAAAAUCACUUUUAAGUCUCACAAAAACAACCCCAAAUGGGUUUUUAGUGUUCCUUAAUAAAAACUUGAGGUUUACUUAACUAUUUUCCUUAAUUUUAAUUUUAGGGAUGUAAGUAUUCUUUUCCUUAAUAUUUAAAAGAAAACCCACCUUCACUGAUGGACAUACCAUUUCAUUGAAGUUAUGUCGAUUGGGUUCGAAACAUUUUUAAACAAAGUCCUCUUACCAUAAUCAAUUCAAAACUAGUCACCUCAAGUUUGUCUAUUUAUGCAGCUUUUAGAAUAGUUAUGAUUGACUCGGGGACAACUAGAGCACAAUGAUCACAGCAAGAGAACUGAUAGCUAGCCAUAUGCAGAGAGAUUAUGAACAAAAUUUAAUCACCACAGGAAGUUGAGUUCUUCAUUUGAAGUAAUCUAUUUGUGCAUCAUUCAUGUGUCUCUCCUUAGGAAUUUCGAUCUACAAGACUUGAGAUUGAAGGUACAAGACAACAAGUUUUUGGAUCACUUACAUAAAAACCUUUCUUAAAGAGUUGCUCAAAGGCAGCGUUUACCUAUCAAAUUGAUAUGCUUAUUUGAGGACCAGACAUGAGAGUUUAAUAAUAAUUUUAUAGCCAUAAUUUAUUUGAAUAUGUUUAAUUCAAUAAUUAUGAAUGUAGUCAAACAUAUUAAUUAUUUAACAUAAUUUGAAACAAAAUUUUAUUAAACACAAACUUUUAUGAGACAGCUUGAAGUCUAGAACUUUUAUUUUACAACAGUUGCUUGAAAACUAUAACACCGCAAUAUGAAAAGAAACACAGAGUGCUUUCAACAAAGACCUUAAAUGUUGUUGAAAGUUAAAAAAAAAACCACAACUAAGGAAUAAUUUCACACCAUCUGCAGCUGCUAGAGGCUAACAUUUCCAGAUUAUAGGGAAAUCAAGUUUCACUGACAGAAGGAACCUUCUCAUAUUCCGGCCCCUCUAUACAUUUCCUAGGAUCAUUGCAACGACCCUCAAACAGCUGCUGCAGAAAAAUGAUUGCAGCAAACAGUAAGCACACUGAAGAAACAACGAUUUCACAGAUGUCAAAGGCAUAAUCUGAAUCAGUAGGGUAGAAAAUUUUGCAAGCUUUUGGCAGCAAUAUAAGACUAGUUGUUCUAAUGUUGAAUGAACUGGCCAGAGCAUUGUCUUUCGAGUUUCUAAAUAUGUUCAACAACAUUUGAGGCAACAGAGAUCCAUCCAAGACAAAACCAGCAUAUAAUUUUAUACCCUCCCACUGCUGGGGCUGAAGAUAAAACCUUUGAGGAGCUAAAAGCAAAGCAAGAUAACAAUUGUGCCGCCUUUAGUUAAACAGAUAAAAUACAAAAAAGCCUGAAGCAUAUAAUGCGAACGACAAGAAUAGAGUCCACUUCUCAGCUGACCACAAGCCUGGUUGGUCUGCCUUAUCAGCUGAUUUUGAUGGGCGCGAUAGUUGCAGAAGUCUGAAAUCUAGCAAGAAAGCUACCAUUGUUAUUAUCCUCACAAGCGCUUUAUUGACUUGAAGCCAUCCACUUCUACUAAGCAAAACACGUUGUCCUUCGAGAUUUCUCAAGAACGUGGCUUCAAAGUUUAGCAACAGAGGCAUCAUGUGGCCUAAAGUAAGAAGCACUAGCAUAACAAGUGAAAAUGGAACAAAGCACUUCAGGAUGUUUUUCUCACAUCUACAAGCUGCAAUCCAAUGAAGAGACACUCAAAUUGUUGUGCGCGGAAUGCGGAAUCAAGCGCACCAAAUAAUUAUAGAAAAAAUAAAGGACACAAGAAUUACGUGGUUCGGUAAUUAAACCUACAUCCACGGAGGCAAGAAAGAAUAAUUGUUUAUUUAACAAUUAAUAGAGUACAAUAUUUGAGUAACGAAUCUCACUUCCCAGAAACCCAAAAUAUACCCAGUACUCUCACACUCUACAGGAAAGAUAAAUUCCCCAGACACACUUCUCUCACUUCUCUCAAAAGCUUAGAAACUUAUAAGCUUAACAAUUUUGGGAUGAUUUCAAAUGAAUGAAAUCCUUAGCUAUUUAUAGGAGAAAUGAAUUACUAUGCAAAGAAUAAAAUAAUUGAAAAUAUAAUAAAUUAUUAUUAUUAUUUUCAAAUCCAUCCCCUUUUUCCAUUCUUUCUUUUCGGCUUACAAAACCAAAUUGGAUUUUGCUUCUCCAAAGCUUGCAUGCUAGCUGUUGCAAAGUUGGCUUUGGCUAGCUGCUGCUGACUUUUCAACAAUUCUCCACCUCGGCGAAGAUUUAGCCAAAUCUGAGCCGACUACCAACUAACCCUCAUCCCCAAAGUGAUCCUUCAAUAAGGAUCCAGAAUGUCUGUGUCGAUUCGACUGCCUACGUACCCAAAAUUUGGGAUCAAGCCAACCGUAGUUCAAAAUUCCCGAAGGACAUAUCUUAACACAAUCGAAGGAUUUGAAUUAAUUUCAAACAAUAUUGAAACUUAACUCCAGAAACUACCUUCGUCAACAUAUCUGAUGGAUUAUCUUUGGUAUCGAUGUUUCUCAACAACACAACACCGCUCUCGAUAAUCUCUCUCACAUAAUGAUAUUUCACAUCUAUGUGCUUCGUCCGAGCGUGAUAUGUUUGAUUCUUCGCAAGGAAUAUCGCACUUUGAUUAUCACAGAAGACCGCAAUGUUCUCCUGGAUUACUCCCAAAUCACCUAACAAGCCUUUCAACCAGAUAGCUUCUUUUACAGCUUCAGUUGCUGCCAUAUACUCUGCUUCCGUAGUGGACAGAGCAAUUGUCGAUUGUAGAAUCGACCUCCAGCUAACCGGACCUCCACCCAAUGUGAAUACGUAGCCCGUUGUUGAUCUUCGCUUGUCAAGGUCUCCAGCGAAAUCAGAAUCACAAUACCCAACACAUUGUUGACCACAAUCCUUCUUGAACAAUAACCCAACAUCAACUGUCCCAUACAGAUAUCGGAGAAUCCACUUUACCGCAAGCCAUUGAUUUUUACCCGGAUUGUGCAUGUAUCUACUAACCAUGCUCACUGCUUGAGAUAUAUCGGGCCUUGUGCAUACCAUAGCAUACAUAAGACUACCCACAACGCUAGCAUAUGGAACACGAGCCAUGUAAUCGCGCUCCUCUUGAGAUUUAGGACAUGAAGAAGAACUUAAUUUGAAAUGAGGAGCUAGAGGUGUACAUAUCGAUUUAGUUUUGUCAUCCAUACCGAAUCUUUCUAGUACUUUCUUCAAAUAAGACUUUUGAGUCAAUCAUACGCUCCCAUUCUUCUUGUCUCUACAAAUCUCCAUCCCAAGUAUUCUCUGUGCAUCACCCAAGUCUUUCAUCUCGAACUCAGAAGCCAGCUGCUUCUUUAAUCUUUCGAUCUCAUCUCUAUUCUUCGAAGCUAUAAGCAUAUCAUCGACAAAAAGUAACAAAUAGAUGAAAGCUCCAUCUGGUAGUCUUCUAAAGUAAACACAAUGAUCGUGUUCACUUCUGGUGAAUUUCUGCCCUGGUAUAAAUUGAUCAAAUCUUUUGUACCACUGCCUUGGCGAUUGCUUCAGUCCGUACAAAGAUUUAAUCAACCUACACACAUGAUUCUCUUUUCCAGCAACUUUGAAACUACAAGGGUGAAUCAUAUAGAUUUCCUCCUCCAAAUCUACAUGUAAGAACGCGGUCUUAACAUCCAAUUAAGCCAACUCUAACUCAUAUUCUGCAACUAAGGCAAGUAGGAUACGAAUGGAAGUAUGUUUUACAACUGGAGAGAAAACUUCAUUGUAGUCAAUACAUUCCUUUUGAGCAGAACCUUUUGCCACGAGCCUUGCCUUGUAUCGAGGAGUUGUUUCAUUCGGAGAUCUUUGCUUUUUGGUGUAGACCCAUUUAUUGCCAAUAGUCUUUUUCCCUUUUGGUAACUUUACAAGUUCCCAAGUCUGGUUUUGAUGGAGAGAUUUCAUCUCUUCCUCAAUGGCUAACUUCCACUGAUCACUUUCACUGCUGUGUAAUGCUUCACCGAAAGUGUUGGGGAUGUCAUCAUCAAUAACUGGAAGUGCAUAGGCUACCACCAUAUCUUUAGUAAGCCAUCCAAGUUUUUUUAUCUCUCUUCUUGGCCUCCUUGUUGCUAUAAAAUCAUCAUUAUCUACAUCAUCAAUUGUUUCUUCAUUUUGUGGGACAUUAGAAGAAACAACCUCUUCUUCAACUCUAGGUGUCACCUCCAUAGUUGAACUCUUCUUUGAUGUAGAACUAACUGGUACAUAUGGAGUUGCAUCAAACUCCACCCGCUGCAAUACCUCUUUGGUCUCGUUCUCCACUUGCUGAGAACUUGAAGCUUUCAUCAUUGAAGUUUCAUCAAAUGUGACAUCUCUGCUACACACAAACUUUUUAUCUUCGAGAUCCCAAAGCUUGAAGCCCUUUACUCCACCUUUGAAUCCCACAAAGAUAGCUUUUCUAGCACGAGGAUCCAGUUUACCAUCUUUGACAUGAUAAUAAGCUGGACACCCGAAUACACGAAGGGAAUCAUAGUCUUGUGCAUGCUUUCCAGACCACAUUUCCAUAGGAGUUUUACCUCCAAUUGCAGCAGAAAGCAACCGGUUUACCAAGUGACUUGCGUAGCUCACAGCUUCAACCCAAAACUUUUUAUCUAAACCAGCAUUAGAUAACAUACACCGUACCUUCUCUAGUAAAGUACGAUUCAUAUGCUCAGCCAUACCGUUCUGUUGCGGAGUAUGUCUCACCGUGAAAUGUCUUUUAAUACCCUCGUUCUGGCAUACUUGCAAGAAUGGAUCAGAAGUAUAUUCACCCUCAUUAUCAUAUCGUAAUACUUUGAUCUUUCUACCAGUUUGAGUCUCCACCAAUUUCUUCCAUUUCACAAAAAUCUCUAAAACCUCAUCCUUUGCUCGCAUGGUGUACACCCACACACGUCUAGAGAAAUCAUCAACAAAUGUAACAAAAUAAUGGCUUCCACCAAUUGAUGCAGUCUUGGUUGGUCCCCAUACAUCACUAUGAACAUAUUCAAGGAUCUCACGAGUAUCGUGAUUAGCUGUACCAAACUUGACCCUUGUUUUCUUGCCUACUACACAAUGCUCACAGAAAUUUAAUUUACAGGUUUUGGUACCUUUUAAGAGUCCAUGCCUCAUCAAAGUUUGCAAAGACUUCUCUCCAGUAUGUCCCAGUCGUACAUGCCAUAGCUUGGUGGUGUCACUGUGCACCUCAACAACAUUUGCUUCAUCAGUUGUACCUCCCUUUAAAUAGUACAGAUUGUGACGCCGAACCCCUUGCAGAAUCACCAUAGCCCCAUGUGUAAACUUCAUUAUACCAUCUUCAAUGGUAACCUUGUAGCCUUUAGCUUCCAAAGCACCCACAGAAAUUAGAUUUUUCUUUAAAGCUGGAACAAAUCUAACCUCUUUGAGUUCUCUGACCAUUCCAUCAAACAUUUUGAGCCGAAUUGUUCCUAUCCCCAUUGUGCGACAAGGUUGAUCAUUCCCCAUCACAACUGCACCGGAUUCCAGAUUACGAAAAUCCGUAAACCAUUCCUUAAUAGGACACAAAUGAUAGGUUGCUCCAGUAUCAAGUAUCCACUCGCUCAAACUAGCCACGUAUGCUGCAGGAGUAAUACUUAGUGAAUAAUCAGAUCCCUCAUCUUUCCGUGCCAUGUUUGCUGCUGCUGGUUUCUUCUCAUCUCUCUUUUGAGCCUUUGGACAAUCUUUCCUCCAAUGGCCCUUUUCAUGACAAAAGGCACACUCAUCUCGAGCUAUAUUUCUGUUUCUCGAUUUGGAUCGAGAGUUCUUUCCACCACGCUUCUUCUAUUUCUCCAUCGCCCAAUCUCUGCUCACUAAAGCUUCAGACGAUGCUCGUUCAGAAUUUUUAUCAUUAUUCUGAAUCUUUAAGCUAGUCAAUGCUGUGCAAACAUCUUUGAAGACGAUCACACUCUUCCUAUAUAUCAAAGUAGUCACAAAAUGGCUAUAUUCCUCUAGUAGUGAGUGUAACAGAAUCAUAGCCUUGACUUCAUCCUUAAUAUCUUCAUCAAGAUUCUUCAAAUCAGCAAGUAACUUUUCAAAUCUUGAAACAUGAUCGUGCAUUGACACCCCAGGCUUCAUUCGAAAACCAUAUACUUGGCUCAUUGCAUGAAGGCGAUUUUCAGGACUUUUCACCAGGUACUUUUCCUCCAAUGUACGCCACAAAGUUACCGCACACUCCUCAUUUUUCACCAAGUAUUUCACCUCCUUGGUCAAACAAGAUCUGAUCUGACCACAAGCUUUUUCAUUCAUACGAUCCCAAAUUUCUUCAUCAUACAAGUGUCUUUUAUUUUUCAGAACAACAUCGAGAUCGAUUUGAAUAAGGGCAUCCAUAACUUCGCGCCUCCACAUGCCGAAGUUGAUUUUCCCAUCAAAAUUUUCAACAUCGAUCUUCUGCCCUCCUAUAACAGGUGCUGAAUAGCGAUUUGACAAAUCUCGUCUCCCACCUGAAGUGUCUCCUGAAAUAGUCUCGGUAGAUCUCUCCCCAAUUCUGGAAGUUUCACCUUCUACCAUUUUCUCAACGAACUAUUUCCACUUGAAAAACAGUCUCUAUGAUGUUAAUUUCGCGUGAAUAAAUGCACCAGGAAAGUUCCCAGGAAACUGGACAGAACUCGGUCCCAAUUAAAAACCAGAAUACUUAGACUCUUAUUGCCUUUGUUGACAGAACUUUCCUAGACAUGCAAAAAUACACACUACUUACAAUAGACUGUCUCCCAAGUUCAAAUGGCCGUCUCCACCGUAUUCGUGAACAGUACUGUUAGAGUGCAAUUUAUGCACUAGUUUUGCAUUGUUUACUUCCCUUAAUAUCGAUGUUUUGCACUUAAUAAUGAUGAUUUACUUGUGUUUUACUUUUGUAGGUGCAAUUCUAUUGAUUUGUGAUAAAAUUGAGCUAUAAGAUGAUGUUUAAGGAUGAUUGUUCUCUUGGAGAAAUUAUAAGCGGCAGAAGAACUUUGUUGAUAAGGCGUGGGCGCGUGCUGUCAACUGCGAACCUGCAGUUUUUAGUUUAACGUGUUUUGUAUUUUUGGUUAUUUUUGUAAUUACGAAUUUAAUAUUUCAUAUAUUAGUAUUUUAUUUUAAAUAGAAUUCUAGAGGAGAAGAGAGAUAGAGUAUUUAAAGGAGGAAUCUAUUGUGAAAAAGGGGGAUUUUGGAUUGGAGAAAAAGAAAGAAACCCUAGAUCUAAUUUUUCUCUUCUCUCUAUGAAGAACUAAACCUAUUUUUCUGGUUGAAGGAUAAUGAAGCUUUGAUUCAUCACUACUGUGAGAUCUUUCUUAUGCUUUAAUUGUUUUAUUACUUUUUGGGUAUUUGUUUAUUCUCUGAAUUAGUUUCAUGAUUAUGUUUGUUAAUUAGGUAAUUAGCCAUUAUUUAAUUAUUAACUUAAUCUAUUGUCAAUUAAAGGAUUCAUCGUAUGAAGAAUUUAAUGUUUGUGACAAAUAACAUAGCAGAGAGUUGUGUUGUGAGAAUAAACAAUCUAAUUUAAAUGAAUCAUCAUAUGUGUUGAUUAGGAUUUGGGUCUCUCUGGUUUUUCAGGCUGUCAAUUGAUUAAAUCCUAUGAUCGUAUCUAGGGUUGUCUAUUGAUUAGGGAAAUAUCCAACGGUCGUACCUUGGUUAUCGACUAGUUAAGGAGAGAUUGGCUAUUAAAGGGUCUCAAUAGCUAUAACCGGUUUAUUCAUAAGUAAUAAUAAUCUAUAUUUGAAUCAAUGAUCAGUAGUCAAAUCAAGCUGAGUUAAUUCCUUCAACCGGAGCUUUCUCUAAUUUGAAUUACAACUUUAAUUUGCAUUCUUGUUAUUUUAAUUUGAUUUUUAUUAUUGUCAACAAUUCCCCCAUUUUACGUUUUACGUUUCAAAAGGAUUUAAAUAAUUACCGAUCUCUGUGGACACGACCCUGCUCAAUCACUAUACACAAUUUAUUUAGAGUAGGAAUUUAUUUUUGUUGGCUUCGAAAACCAUCAAAUUUUGGCGCCGUUGCCGGGGAUUGGUGUCAUUUAUUUAAUCCUUUUUACGUUUUACUUGGUGUAUGGUUCGUUCUUCUCGUACAAGUACACUUUCGUUUGAUCCUAAAAUUGAGAAGAUAGCUCGCCAGUUGAGACAGCAGACAAAGCGAGGUAAGCAACGAUCCUCAUCGCCUUUGCUUUCUGAAACAGAUACAGUGCCAGAUUUAGUUGAAUUAUCUAGCGAUUUAGAAGAACAAGUGAUGGAUAGACCUGCACCUAUAGAAAGAAUUCUUAGAGAGUUAGCUGAACCAGACUUGAAUCAGCAACCACUCUGCAUUCAAUAUGUAGACUUGGAGGUAAAUUUUGAAUUAAAGUCUGGUCUUAUUCAUUUAUUACCCAAGUUUCAUGGUUUUGCAGGUGAAGAUCCUCAUAAACAUCUCAAGGAGUUUCAUGUUGUGUGCUCAAGUAUGAGGCCACAAGGCGUGACUGAAGAACAGAUUAAGCCACAUGCUUUUCCGUUCUCUUUAGAUGGGUUCGCUAAAGAUUGGUUGUACUACUUGCCUCCUGGAUCGAUUACAACGUGGAAUGGUUUGAAGAAGCAGCUCCUCGAGAAGUACUUCCCUGCUUCAAGAGCUGCCAACAUCAGAAAAGAUAUUUGUGGGAUCAGACAACUUCCUGGGGAGACUUUGUAUGAGUAUUGGGAGCGAUUUAAACAAUUGUGUGCCAGCUGUCCUCAGCAUCAAAUUUCUGAUUAACUUCUUAUUCAUUUUUUUUACGAAGGACUGUCAUUAAUGGAUAGGAGUAUGAUAGAUGCUGCUAGUGGAGGCGUGUUGGUGAACAAGACCCCUACUCAAGCAAGGGAGUUGAUCUCAAAUAUGGCUACCAAUGCACAACAAUUUGGCAACAGGCAAGAUCCCAUUUCAAGGAAGGUGAAUGAGGUAAAUAUUUCUUCUGUUGAACAACGUUUAGAUAAACUUACUUCUCUUGUGGAAAAGUUUGUUGUAGGUAAUGUGCAACAAGUGAAGACUUGUGGUAUUUGUUACAAUAUGGGUCAUUCAACCGAUAUGUGUCCUACACUUCAAGAAGAACCCGUUGAACAAGCCAAUGCAGUUGGAGGAUUUCCAGGCAUGCCUCAGAGGAGGUAUGAUCCUUAUGCACAAACAUACAAUCCGGGAUGGAAGGAUCAUCCCAACUUCAGCUAUGGAGUUAGGCACUCAGGGUUCCCACAACAGUAUCCACCAAGACAACCAGUACCUCCACAGUCAAACUCCAAGUCAGGUAUAUCUCUUGAAGAAAUUGUUAAAUCACUUGCGACUAACACUCAACAAUUUCAGCAGGUAACUACAACAAGCAUUCAGAAUUUGGAGAACCAAAUGAGUCAAUUGGCGACUACAGUGAGCCGUCUGGAGUCUCAAGUAUUAAGGAGAUUGCCUUCACAAUCUGAGGUGAAUCCAAAGCAAAACGUUAGUGCUGUCAUCCUAAGAAGUGGGAAUGAGUUGCAAGAGCCUAGUAAGAAAGUGACACAGCAUGUAGAAGUUGAGCUUGAAAAGAAUGAAUUGAUGCUUAAAUCUCAAGAUGCGCAACCCACCAGAGCGAAACCCCUACCUAUUGUGAUACCUCCUCCUUUUCCAAGCCGAUUUGCAAAAUCCAAGAAGGAGGAACAAGAGAAAGACAUCCUUGAGACAUUUCGCAAGGUUGAGGUAAAUAUUCCUUUAUUAGAUGCUAUAAAACAAAUACCUCUAUAUGCUAAAGUCCUUAAGGAACUGUGCACCUCCAAGAGAAAAUUAAGAGGAGAUGAAAAAGUUCACAUGAGGGAGAAUGUUUCAGCAGUUCUCCAAAAGAAACUACCUCCUAAGUGCAAGGAUCCAGGUAUGUUUACUAUCCCUUGUAAAAUUGCUAGUGUUAGAGUUGAAAAAGCUAUGUUAGAUCUAGGAGCUUCUAUUAAUGUCAUGCCUCGUUCUAUUUAAUAUCUUUGAAUGUUGGUCCAUUAAAAGAAACUGGCGUGAUAAUUCAACUAGCUGAUAGGUCUAAUGCAUAUCCUGAUGGGGUAUUAGAAGAUGUCUUAGUACAAGUUAAUGAGUUGGUUUUUCCUGCUGAUUUUUAUGUACUUGAUAUGGAAGAUGAUAACUCCUCUAAUUUUGUCUCAAUUUUGCUAGGAAGACAUUUUCUUAAGACUGCUAUGACUAAAAUGGAUGUACAUAAAGGGACUCUCACUAUGGAGUUUGAUGGAGAGGUUAUAGAAUUCAAUAUAAAUGAUGCCAUGAAAUAUCCUAGUGAGGAACAUUCGGUAUUUUCUGUGGAUGUUAUUAACCCUAUAGUGCAGGAAGUUUUUUACAAGGAAAAGACGAAGACAUUUCAUGAUACAAUGAUUUUGAGAAAUGAGUUCUCUGUUGGUCAAAAAGUUCUUCUUUUUCAUUCUAAGCUUAAACUUUUUCCGGGUAAAUUACGUUCUUGUUGGGUUGGACCUUUUAUUGUUACUAAUAUUUUUCCUCACGGUGCAGUUGAGAUUCGGAGUCCGACCUCUGACAAAGUUUUUAAGGUUAAUGGUCAUCGCUUAAAACCUUUUCAUGAAGAUUUUUCGGUGAAUAUUGUGGAGGAUGUGGCUCUCGAGAGUCCCAAUUAUGGAGAUUGAUGCAUAAAUGUGUCUAGCCAAAGACAUAAAACAAAGGCGCUUUUUGGGAGGCAACCCAAAUGAUUUAUUUAUUUUGGUUUUUGUUAUAUCUUCUUUUAAUUUUGAUUCAGAUUUUUUUUUAAAAAAUAAUGUGUUUGCUUAUUUUGGUCAGAAGAAAAUUUUUGAUAAGGCGUGCCCACAUCUUAACUAAUAAGUACUUCUGUGAUUUCUAAAGCAAAAUGGUUUUAAGGCGUGCCCACGUGCUUAUUAGAAAAGUACUUCUGAAAUUUUUAGUAUCUCAAGUGAUUCAUCACUAAAAAAAAAAAAUUAAAAAAAAAUUAUUUAUUUAUUUAUUAAAAAAAAGAGAUUUUCUUUUGUUCAUUCUUUUAUAUAUUUAUUUUUUUUUAUUAAAAAAAAUCACUGGUAAAAAAAAAAAUUUACUGUUCACAAAAUCCCUAAUUUUUCAGAACUUGUUUUCUUCUCCAGCCGCUUGCAACACACCAGCAGCCUCACCAGCGCACAACGCAGCCCCAACGCACAGCAACGAGCACGCCCCGCAACGCAACCUAAAACCAGCUCUCGCGCGCAACACAACGCGAACGCAGCAGUGCAUAGAUCCAGCCCCGCAACCCAGCGCGAACCAGCAACACGAACCACCAGCGCGCAACGCAAGCCCCCACGCGCGCAGCACCAGCAUCGAGCACCAUCCCGCGAGCGCAGCACCAGCAUCCCGUGUCUCGCAGCCCAGCAGCGCGCAACGAAGCCCCACCAGCGCGCAACGGAUCCGCAACGCAACCCAACAACGCGCAACACAUCCCACGCAGCAGCGCGAACCAGCUCUCGCGCGCAACACAGCCAUGCAGACAGCAGCCUACACGCAACCAGCCUCAAGCCGCGCAGUAAGCUCCAGCCGAGCAGCAACACAACGCAAGCAGCCUACGCCCUGUAUUCCAACCGGGUAAAUCGAAAUCCGUGAGUGCAAUUAUUGUAACAAUGCCGAAGAGGAAAGCAUCUACUUCCAAGUCAUUAAAAAAGACACCCGUCGCAAAGAAAUCUAAGAUUGCCAUUCCCACUACGGUUCCAUGGAACACAAUUUCAUAUUCACGCCAAGCCGUGAGACAAAGAUCGAAACAUGGAAAAGGCAUGAGUGUUUUGCCACUUGCGGAAUCCAAUCUCGGAGGGUGCCUCGCAUUCGCGACUCAACAAGAGAAAGAGAGGUACAAAGAUAUUUCCACGCGUAAAAUACUUCCAGCUAAGUAUAUUCAUUACCCGACUCUUGAAAAAUUCAAUGUUAAGGAUAAUUUUGAUUCUUUGAUAGAUAAGAUUGGGUUGCGUAAAUUUGUUGAUGUUGAUUGUUUGGGUUAUGUUGAGUUGAUUAGGGAGUUUUAUGCUACUUUUCAAUUUAAUAUGCCGAAUGAUUUUACUUUGCAUACCCCGGAUGUCAUCAAGUUUAGGUUAAUGGGACGAAAUUUUUCACACUCUAUCACGGAUUUUAACCUAGCUUUAGGAUUCAUUGAUGAUGAUUAUUCUUCUAGUAAUGCAUAUUUAGGAACAACUUGUGACUUUAGCAAAACUUUUGAGCCUUCUGGUCUUUGGCGUAAUUUAUCUGUUGAUCACAAUGCCUAUGACCCGAGUAAAUCAAAGAGUUCUUUCUUACGUGAUCCUGUUUUGAAAUGUGUGCAUCGAUUCUUAGCAUAUAAUUUUUUAGGCAAGAAAGAUCACUCAGGAGUUUUCUCUAAAACUGAAUUUUAUUUUAUCUGGUGCAUGUUAAAUGAUGUGAGGCCUAAUUUAGGUUUUUGGUUAGCGGAUCAAUUUCAAAGUGUGCUUAAACGGUAUAGGACUUUAUUUCUUGGUCCAUACAUUACUCUGUUAGCUAUAAACCUAUGUGUGCUUGAUCCUGACAAUAAUGAUUUGCAUCCUGCUUGCAAAAAGGAAUUUUUGGAUAUGUCUGUGUUUGAAAGAACAGGUGUGGUCGAAUUCAAGGAGAGGAGAUUUCAGUUUACUGAACCAGGACCCACUCAACCUCUGAAGAAGCUUUAUGCUAGGAGUGGUGCUACCUCUGAUGACGAGUUUGACGACGACACUGCUGCCCCGCCAACUAUUCCUUCUACAUCCGCACCACCUUUGAGCAUUCAGUUAGAGAAAAUGGAGCACAAGCUGAACAAGAUGGAGCAGAAUUUGGCCGCAUGCUUCGAGAGUGUGGGAUUUACCCCACCAUUUCCGCCAAACCCAUAGACGUUAUGUGGAUCAAAGCUCACAAUUCAAGGAAGUUUUUUUUGCCUUUAAUCUUUUAUCCUUACGCUUUAAUUUUUAUAUGAGCUUUGAUUAUCUUACAUUGGGGACAAUGUAAGUUCUUGGUGUGGGAGAGGGAUUUUUGCAUUAUUGAUGUCUGGAAUUAUUAUUUUCACUCUACUCAUCUAUUUUCACUCCACUUAUCCUUAAAUGAUUUUGGAGUUAGUAUGCUUCAUAUAUUAUUAAUUUUCUUCUCCUUUCUCUCUCACUAAUCUUUUCUCAUCUAUCUCAAAUUAUUUACAUCUAUUUUUUUUCUAUCAUACUCUUUCAUCACUCAUUUUUAUCUUUUAUUUUUUUACUACAUACAUCUUUCUCGCUUAUUGUCUUUUUUUUUUUUUUUUUUACCUUUCCUUUUAUAUUUCACUCAUACCUUCUUUUCAUUCUACACCAUUAUUGAUGGUUGAUUCAUUUGAAGAGUGUACAUGAUUUGAUGGCAAAUUUACCAACUUUGUGAGGAUUUGAGCCUAUGAGCAACCACUUUGCUCUAAUUAUUUUUUGUUAUGUGAAUAUCAAUCCUAGUUUGUUUAUUCUAGAACUUGCUUUGUUAUGCAUGUUGAAGCCACAUUACAGGAUUUUAUGCAUUAAAAUGAUAAGGGCAAACCAUUUACCAUUUUUCUAUUCUCGCAUUUUCCUUUUUCUCUACUCGAAGACCUUUAUUUGAGCCUUAACCAUUACCCAUCUAAUUCUCUCCGUCUACUUAACCAUUUUUCUUCUUUUUGAGCCUCAAUUUAAGGAGAUUUUUGGACUCAUUGUGUGGAUAUAUUUUGUUGCUUUUUCUACCUUGUAUUAAAGUUUCUCAAUUAGAUCAACAAGCAUUAUGCUUGAAUUAAAUUGUGCAAGGUUCGUUUCUUUUGUUUGAUUCGAAAAAAAAAAAAACAACAAAAAAGGUAAAAAGAAAAAAAAAGAGAAAAAGAAAAAUCGAAAAAAAAAAUGUUUACAUUCUUGGUGACUUAACUAGAAAUAAGCGUUUCGAUAUCAUAAAGUUCGUUCAAUGAGUUCAUUCUUCUCAUUUUGAUCUCUUUUUCUUUCAUAAACCUUUCUUUUUCAUUUAACCCAUUUAACCCCGUUACAACCUUUUAAGACCCUUAGAUUUUUGCAUUUAAUUCAUGUUUUGUGGAUUGAGAUGUGAUAUAUAAGCAAGCUUAUGGUAAUAGCAUUCUUUGAUUUGAUUUGAGUGAAUAAAUGACACCUUAAACACUUUGAGUGCAUGGAGUGAAGUCAAUGAGAGGGCUAUUAAAUCUUGUUGCACUUGAAUUUUGAAUGGAUCUUCUUGGUGGUUGAAUGUUCUUAUUCUAUCUUAUGAGAUUCUAUGCUUUAACAUCCUUGUCUCUCGAAUGUUGAUCGACUUAAUUUCUUGAGGUAUGCUUGCUUAAAAUUGUUUUUGGAUGAGUUGAGAUGAGAAUUGAGUGGAGAUUUGAGAUUAGUCUUGAGUUAUGUGCUUGAGGACAAGCAUCAUCUUGGUGUGGGGGAAUUUGUUAGAGUGUAAUUUAUGCACUAGUUUUGCAUUGUUUACUUCCCUUAAUAUCGAUGUUUUGCACUUAAUAAUGAUGAUUUACUUGUGUUUUACUUUUGUAGGUGCAAUUCUAUUGAUUUGUGAUAAAAUUGAGCUAUAAGAUGAUGUUUAAGGAUGAUUGUUCUCUUGGAGAAAUUAUGAGCGGCAGAAGAACUUUGUUGAUAAGGCGUGGGUGCGUGCUGUCAACUGCGAACCUGUAGUUUUUAGUUUAACGUGUUUUGUAUUUUUGGUUAUUUUUGUAAUUACGAAUUUAAUAUUUCAUAUAUUAGUAUUUUAUUUUAAAUAGAAUUCUAGAGGAGAAGAGAGAGAGAGUAUUUAAAGGAGGAAUCUAUUAUGAAAAAGGGGGAUUUUGGAUUGGAGAAAAAGAAAGAAACCCUAGAUCUAAUUUUUCUCUUCUCUCUAUGAAGAACUAAACCUAUUUUUCUGGUUGAAGGAUAAUGAAGCUUUGAUUCAUCACUACUGUGAGAUCUUUCUUAUGCUUUAAUUGUUUUAUUACUUUUUGGGUAUUUGUUUAUUCUCUGAAUUAUUUUCAUGAUUAUGUUUGUUAAUUAGGUAAUUAGCCACUAUUUAAUUAUCAACUUAAUCUAUUGUCAAUUAAAGGAUUCAUCGUAUGAAGAAUUUAAUGUUUGUGACAAAUAACAUAGCAGAGAGUUGUGUUGUGAGAAUAAACAAUCUAAUUUAAAUGAAUCAUCAUAUGUGUUGAUUAGGAUUUAGGUCUCUCUGGUUUUUCAGGCUGUCAAUUGAUUAAAUCCUAUGAUCGUAUCUAGGGUUGUCUAUUGAUUAGGGAAAUAUCCAACGGUCGUACCUUGGUUAUCGACUAGUUAAGGAGAGAUUGGCUAUUAAAGGGUCUCAAUAGCUAUAACCGGUCUAUUCAUAAGUAAUAAUAAUCUAUAUUUGAAUCAAUGAUCAGUAGUCAAAUCAAGCUGAGUUAAUUCCUUCAACCAGAGCUUUCUCUAAUUUGAAUUACAACUUUAAUUUGCAUUCUUGUUAUUUUAAUUUGAUUUUUAUUAUUGUCAACAAUUCCCCCAUUUGACGUUUUACACUUCAAAAGGAUUUAAAUAAUGACCGAUCUUUGUGGACACGACCUUGCUCAAUCACUAUACAUAAUUUAUUUAGAGUAGGAAUUUAUUUUUGUUGGCUUCGACAACCAUCAAGUACCGUAUACGGGAAUAGUACCGUAUACGUGAACAGUACCGUAUCCCCCCAAGUAUGAACCGUCGGCUCUGAUACCACUUGUUGUGCGCGGAAUGCGGAAUCAAGCGCACCAAAUAAUUAUAGAAAAAAUAAAGGACACAAGAAUUACGUGGUUCGGUAAUUAAACCUACAUCCACGGAGGCAAGAAAGAAUAAUUGUUUAUUUAACAAUUAAUAGAGUACAAUAUUUGAGUAACGAUUCUCACUUCCCAGAAACCCAAAAUAUACCCAAUACUCUCACACUCUGCAGGAAAGAUAAAUUCCCCAGACACACUUCUCUCACUUCUCUCAAAAGCUUAGAAACUUAUAAGCUUAACAAUUUUAGGAUGAUUUCAAAUGAAUGAAAUCCUUAGCUAUUUAUAGGAGAAAUGAAUUACUAUGCAAAGAAUAAAAUAAUUGAAAAUAUAAUAAAUUAUUAUUAUUAUUUUCAAAUCCAUCCCCUUUUUCCAUUCUUUCUUUUCGGCUUACAAAACCAAAUUGGAUUUUGUUUCUCCAAAGCUUGCAUGCUAGCUGUUGCAAAGUUGGCUUUGGCUAGCUGCUGCUGACUUUUCAACACAAAUGUGUUGGGUAUAAGAGCCAUGGAAAUCUCCCAAUCCAUCUUGGAAAUGGACUCUUGCACGACAGCAUUCAUCAGUUCAAAAUAAAGAGGGCCUGAUUCCACCUGCAUGCUUUUGAUGCUUCCCUUGAUACAGCUUUCUUUGUCCUUAGGAAUUAAUGGAGGAAAGAAUCGUUGAUCCAUGAUUGAUUGCUCGAAACAAUGUUUCUACAACCUAUUAUUCGGGUUGGAUUUUUCUGAUAACAUUUCAAAAUAGAGUCAGCAUUAAUCUACUCAGAAUUUAUUACCAUUGAGCAGACCUCACAAGUACAACCUGGAGCCUAUGUUGUUGACCUGAUUUGCAAGUACAACCUGAGGUUUAUGUAAACUACCUAAUUUAAGAAAACAACUUUAAGCUUAUAUGAGCAAUCCGAAAAUUCACCAAUCCGAUCUGGAAGUAAGUAAGAUAGUCCGACCUUGAAAUUCAUUUGUCCAACCUGAGAACUACUGACACGAAAAAUUGCUAGUCAAGAUAACGUGGCUUAACUUUUAGGGAAGUUGUAUUCCAUGAUUUUUUAAACCACCUCCAAUUAAUAACCACUUGCAACUACUGAAGAAAGUGAGCUAAAGUUAAGGUGGUAACCACCCACGACCAAGGGCCUAUUUAAGCUGAAGAGGGAAACAGAGGAAGGGGUUAGCAAAAUCAACCAAAGAUUCUACAAGUCACCUAUCUACCUCAUUUCCUACAAGAUUUUCAACACCUCUACCGGAAAAAUUCUUUGAUUAUAACUUAUUCACAAUUCUUCCUUCUCGAUUUUCUUUCCUUAUACACAAUUUCUAACUUACGCAUCGGAGGGUCUACGCCAAAACUCCACCGGCGUAUCCUAACCGUGUUUUAUGGUAGGUAGGUAUAGAAAGUUGUGAUUAGAUUGACGUUUGAGCUUGGAUUCAUGUUAUUAUUCCCUUAAGAAAACAAAUUCAGCUGCUGAGGUCGUUUUUCGGCAUCAACAUCUUAGCGUCGUUUGUGGGGAACAGUGUGAAAAGCCAUACGUUUGAAGAUUUAGAAGGAAGAGGCUAUCAGAUUAGGAAAUGGCGAUAGAUGAUAAUGACAGAGAUAGGCAGACCUUGCGCCAAUUGGCAGAGGAAAUAAAUGCCACGACAGAUAAGAGAUGGAGAGAAGGGAUCGAGAGGCAAAUGGUAAGAUUUGAGGAGAUGAUCAGGGGGCUGGUUGAUGCCCAAGUCAGAGGGGCUCAAGUUUGAACUAGUGAUCCAGAGAGUAGUACAGCGGGGGAGAGGGAAGAGCUUGGUGGUGAACAGCAGAGUGGAAUGGGGCUACCACAAGUUGGGGUACGACAGGAGAAUAGAAGUGCAGGAGAACAAGUGAAUUGACGGGGAGAAUCAAUGACCUGAAUCAAAAAAGGGAGAGGGAAGAGCUGAGAGACCCCCAACGAGCAAAUGAGCUUGAGCAGCGAAUACUGCAAUUUCAAAAAUCUUUAGAGGCAUUAGAAGCGAAAACAUAGGGCAAGAAAGUGGUAGGAAGGUUGUUACUUGAUGACCAGUCCCCUUUGGUACCUGAAGUGAUGGCGGUAACUUUGCCAUCCAAGUAUGUAGUUCUAGCCUUGGUGUAUAAAGGAAAAACUGACCCGAAUCAUUAUGUAGAGAAGUUUAAUGAGAUGAUCGGGAUUCAAGGUUGGCAUGAUUUUCAAAGGUGCCGUGUUUUUCACCCUUUAAAUAAUCAUAACUUAGUUUAAGGCAAGCGUAAACAUCCACAUCAACAUCUUCUACAUCAACAAGCUUUGAAUUUUUGAGCUUUUGGGACACUGCUUUCUAUUCAGUAAUGCCCUUUUCUUUUAGAGCGCUUCCAACACUUACAAUUGCUAAAGGCAGCCCCCUGCAUUCCCUGUCAACUUCUUUUGCCGCGUCACUCAUGGAGAAGUCACCAUCAUCAAUGCCAGCAUGUCUUUUGAGUAAAGCCAAUCCUUCUUCUUCAUUCAGUGUAUUUAAUAGGAUCCGUGAUUGACAUCCCAUGGCAGUGCAUACAUGUUAUCGGCCAGUCGUUAGAAGGAUUUUGCAACCCUUGAGAUCAGGGGCGGAGGGAAUACCUAUAGUUGCCAAGUCGAGUUUUGCCCAAACAUCAUUUAGAAUUAUUAGGAUCUUCUUACUAUCGUCUGUAAAUCUCAAGUGCAAUCGUUUUGCUCUUUCUUCUAGGCUACUUUUCUUCUGUAUUGUCAUCCCCAGCGAGCCCGCUAGCUAAUCUUGAAUAUUUAUCAAGUUUGGAUUCUGUGAUACUACAGCCUUCUCAAUCUCAUCAAAAAUCUUUUGUUCUUGGACCUUAUUAUCGAUCAUAUUUGCCAGAGUUGUCUUCCCUGCUUCUCCAGUCCCAUACUGUUAGAGUGCAAUUUAUGCACUAGUUUUGCAUUGUUUACUUCCCUUAAUAUCGAUGUUUUGCACUUAAUAAUAGUGAUUUACUUGUGAUUUACUUUUGUAGGUGCAAUUCUAUUGAUUGGUGAUAAAAUUGAGCUACAAGAUGAUGUUUAAGGAUGAUUGUUCUCUUGGAGAAAUUAUGAACGGCAGAAGAACUUUAUUGAUAAGGCGUGGGCACGUGCUGUCAACUGCGGACUUGCAGUUUUUAGUUUAACGUGUUUAGUAUUUUUGGCUAUUUUUGUAAUUACGAAUUUAAUAUUUCAUAUAUUAAUAUUUUAUUUUAAAUAGAACUCUAAAAGAGAAGAGAGAGAGAGUAUUUAAGGGAGGAAUCUAUUGUGAAAAAGGGGAUUUUUUGGGAGGAAAGAAAGAAACCCUAGAUCUAAUUUUUCUCUUCUCUCUAUGAAGAACUAAACCUAUUUUUCUGGUUGAAGGUUAAUGCAGCUUUGAUUCAUCACUACUGUGAGAUAUUUCUUGUGCUUUAAUUGUUUUAUUACUUUUUGGGUAUUUGUUUAUUCUCUGAAUUAUUUUCAUGAUUAUGUUUGUUAAUUAGGUAAUUGGCCACUAUUUAAUUAUCAACUUAAUCUAUUGUCAAUUAAAGGAUUCAUCGUAUGAAGAAUUUAAUGUUUGUAACAAAUAACAUAGCAGAGAGUUGUGUUGUGAGAAUAAACAAUCUAAUUUAAAUGAAUCAUCAUAUGUGUUGAUUAGGAUUUGGGUCUCUCUGGUUUUUCAGGCUGUCAAUUGAUUAAAUCCUAUGAUCGUAUUUAGGGUUGUUUAUUGAUUAGGGAAAUAACCAACGGUCGUACCUUGGUUAUCGACUAGUUAAGGAGAGAUUGGCUAUUAGAGGGUCUCAGUAGCUAUAACCGGUCUAUUCAUAAGUAAUAAUAAUCUAUAUUUGAAUCAAUGAUCAGUAGUCGAAUCAAGCUGAGUUAAUUCCUUUAACCAGAGCUUUCUCCAAUGAGGUAAAUAUUUAUUCUAUUGUCUGAUCCUCAUUCACCUUCCUUGAAGUGGGAUCUUGCCUGCUGCUAAAUUGUUGUGCAUUGGCAGCCAUAUUUGAGAUCAACUCCCUUGCUUGAGUAGGGGUUUUGUUCACCAACACACCUCCACUAGCAGCAUCUAUCAUACUUCUAUCCAUUAACGAUAGUCCUUCGUAAAAAUAUUGAAUAAGAAGUUGAUCAGAAAUCUGAUGCUAAAGACAACUGGCACACAAUUGUUUGAAUCGCUCCCAAUACUCAUACAAAGUCUCCCCAGGAAGUUGUCUGAUCCCACAAAUAUCUUUUCUGAUGUUGGCAGCUCUUGGAGCAGGAAAGUACUUCUCAAGGAAUUGCUUUUUCAAACCAUUCCACGUUGUAAUUGAUCCAGGAGGCAAGUAGUACAACCAAUCUUUAGCUAGCCCAUCUACAGAGAACGGAAAAGCACGCAACUUAAUCUGCUCUUCAGUCACGCCUUGUGGUCUCAUACUUGAACACACAACAUGAAACUCCUUAAGAUGUUUAUGAGGAUCUUCACCUGCAAAACCAUGAAACUUGGGUAAUAAAUGAAUAAGACCAAACUUUAAUUCAAAAUUUCCUCCAAGUCUACAUAUUAAAUGCAGAGUGGUUGUUGAUUCAAGUCUGGUUCAUCUAAUUCUCUAAGAGUUCUUUCUACAGGUGCAGGUUUAUCCAUCACUUAUUCUUUUGAAUCGCUAGAUGAUUCAACUAAAUCAGGCACUGUAUCUGUUUCAAAAAGCAAAGGCGACGAGGAUCGUUGCUUAGCUCGCUUCGUCUGUUGUCUCAGCUGGUGAGCUGUCUUCUCAAUUCCAGGAUCAAACGAAAGUGUACCUGUACGAGAAGAACGAACCAUACACCAAGUAAAACGUAAAAAGGAUUAAAUAAAUGACACCAAUCCCCGGCAACAGCGCCAAAAUUUGAUGGUUGUCGAAGCCAACAAAAAUAAAUUCCUACUCUAAAUAAAUUGUGUAUAGUGAUUGAGCAGGGUCGUGUCCACAGAGAUCGAUAAUUAUUUAAAUCCUUUUGAAACGUAAAACGUAAAAUGGGGGAAUUGUUGACAAUAAUAAAAAUCAAAUUAAAAAUAACAAGAAUGCAAAUUAAAGUUGUAAUUCAAAUUGGAGAAAGCUCUAGUUGAAGGAAUUAACUCAGCUUGAUUCGACUACUGAUCAUUGAUUCAAAUAUAGAUUAUUAUUACUUAUGAAUAGACCGGUUAUAGCUACUGAGACCCUCUAAUAGCCAAUCUCUCCUUAACUAGUCGAUAACCAAGGUACGACCGUUGGUUAUUUCCCUAAUCAAUAAACAACCCUAAAUACGAUCAUAGGAUUUAAUCAAUUGACAGCCUGAAAAACCAGAGAGACCCAAAUCAUAAUCAACACAUAUGAUGAUUCAUUUAAAUUAGAUUGUUUAUUCUCACAGCACAACUCUCUGCUAUGUUAUUUGUCACAAACAUUAAAUUCUUCAUACGAUGAAUCCUUUAAUUGACAAUAGAUUAAGUUGAUAAUUAAAUAGUGGCCAAUUACCUAAUUAACAAACAUAAUCAUGAAAAUAAUUCAGAGAAUAAACAAAUACCCAAAAAGCAAUAAAACAAUUAAAGCACAAGAAAGAUCUCACAGUAGUGAUGAAUCAAAGCUGCAUUAACCUUCAACCAGAAAAAUAGGUUUAGUUCUUCAUAGAGAGAAGAGAAAAAUUAGAUCUAGGGUUUCUUUCUUUCCUCCCAAAAAAUCCCCUUUUUCACAAUAGAUUCCUCCCUUAAAUACUCUCUCUCUCUUCUCUUUUAGAGUUCUAUUUAAAAUAAAAUACUAAUAUCUGAAAUAUUAAAUUCGUAAUUACAAAAAUAGCCAAAAAUACUAAACAGGUUAAACUAAAAACUGCAGGUCCGCAGUUGACAGCACGUGCCCACGCCUUAUCAACAAAGUUCUUCUGCCGCUCAUAAUUUCUCCAAGAGAACAAUCAUCCUUAAACAUCAUCUUGUAGCUCAAUUUUAUCACCAAUCAAUAGAAUUGCACCUACAAAAGUAAAUCACAAGUAAAUCACUAUUAUUAAGUGCAAAACAUCGAUAUUAAGGGAAGUAAACAAUGCAAAACUAGUGCAUAAAUUGCACUCUAACACAUACAUUCCCACCAUCAUCCUCUUCUCGUCUUUCAGUGCCUCAAUAAUCUGAUAAGAAGUCAAUUUAGUAGCCUCAAAAGACAUAAAGUCUCUUGGUGCAGAGAUUUUUUUGCCCUGUAGAGGGUUUAGAUGUGCCACUCUGUUGAACUUGCCAUGAACUUGUAGCUUGGCCAUAACGAGCAUCUUCUUUGCUGCCUGUCUACUCAACCGAUAUCGCCAAGCCCAGUUAGGACACCAUCCGUUAAGACAAGUACUACUCUUGUUCCUUUUUUCUCUUUCUACUUCUUGCUUAAUGCGCUCUUCUGCCAAUUUCAUAUUGAUCUCUUCAUUCUUAAGAUCAUCAACAAUGCUGUUUAAACAGAAUAAAUAGCAAACUUGGUGCACUGUAGCCUCCACCAGAUAUUCAACCACAUUGUCAACAUCCACUAGCCAGUUCUCUACAUCUUUCUCAGUUUCUUUGGUGUUCCUUUUUUCUCUUUCUACUUCUUGCUUAAUGCGCUCUUCUGCCAAUUUCAGAUUGAUCUCUUCAUUCUUAAGAUCAUCAACAAUGCUGUUUAAACAGAAUAAAUAGCAAACUUGGUGCACUGUAGCCUCCACCAGAUAUUCACCAAUCUUUGAUGCAAUACCAGCAACAAUUUCCAUGCUAUCUCUUUUAUAUAUAUAUAUAAUAUGUGUAUGUAUGUAUAAGCAGCUUAGUAUGUGAAACAAUUAAGCUAAACAAGCAUCUUUUUUCCAUUGAAUUAAUGUUGGUUUAAUCAUUUUACAUGCAUCCACAACAGUAUACCAUUUAAUUAUUUAGUUUUUAUCAUAUCACAUAUGCAAGUACUCAAGGGUGCCAAUCUGUUAGUAAAUAAAAUAUUUAAUUGUAUUACAAGAGAUUUCGGACUCAAACGUUGUCCGACUGUUUAACUUUAAUAAAAUUACAAAUUAAUUUUUUUAAUUUUUUUCAUCUUUCUGUAAAUUUUUAGGGAUGUCUGAAAAAUUUCUUUAGUGUUAAAACUUUCAAAGUUUAGUAAAACUAGAAAAAUGAAUCCAAGUGCACUGCUUGAGACUUAAAAAUUUUGCAGCGAUCUCCAGGAGCUUCAAAGGAUUAAAAUAAAAUUUUAAAAGUGAACUCAAAUCAUUCUCUUUAGCGGAUAACAGAAGAGUAAAAAUAAAGUUAAAAAAAAAAUCUGAUUCCAUACUUUAGAAGUGAUGCUACAGCAAUUGUGUCAGAGAUCUUCCGGUACUGUUCCCUUGAUCUUCAAGUUUUUAUAUCUACUACAAAAGCAAAGCAAACAAUGUGGAAAUGAAACAAUGAAGCCGAAGGAUAUUAUAUAAUUUGAAAAGUGUAGCUUCAGUGAGCAUGAAGAUGGGAAUGGGAUGUCAUCAGCUCGUGCUACUAUAAAUGAUAAAAAUGAAUGGGAUUUCAUGUGCUAGUGCUACUCUAAAUGAUGAAGGCACAAAACUAAUUAGGGGUGGGCAUUUUCCGAUUCGGUUCGGUUCGGGCUCCGAACCGAACCGAACCGGAACCAAUCAGUUCUAAAAAACUCAAACCAAACCGAACCGAAAUUUAAAACCGAACCGAAAUAUUUCGGUUCGGUUCGAUUCAAGAAUUUCGGUUCGGUUUCGUUUGGUUCGGUUCGCACAUAUUCUUGCAUUUUAUAGUUUUAACUUUUAACCAAAUCUUACUGCAUUUUACAAUUUUCUGCAUUUUACAGAAUAUAAGUUCACAACAAGAAAAAUAAAAAACAAUAAGUCUACAAUACACAAUCAACAAUUUCAAAUACAAAGCCUUCAAGUAAAAAACAAAAUAACAAAAGUUCUAAUACAAAAUAGUCACAAUUCAAAAACACAUCUAGAUUUAAAAUAUAUUACAAAUUAUAAGUUCAUAAUAAGAAAAAUAAAGUUGAACUCUCAUUCAUGAUUGCAUCAACCCAAAUUAACUAUAAUAACUUAUUCAAGUAAUUUCAAUACAUGAUCUUCAACUAAAAAUUGCGUAUGUAAGUACACUAUUGAAUUUAAACAACUGCCUUUUUUUCCUGCAAUAAUCACACUAUAUAUAACAAAUAAUACAACAAAAGAAUAGAAGUUUAAGUAGAAAGGCAGCAUCCAGGUUGUCUACUACUCCGCUUCCAGUUCCACCCAAAAAACUGCUCAAACAUCUUCGUUCAGGUAACGAAACCACAGACUCUGUUAUUGCUAUAAAUAAUUUAUCACAUGACCAUAAUUUCCAGAACACCUUGCGCUUGUUCAACCACAGACUCUGUUAUUAUUUAUUUUACUCGUACAAUUCCACACUGCCAGCAACCGAUAUACACCAACACCUCCACAAAUUUAACCCCACAUAAGCUUCAAUUCAAACACAAAGGCCACAACAUAGAUUAACAAAAAAAUAAUAACCUGCAGCAGUGAAGAUUAAAGACGCGAACUGAUGGCAGGAGGUUUGGACCAAGGAGCAUAUGUACCUUCCAGAUGCUGCAGCAACCAAGAUGAGGGUUAACGACGGCGUCACUGUGCUGGAGGGGAGGGGUUGUGCUGCUACUGAGAGGCUGUGCUGCUACUAACCGUGGUGUGAGGCGAGGGAGAGACGCGAGGAAGAGACUGAGAGGGGCUGAGCCGAACCGCACCAUGCACGCGCAGAGGGGGAAGAUACUGCCGAGGGGUGGUACCGCCGUUGAGGAGCUGCGCCGUGAGGAGAGAGAGAUGCGAGGGCAACAGUAUGCAAUCGAUUUAGGGUUUUGAAUUUUUGUGAUUGAAAUUUGAUUUUAAAUUUAUAAUUUCACUUUAAUUAUUUUGUAAUUAAAUUUAACCGAACCGAUUGGUUUUUCGGUUCAGUUCGGUUUUAAACCGAACCGAACAAAAACCAAUCGGUUCAGUAUUUUUUAAACCAUUCGGUUUUUACUCAUUGAACCGAACCGAACCGAACCGAAUAAUUCGGUUCGGUUCGGCAAAAACUGAACCGUUUGCCCACCCCUAAAACUAGUCAAUGGGACGCGGCUUUACCAUAAUAUUACUAACUAGAAAUUGUAAUUUAGUUUGCUCACGCAAGUGGGUAGACAAGGGAAUGGAUGGCCUACCUACCAUGAGAUAAUAAUUAAUGACAGUCUCAUUCUACCCACUUAUAAGAAGAAAUGGAUUCGGUGCUAUAUUAAACAUGUUCUAAGCACCAAAUCAAUGGUUAGAAAUUGAUUGGAUACAUAUUUCACGACUCUUGACCAUUAAUUCAAUACUUAACACGAGCCCGGCUUAACAACGAAUACUAAUCCCAAUGCAAAAAGCAAAUAUAUGUACCUUUUUUUUUUUACUUACUUUUCACAUUUGAUUCAUAAUUUAUCAAAUAUGUUAUAUGUAUUAAUCUUUCAAGUUGAUCAUUUUUUAGGAUCACAACUCCAAUUUUUUUUCAUUAUUUUUUAAAAAGGUAGGGUGUACAAAAUUGAGAUUCAUUAUAACCUUUUUUGUUUUGGGUUCAAAAAGGUGAACUCAGGCUGUUUUAAAAUAACUCAAUAAAGUUCUUAGAUUGAAAUCUCAAUUACUGACCAUUACAUUUGAGUAGGUUUUUUUUUUACUAAUUAAUUACAAAAAAAAUUGAACUUAAUUUGCACUUGCCCACUACAUCAGAAUCAAAGGCCCAUUGAUGAUGAUGAUGGGAGAUGAUGAUGAAGUUAUUUAUUUAUUUAUUUAUUAUUACUUGUUUUAGUAAGUAAGGAGAGAGAUUGACAAAUUGAUUUGAAAUGGCUAAAAUUGACUGAAAAAAGUAAAAAAUCCCUAAAUUCGCACCAUAUCGAAAAUUAUUUUAUUACACAUAAUACAAAUUAGGGUUGGCAAAAAGUGCACUUCGGCCAAACUUUUCCAAGCCUACUAUAAGAUAAACACUCGGGCUGGGCUCGGGCAUGGGUUGGGCCUUCAUUUAUUCUUUUAAUUUUUUUAAAUUAUUGUAAAUUUAAAAUGAGAUAAUAAUCAAUAAUAAAUUUAAAAAAAAUAUUUUAAAGGAAAAUAAUAAAUAAAGAAAAUAAAGCAAAUAAAAGCUUAGAGAUUAAUUUUUUAAUAUUGGAUUCUCCAAUGCAAGUAUCCUCUUAAUUAAUUAAUACAUAAGAGAGAGUUUAAUAUUAUAAUUUUAACUUUUUUAAAUCAUCAUUGAUUUAUGAAUUAGGAAGUUAAGUUUUUUUUAUUAUUUUUUCAAUUUUAAUUUAUUAUUUUAAUUUAUAAAUUUAUUUUUUUAAAAAUAAUGGGCCAUGCUUUUUUUCUUAAGCAUGUGUCUAUGAGGGUUGAACCGAAGCCCGUGGGCCUGACUCUUUUGUCCUCCCUAAUGCAAAUUAAAUAAACUACAUUCAAAUAUACUCAUUAAACUUGACACCAUUUGCAAACGAUAUUGCUCCAAAAUGACUCAUGGGCCUAUGGUAGGGCCUGAUAAGUCCUACCUAAUGUAACCCAACUAGCUCAGGCAUUAUUUGAGAUUUAAAGUCUUUGCUUGUUGGACUUACUUUUACUCGUCUGCUAAGCCAAAUCUUUGAAAUUUGAAUCUUGUAAUGCCAAGUCUCUCUCCGUAUAAUUUCUUAAAUAAAUUACGAUCAUUAAACACCUUAAGAUUUUAACAAUUUUAUAUCAUGUAUUAUGUAGCAAUAGUAUAUUAAUAGAAUUUAAUUUUUUUAUAUUUUAAAUUUAUUAACCACUAAUCAACAUGUGAAUUUUUUAUCAAGAGAAGUUCAGAUCAGGAGAAAAUUUUAAUUCAUAUUCAUACACAUCAAACAUACAAAUUGCACCAUUUAAAAUGGGCUUGCUCUAAACGGGCUAAUGGGCCGGGCCUAAGCAGUCUGUUAGUGACAAACAUCAAUGCCAAUCUUAAAACCAAUUGGUUAAUGUUGUACUUGAUAUUUAAGCUCUUUGUGUAACACCCCAAGCCGAACUCCGAGGGCAAAUAUGACCACAACUCACAUAAAUUUAAAUAACUCUUUACAAUCGAUAACAAUUCAAGCCUCAAAUACCAAAGCCAGCGGAAUAAUUUAAGAAUUUAGCCAAACCAUCUACCAUCCUCAAUUCAAAUCCAUCUUCUCACUAAUCCCGAAUCAAUCCUGACUUCUGAAAACUGAAUCACAAUAAACUAUAAUGAGAGCAAAACUCAAUAAGCAAACUAGUUUUUUUUAUACCAAAAUACAUACAUACUUAUAUAUAAUGUAAAUGGAUGAUAUGUCAUGAUCUUUUAAAAAUACUUUAAACAAAUUCAUAAAAAUCUUUUUCUGUCGCUCUCAAACUUUCACGUUUUUUUUCAAUAAAUAUGUAUCAUACAAUGUGGCACUUUGUGCUGUGCGUGGCACUUUGCAGCGCUUUGGCCUUCAAGAGGUGGCCCCCACAUAGUCUCAAGAGGUGGCCCCCACACAACUUCAAGAGCUGACCCCCAAUGCAAAAUCUCAUAAAGCAUAAAUUCUAUAUGCUAAAAUCAACUUUUUCAUUUUCGUGCUUAUGCCAAUGAAUCCCGACACAACAUAUGCCCAUGUACAUAAUCACGCUCAACACAUAACAACACAUCACAUAAACACAUGGGCAUCGACAUAUAAAUCCAUAUAUGUACAUAUCAAAAAUAGGCUUUUCAAACAAGUCAAACAUAUACAUAUUGUUUAUUGUAAUUUGUUUUUAAGUCUAGUUUACUUACCUCUUGGCAUCAUCAUGUAACAAAUGCGUACUGAUAUCAUCGACCUAAAAUCAUCAAUAAAAUCCUCAUAAGAUAAAAUCAAGUUUAAUCAUAAACUCUAAUGUCCUCAAAUAUCUCAUUUUAAACAGCUCCUAAACUCAACCUCAAAUGUCCUCAAUAUUCGUCCCUCAAAACAGAACUGUCCAUGUUUUCCGAUUUUUAAUAAAUUAUUCCCUCAUUGGAAAAAUCGUAAAUUGUACAGACCAUAUGCUGACAUAUUGAAAAUUCAUUGAUAAAAAUUUCAUAACUUAACUCCUUCAAAAACUAUUGAAAAUAAUUUACGUUUCAGACAUCAUCAAUACUGUCAAACGGUUUUCUGUUUUGAACAUACUUGCUUUGAAAAUACAAAACAAUUUAUUGGUUUAUCACAAAAUCAUGAAAAUUUACAGAAUCACAAUAGACAUAUAUAAAAAUCACUGAUCCAAAUUUCAUAAGUUUUGAAGAAGUCUAGCUAUGGUAAAAAUAAUUUCGUAAUUCAUGUUAUUCACUGAAAUCAGAAUUUUUCAGGUUUUCAGACUUAAGUUUGAAAAAUCGUAAUUAGUUGAAAUCUUAUCCGAUUAACUUGAAACAAUUUCAAAACAUUCUAGACGAUGUCUAGUGUAACAUAUUCAAAAAUCAGAAUCAAAAUCAAUUAGUAAAAACUACUAUGAUUUUCGUAAUAAUGCACUGUCAGCAUAUUUCUGGAAAAUCUUAGGUUUCUACUUCUGUUGCAAAUAUCUAAUCAUGCUUCUCCACAACAAAUUAAUAAAAACCAAGAAUUAAAACUUACCUCCAAAUCCAAAUCUUCUCUCAACAAUACCCAAUUCAAAUUAUGUAACUUGAUCUCAUGUGUUGCUCAUGGCAGAACAAAGAAGAAGAUUUUAUUCUUCUCUUUUUCUUUUCUUCUCCCUCCUUUCUCUACAUCUUUUUUUUUCCUUUUUUCCUUGGCCGAUUUCUCUUUCUCUCUCUCACGUAAUGGGAAAGGCAUCUUAUUCUAUUUAUACUAGGGUAAAAAGGAUCACUAAAAAAACUUAAAUACCUUUAGCAGAAUUGGGUAUUACACUUUGCUUGUAGAAUUCUCAUUUGUCUGCUUAGCCAAGUUCUAGCAUUUACAGUAUCAUACAAGAAUCUUUCCUAUUUAAUUUAGGUAAUUUUGAUAUUGAGGUAUAGUAAAAAAAUUAUAAUUAUUCAAUAAAAAAUAAUGAUGGUAAUAAAUCUGAUUCCUAAAUAAUAAUUUUGACUAAAAUAACAGAGAUUUAUAGGUUCUAAUCCUUUAAGUGGUGGAUCAAAUUAAUUUAACUUUCAAACUAUAGUAGGUAGGGUUUAUCAAAUACUUUAGUUUUUGUAGCUUUUAAAUUAGGACUUAUUUGUUCAACGUUAGAAGUCUGAUAUUUUAUUAAUUUCAUUUUUUUUAUUUUCUUUUUUUUGUAACUUAUAUAUGAUUUGUAGACGUUUACAUCUAAAUAGAGAACAUUAACUUUUGUGACUUUUGAAUGAAAAAAAUCUUAAUGAAAAAUGAGUAUUAUAUCUCAAAAUAUUUUUAUUAAAUAUACUUAUUUCCUAAACUAUAAAACUUAAUCUCUUUUUUUCUUUAUUUUGAUUUACAAUGAUAUAAAUGUUAGAUAAUCAUAUUCAAUUUUUUUAUUUAUAAAAACAAAUAAGAUGCGGCUUAUAUUCAGACUUUUAAAAAAAGAAAACAAACAUUUCAUUUGGACCUAUUCAGACUUAAAAAAAACUCAGACCCGUUUAGAUUUUAAAUGAAAAAAAUAUUGUCGUACAGUUACCCAAUCUCAAUACCAAAUGACACUUUAAUAUGCACAAUCAUGAGAGUUAGAAGCUUUUUCUUUUUUUUUUUCAAAUUCAACUUCAUGUAUUUGCAUUCAAUCAUUUUAAAGUUUUUCAUCUUUUAGGUAUUUAAGGGGCCCAACUUUUAUUUCCACGACUAUUAUUAUGUAAAACUAUGAGUUAUAGCAAAACUUCUCUAUAGUCAUAAUAUUGUAACCAAACUAAUUUAUUACUAUAAGGAGAUUAUAACUUAAUGGAAGUGUAGCUCUGAAAAUUAUUUUAUUGACUUAGUUGUCUUUAGUGCAAGAAUAUAAAGGUAAAGUUUGAAUUGUAUUAAUAAGUCAAAUAAAAAAUAUAUAUUAAAAAACUAAUAUAUGUAUCUAUGUACUAUUUUUAGGAAUAUGCAAAUUUAUCUUAAAAUCUCUAAAUGUUGGCAUUAUCUUCAAUAAUUUUCCCUCAUUGUCUACUUGUACUAUGUGGAGGCAAGUUCCUUUAAUCUAACAAAAUAUAUAAUUUUGCAAUAUACAAAUAAUUAUUAGAGCAAUGAUACACAUCCUAAAUUUUUUAUCCUAAAAAACUAUAUCAUAUGAUGUGACAUUCAUUAAUUAGUUGGUGAUAUAACACAAUUAGUUCACCUAGAUCUUGUAAAGAAUUAUCAACCACUCAAUAAAUGACAUAUUAUGUAGGAUGAAAUUUCACACAAAAAACUUGGGAUGUCUAUCAUUACUUUAAUUAUUACUAUUUAGAGACAAGUUUCUUAAAACGAGAUUUAGAAAAAAAAAAUGUAUAACUUUUACAAUGUAGAGUUCAUUCUCCUUUAUAACUGACUAAAUUAGGACCAAAAUUUUUUAUCACUAAAUUGAAGUUAUUCCUAUAUAAAGUACUACUGUAGAGAACUUUAUCGUAUUUGAUAUAAAAUAUAAGCAAGGGUGCAUGGAUGGUUGGUAAAUAUUAUCUGCCAAGAUUGGAUAAUCAAUCAGAAGAACAUCCAUUACUAACAUAUAUUUCUAACAGUACCAUCUUGGUUGUUAGUAAAACCAGGUGCUUAUCAAGUGAUGUGAAAAUCUCAUUUUGUUUAUUAAGAGAUUGCAGGAAUGGCACGGUAUACAAAUGUUUGAAUGGAAUUAAAGCAGUAAUCACAAGUACAGUUCCUGUGUUUCCUCAAAACCACACCGAAUCUUAUCAAUACAUAUAGGCCAAAAUUUCAUAAGGAAUAUUCAUUAUAUUUCAUUUCAGGUGGUGUGUUAUGAAAUCAUUAUAAAUUUGUUAAGCUAACCCUUACCUAAUUGGAACCCCUAUGGGAGGUCCCCACUCCCCUAUAGGACAAGUACAACUACUAGGGAAUGCCCACCCCAAACACUCCUCACGACAGAAAGAGCUUGGAUCGAAGAGGCAACUAUAGAAGUGAUCCUAUCAUUGGUAAGCCUAUCCAUUAGAAAUAGACCAAUUAUCUGACAUGUUGAUGACCCACAAAAGACCUGUAUUGUGGAAGCAAUAAGCUAAUCACUAGAUUUAUCAUUAGGGACUUGAUAGGAAAAAUAAGCAAUAAAAUUUUGUAUGUCAAGAAAGGGUUGAACAAAUUAUCUUGAAUUUCUUGUGUUUGGAAUUGGAGACAUAAAGAACUUGAAGAAACAACAGCAAACAUACCAAGAAGAUUCACUACAUCCUAAAAUAUUCAUAUUUGCAUGAAUAAUUUUUCAAUAAGAGAUCCUUUAAGUUAUUAAAGUAAGGGAUAAACUAAAAUACAAGUAAAACACAUACUCAAAUACUGUGUGUUUAUCUUGUAUUUUAUUGGAGUGUGUGUGUGUGUGUUUUUUUUUUAACUUAUUCCUUACUUUAAUAAUUUAAGAGAUCCUUCGUUAGACAAUGACUCUAUUUAUAUAUUCUUAAGACUUUACUUUUUUAUGAUGGAUAUUUGGAAAUUGAGCACGCAAAUGAUAAGUAGUCACCUAAUCACAUUAUAAUGAUUAUCAUGAAUAGACCUAUUUAAUCAAAAAAACAUUUUCAUCAACACUUAAUAAAAAAUAAAUAAAUAAAUAGAAAGAGGGACUGAAAUAUUACCACAUCACCUAGUUAAGGAGCAGCCAUUCGCCGAUACUGUAGAUGGUGAGUUUGGUUUCAAUUUCCUACUAGUUUUGUUUUUCUUGUCAUUUUUCCCAAUAUGAUGGCAAAAUUUCUGGGAUCAUUUCAAAUCCCCAGCAAAUGAACUCCAAGGAAGUCUCUAAGGGGAAUUGUGCCCUGGCAUCUUCCUCAUCUACUUUCGGAGCCUGCACAAAUAAAUAAUUGAAGCAUAAAUAUAAAUGAAUACAGUAUGCUUUUCAUGUUUCUUCCAACAAUACCAAGUUAAGGAUCUCUAACUCGAAAUAAUAGGAAACUUCAUAAUGAUAAUGUAAGACAACAAUCGAGUAAAAAAACUUCAGAAAUUUACCUUUGUUUCAACAUGAACACUAGGUAUAUUUUGUUUGGCUAAAAAAAUUGUACUUAUCCUUGGACAUUCUUUUAUUGAGAAUGUGUCCAGAGAAGGAAAUAUGAAGUGAUAGCCCAUCGAGCAAAAGUUGGUGGGGCUUGGUAGUUCUUUGAGUGACAACUUCCAAAGUUUAGACACAACAAUUUUAUUGUCAUCCAUGAUGUCCUCAUCAUUUACAUGUCUAAACACUACUUCUAACUACAAAUUAUCUGUUAUAGUUAAACCCCUAAGUUCUUGAAGAUCUUGAGCUACGUUAAUAUGAAACAGACUCGCUAAUCUGUUGCAUCAUCCAACACGGAGAAAGAUAAGGCUGGGAAAAUAUACAUGUUGGAGAUGAUUAUCCAUUAAAGAAAUAUGAUCCCUUUCAUCAUCACCUUCAACAAUGAUUUUCUCCAAUAUGCUGAAAUCAAUUACAUUCAGACUAAUUAUGGUCGAUGGGCCGGACGGCAUGUGUUCAUACAACACAGCAUGACAUGAGCACGUUUUGGUGUGGCACGGGACACUGCACAGCAUGAAAGCAGGCUGAGCUGGGCUUAUAAUUUUAGGCUCACAGGCUUUAAAAGCACAGCACAAUUAGAAAUGGGCUAAAGCAUGGCACAUGAAAAAACCUGCAAUUAGCAUGUUUCACUUUUUAAUGAAAAUAAACUUAAAAUUUUAUGAUUUUACAAAUAACUUGAAAUUAAAUAUUUUAAAUUCAUUUAAUUCUUAGUUUAAAAAAUACUAUAAUUGAGUUAUGUUUAUAAUUUAUUAAAUAAAUAAUUGAUAUCAUGAUUUCAAUAAAAAAAUAAUUAUCAUGAUUUUAUAAAUAUGUAUUAAUAUUAUUGUGAACUAUGAUCUAUGACUUAUGUAAGUCCAAGAUAAGUUAACUCUUAAGAAAAAUUUAUCAUUAUUGUUGUUGUUAAGUAUUAAAAAAGAAUUCCAAUACCAUAAGGUCAAAUUUAGUAAUUAAUAUUACAUUCUUUACUAUUAUUAGUUUAUUAUUAUUAAAUAUAGACUUGAGUUUUGAAUUUUCGAUUCUAUUAAAUUUGAAUAAAGACACAUGGACCCAAAAAAGUAUAUAGACUUGAAAAAACUAUUCCAACAACUUAGCAUGCGCUCUUAAAAAAAUUAAAAAAAAAAUAUCGGGGUUUUUUUCUUAGGCACGGCACGACACGGCCCACAACACAGCAUGUGUAGGCAUGAUACAUGUGCCGGGUUAGGUCUAAGCAAAAAAAUUAGGCACGGUAUGAAACACAUAAUGGGCACGGCACGACACAACAUGAGCACGCAUGGAUCUUCCCAUUGCUGGCAUGGCCCAUUGGCCAUCUCUCAUUCAAAAGUUCCAAUUGCAAUAGAUUUUCAACGAGUGUAGUCGAGAAAAUGCACCUCAGUCUAUGGCAGCCUCUGAGGGUCAGACAUGUAAGAUUUUGUAGGCAUAAAAAUUGUGUUGGACCAUUACAUAAAAAUUCUAGCUCUGGCAGGUAUUCCAACUCUAUUUCUUUCAAAAUUUGGAGUGAUAAUUUACGUUCCUGUCCAUCUCCAGUAGUAGAUUUUAGCUGAAAUAUCACUUGUACUCCAAACUCUACCGUAUUUAAUUUUUCCACAUUUCUUAGGCCAUGUCUUAACAGAGAGGGAAUUUCAUUAUACAAACGGUCACAACUUUCUACAUAUAAAAACUACAAUUCCUGCAGAACUAAAAGUAAUAAAUAAUAAAUAAACAAAAAUCUAUGCUAAGGAUUUAUGAUUUAUCAAUUUAAUAAAACCAGUCAUUAUUGGUAAAUAUCAAAUUGAAAGUAUAUUUUGUAGGAUUUUAUGGAAUGGGGAUUUAAGAUUAACUAAAGGAGCCACAUAAGCUCUCAUAACUUGUAGAAGAGGCAAAUUAAAGUUACUAAAUGCAUAAAAUACAAAAUUAACGUAAACGUGUUCAAAAGCGAACCUUUUUUUUUCCUUUUCUCCAAAAUAAAUAUAAGAAUCCUUAAGAAAAAAAAAUAUACCCUUACCAGAUUGUGUAUAUUAGCCUCAAUUUCAGUUCUGAUAUUCAAUUUGGGACGGGAUAUGAGUGUUAACUUUAGUAAAACUAGCCAAGCUGAAUUAGAAUGUUCUAGACAGACGCUAAUGAGAUUUGGUGGUCCUAUAAGUGCCAAUUCUCUUAACAUAAGAAGCAUAAAUACAUUUCCUUCUCCUAAAAUUACAUUUGUUUACCCUUGAUUAUCAACAAACUUUUCUUCAAUGAUUUGCUUCAAUCUCUUACAGUGAUGUACUUUGAGCUUUUUUAGCUGUAGCAAACUUUGAGGCAAUGAGAACGAGAAGAGAUGAGUCAAAUUAUGACACUCACUUUAUUAUUUGUAAGAUUAUGGAGGCUUACAUGUUAGGCAGACCCCUUCUUAAUCCCAUUCAGUUCCAGUAAAUUUCUCAAAUGUAGGUUAGCUAAACUCGAGAGCAACACAAGAAUUUCUCCCUGAAUGGCUUAACCCUUCAAAUUAAAACACCUCUUCUAGCUCAUUGCAAGAUUCAAUUUUCACUUCUUUCAAGUUUUGUAAAUCUUGAAGCAAUGUAGCUGGAAAUUAGCUACACAUACUGUCACACCCUUUAAUGUAUAGAAUUUCCAAAUUUUCAAAAGAUUUUCUUGGAGGCCUUCCAUUAUUGCAUAUUUCUCUAAGAAGAAUCAUUUUUCUUAGAAAUGACUCCACCAUAUUUAGAGAAUGCGGUAGUUGGAACCUAGUGCUUAGAGAUAUCUAUGAGACAUUCUAACUCCUUACAGUCUUCAAGUUCGAGAGAAGUUAACCCAUUUAAACCUUCUUGGUCUAUGUUUGGCACUAUAUUUUGACAACCUAUGGCAUUAUUCAAAAGAAGAAGUUAUAAAUACUGAUACAACGACUUGAAUAUAAUUAGUAAGGUUGCUUCAACAUUUUUUAUUCUCAAGACUGUAGUUUUACUAGGAUCACUAUAAAGUCAGUUCACUUUGAUGUCAUACCUUCACAAUUUACUGAGCUAGCAAGGUCUUUUGGAAAACAUUCAACAUUGCUUUCUUGUUUUUUAUACUACCAUAGAGUUCUUCCAAUCGAGAAAAUCUUUUUAUCAUACGGGGGGAAAUUUCCUUCCUCUAAAUUGAGGAACUAUAAAAAUCUAGCAAUCUCAAUUUUUUGAGUUCACCUAAUUCUUCUCGAUCUCCAUAGAGGAACAAUACUAAAGACUAAGAAUUUGUAGUUUCUUCAGCUUUCUGAUAGACAACAUGUCUCUCAAAUUAGAACCAAUCAAUUGUAGAUUUUGCAUAUUAGUUAAGGAUUCAAUUGAAUUUAGUGACAAGUUGCCAUAGUUUAUAGUAACAAUUUUGAGUGCUUUCAUCUAUUCAAUAAAUUGGUCUGGAAUUUCCAUGCGACCAUUGUUGAAAUUUUGACUUGAAUAUGGAAAUUUAUUAAAGACAAAUUGCCAGCUAUUGGAGCGUGAAGAUGAUAGUGAAAUUGUUUGACAAUUUUAGCAUUGUUGUUGAAAAUUGAAAGUGGCAGCAAAUUGCACAUGCAAUUGCUGACAAAGUAUGCAAGACUUUAAUGCAUGCAAUGCAAGCUCCAGCUCAACGUGAUAGCAAAUUUUAAGGAUAGUUGUGCUGAUGCGAGAUUUUGGUGUCUGCUCGUCCACGACCAGCAUCUCUCCUCAACUCUUGAACUCGCAGCCAACCAGGUAUACUUCACGUUACUCUUCUAGGCGAGCAGAGCUAUGCCUUUUGCAACUUCUACUCGGCAGACUCCUGCGCACACAAAAACUAGUCAGAGCGCGCUGGGAGUUUUCCUGGCGUAAACCCUCUGACGCUCAAGUAAGAAAUUCGAGCUUACUUUUUAGGAAACUCAGCCAUUGAUCUCGUGGCUACCUAAUAAUUUCUUAAGCAAUAGAAUUCUGAUGAGCUUUCUUGAGGUUCUCAAUAGAACACUCUUCCCCCAUAAUUUGAUAUGUAAAAGUGUCUAACCCCCCAUGAUUCACGUUCGCCACCUCCCCCAGUUCCCGAAAGUGGAUGCUUGAAUAUUGCAGUUGCGGUCGAGUGGAUUUCGUGCCUGGAUUCUCGGAUAGUAAUGCACGUCCCGUUAACCGCUAUGGAUUGGGUCUGCCGACCUCGGACCCCAGCAGGAAAAGCUCUCGGCUCCUAGCAAGAGGCUUGCUGGUGCUACGGUCCAACAGAGUGUGUCCUCGUAAAUGAGCAGAAAACUCCUGCUCUCGGCAACCCGCUUCCAAACCUCACAAGUCUACUCACUUACAAGAACGUCAACUCCUCGUUUAAGGUAUGGCUGGUCGCUUUAUAAUAUGCCAUCAAACACUGGUCCCCCAGUUUCUCGUAUCGGUAAUGCAAUGGAUCAAUACUAGAAACUCAGUAAUCCUGGCUUGCUCGGGGUAUGAUACGACUUCUUAACCUCGACCGAAGGAACUGCUCGCUUUUUACGUCCACCCUUUUUUUUCGACUGCCAAUAGUUAUUUUCUUUGAAGAGUCCUUCGCAAAUAAUCGCAGGUGAUGUGGCAGGGAUCCAUCCAUUCGUUUGAAUUUCAAAUCGACGGUUAUGAAAUCCUUAGGAUUUGUGCCGUUAAAUGCUAAUAAACUAAAGGUUUAUGCCUUACUCGGGAACCUUAAACCUCAAAAGGAAGUUUCAUCUUUGAGCUUUCGUUUCACUCUCCGGUGACUGAGUGAUCUUUCUCCCUCGAAGUUGAAGCCACAUUCCUUGUCUCUGAUCUGCCGUGCCACAUCUGCAGGUAUUAUUUCUAUUUCUUCGGUCUUGGAUAGUUGUAAAUUUUUUUUUUAAAUCGAUGUUAGUUGAAUGAAAUUCCUCCAAACUUCAUUGAUCACUGAGCUCGACUUACAUAAAAUUGACUAAACAUAGAAAAUAAAUAACAACAUGAAUGAAUAGAAAUAACUCUUAAGUAUUGUUGGGUCUUACUGGAAGUAUUUCUUGAGAUACGAUGCAUUCUACGGUCGCUUCACCUCGUGGCCAUCCGCGCGAACGAGCUUGUAGGCUCCGGGUUCAGCCACCUGUUUGACUCUAUAUGGCCCUUCCCAGUUAGGACCGAGUACCCCUUGUAUCGAGUCUUUAGUGUUCUGAUUCACCCUUCUAAGUACCCAAUCGCCGACUCUGAACUGUCGUACACGCACCUUCUAGUUGUAAUAGCGAGCAACCCUCUGUUGGUAGGCAGCCGACCUCUUCAAUACUUGUUCCCUCUUCUCAGUCAGAAGAUCCAUAUUUAAGCAUAUCUGGUUGUUGUUCUCAUGCUCAUCAAAGUGCUCGGUUCGGUGCGUAGCUGCCCCUAUCUCCACGGGCAUAACGGCUUCAUGUCCGAAGGCCAAAGCGAACGGAGUUUCGCCGGUCGUUGUUUUAUGAGAUGUCCUGUAUGUCCAUAACACCUCUAGUAGCUUAUCAACCCAUGCACCAUUUUUCUCUCCUAGCCUAGUCUUCAAAAGUUUCUUGAUAACCUUAUUGGUUGCUUCUACUUGUCCAUUAGAUUGAGGGUGAGCAGGCCAGCAGAAUUUCAGCUCUAUUCCGAGGUUCUGGCAAAACUCUCUAAAGUUAUGAUUAUCGAACUGCCUACCAUUGUUUGCUAUAAAGGCAUAUGGGAUCCCAUAUCAGCAGACUAUGUUCCAUCAUACGAAGUCGAUCGUCUUUUUCUAUGUGAUCCUACUGAGGGCUUCUACAUCGACCCAUUUUGUGAAAUAAUCUACUGUUAUUACUGCAUGCAUUGCCGCUCCACGUGCCUUUGGCAAGGGUCCAAUCAAAUCGAUUCCCCAUUGAGCAAACGGCCAUGGCGAGGCCAUAGAAGUGAGCUUUCUGGUGACUAGGUGGAGAAAUUGGCAAAACUCUGACAACUUUUGCAACUCCUAGUUUUCUCCUAAGCAUCCUGGUGCAUCGUCGGCCAUAAAUACCCUUGCUUAAGAGCCUUGUAGGCAAAGGAUCUCGCACCAGAAUGGUUUCCAUAAACCUCUUCAUGCACUUCUACGUAAUCUGCGUCGUCUUUGUCCAAACAUCGAAGGAACGAUAGAGUAUACCCUCGCCGAUACAGCACCCCAUCAAUUAUUGUGUACCCCGACGCCUGGGAUCUGAUCCUCCGUGCUAGUAACUUAUCAGCUGGUAACACCCCAUACCGGAUGUACGAAAUUAUUGGGUCCAUCCAUGAGCUCUCCUGUUCUAUCCGCAUCACCUCUAGAUUCUGAUCGAUACUGGGGCAGGACUUCACCUCGAAAUGGAUUGACUUGGGCAUUUUUGGGUCCGCUACAGCUGCCAUUCUGGCUAGGAUAUCUGGUCGAUAGUUCUCCCCCCUUGGAAUUUGCCUUACGUCCACUGAUUUAAACUUCCCAAUCAUUUGUCUGACCUUCUUUAAAUAUUGUUCCAUCUUCCCAUCUCUGGGUUGGAAUCUUUCACUGACAUGGUUGGUAACCAGUUGGGAAUCGGUCUGGAUUUUUACCCUAUCCCCUUUCACUACCUUAGCCAAUUCUAACCCCGCUAUUAAAGCUUCGUAUUCUGCCUGGUUGUUUGUGGCCAUGAACUCUAAUCUAACAGCAUAAGAGAUCUCCUCCCUUUCUAGGCCUUCCAAAACAAUCCCUACUCCGGCACCAUGCUCACCUAAGGAUCCAUUUACGAUACCUACCAGACUCGAUCCUCGUCGUUGUCUGCAGCAGCACUCGGUUAGUCAAAACUAACUGCAGGUUCUGUGAAUUCUGCCACAAAGUCUGUCAUCGCUUGGGCUUUUAUUGUUGUUCGGGGUUUAUAGCUUAUAUCGAACUCACUCAGCUCUAUUGCUCAUUUUACUAGCCGACCGGAAGCAUCCGGUUUGUGCAGUGUCUGUCGCAGUGGUUGGUUUACUAUUACCGAGACAGGGAAUGCUUGGAAGUAUGGUCUCAGCUUUCGAGCAGCCACUACAAGAGCAAAUGCCCAUUUCUCCAACGGCGGAUACCUGGUCUCGGCAUCGAGCAGGGUCUUGCUCGUGUAGUAUAUUGGAUACUGAACCCCUUCUUCUUCUCUCACCAGAACCGAGCUCGUAGCAUGAUCUGAUACCAAUAUAGGAACACCACGUCUCUCUCUCGCGGUGUGGACAAUAAGGGUGUUUGCUGCAGAUAUUAUUUCAGUUUCUGGAAGGCCUCUUCGCAUUCGAGGGUCCAUUCUAUUUUCAUUCCCCUCCUUAUCACUUGAAAAAAGGCUUGGCACUUAUCCAUUGCCUUAUAUAUGAAUCGACUCAACGCCGCCAGUUUUCCCGUGAGGCUUUGUAUCUCCUUCAAGUUAUGAGGGGAUCUCAUCUGCACAAUUGCUUUGAUCUUCUCAGGAUUCGCCUCAAUCCCCCGAUGGCUCACCAUAAAUCCAAGGAAUUUCCUGAUUCGACUCUAAAGGCACACUUCUCUGGUUGAGUUUCAUCUUAUACUUCCUCAAAAGCCCAAAUGUCUCCUCGAGGUGCUUGACGUGUUCACUCGGACUUUUCGAUUUGGUUAUCAUGUCGUCCACAUAAACCUUCAUCGUUCUUCAAAUCAAUGGCUUAAAGAUUUUGUUCACCAACCUCUGGUAUGUGGCACCUGCAUUUUUUAGGCCAAAUGGCAUUACUCUGUAACAGAACAAACCCUGGUUAGUGAUAAACGUCGUGCUCUCCUCGUCCUAUUCGAACACUGGGAUUUGAUUGUAUCCCGAGAAUGCAUCCAUGAAAAUGAGCAAACCAUGUCCCGCUGUUAAGUCAACCAGUUGGUCGAUCUUUGAGCAAACCUUGCCUUCAAGAGGAAAAACUGGACCCCAGUAGGAAAAACUCUCGGCUCAUUGCAAGAGGCCUACUUGUGCUACGGUCCAGCAGAGGGUGUCUUCAUAAACGAGCAGAAAACUCCUACUCUCGGCAACUCUUCCAGACCUCACAUGUCUGCUCACUUAUAAGAAGGUCAACUCCUCGUUUAGGAUAUGGCUGGUCGCUUCAUAAUAUACCAUCAAACAAGUGGCUUAUCUUGUUAAAACUUAGGGCUACACAUACACUAUAAAUUGAGCUUCAUCUCAAAAGAGCAAGGGGUCCCAAAAUUGAGAAAAUCGAGAGCAAUUGCAUGUGAAGCAAAUUGAGAUAUUAGAGAGAGUUUUUAUUGAGUGUUCUAGUGAGGUUCCAUUUGGAUGUAUUGGGGUUUUGUGUGUUAAGAGUUUUUCCUAAUUUUGUAAAUUUCCAUUUGUUAGUCAAAUUAUCUUCUAGUUUUUGUCCGUAGGUUUUACGCCGAACCACGUAAAUUAUUGUGUCUUAUUUUCUUUGCAUUUAUUUGUCACAUUUAUAUUUCUCCAAAUAUUGUAGUCACCAUAAUAUUGGUAAUUGCUCCACCACACGCUUCUGCAACAACCAUGACUCUCACUACAGCCCCAAUAGUAAAAUUUCAAGCUUAGGGAAUGCUAAAGUACUGGAAGCACUCUCAUAUUAUUUUCGAUCAAAGAGAUUCCCGUGAGUUGUUCUAAGCGUUCCUCCUCUGGCCAAUCAGUCAAUUCCAAGUCAGAUUUAACUUACAUGAAUGCUUUCUUCUCUUCAGAUGAUAUCCAUAAGGCGACAUCACGAACUACAUCAUGCAUUCUCACUAAUUCUUCUUUAGCAGUGUUUAACAAUAAACAAGAAGCUUUUAGCAUCUUAAUCAUUGCACGAAAAAUGCUUCUAGCUUCUUCAAUUGAGUCAACACCUGUGUUAAGUAAGUAAAAGCACCAGGUCGGCCAUGCUACUAUUUCCACCCCGGCAUGGAUCACCUCAACCAAAUGGUACGAGCAGAACACGGAGACAAAUAUGGUCCGACCAGAGACGAGUACCGACCAGAGGUGUAUGCCGAGCCGAUACCCAUCUCCCGAAAAAGCGGGAACACGAUCCCACAAAAUCACGGUAGUUGCGCUUUUCCCAGAACCGUUGCGAGAGAUGCGAGAUCCCACGUUUAUCCGCCAUGUAGCAGUUAGAGUCCCGUGAGAGGCCACCACCCGAAAAAGGAGGGAUGAAGGCUAAGCGGGAACGUCGGACAAUGGCUAUAAAAGAAGGAGAAAUCGAUGAAGACAGGGACAGAAAAACAAAAAGAGGGAAAAUGCUGCCAAAUUGCAACCAGGCCAUUUUCUUAUGAACUUUGAGUAAAUUAGAAACCACUCGUGAAUCCCAAUUGAACUGUUUUCCCGUAAACACCUUGUGCUGACUUAGGCAUCGGAGGGUUUACGCCGGCAAAACCACCGGCGUCUCUGAUCCGUUUUUGGUGAACGCAGGUUUAGCAAGAGAAAGGAGGGUGAUUCCAACCCUAGAGGUUCGAGCGACAAUUGUUAAUGUACUCGUUGGUGAAAGAAUCUGGUCGGUCAAAGGGCGAGCAGAUUUCAGCAUCAACAACCUGGAUACAAACACAAUCCAUGUUGAAUAAAUAGAGUAAAAAAAAACUCUAAUUAUCCAAAGGAAUUAAAAACACACUCUAAAUAGAACUCAUGAAACUCUCUUAAAACAAACCAAGACACAAUGGCUAAUUGUCUUAUUUGUGUUUAUUUCUUUUUUAAUGUUAUACAAACAAGCACAAGGGCUAUUUAUAGUUUUAUAAAUGCAUUUCAGGCCACAAAUUAAAAAAACAAAGAAAAAAUUACAACCAUGCACAACAUUGCCUUACACACGUUUGCUUUUUAUUACUCACAUUAAAAAACUAUAUAACAUAUUGUUUGCACUCUAUUAUUUCCCACUCACAUUAAAAAAAUUUAUAGCUUCUUGCUUUCCACUCCAUUAUUGGAAUGUAGUUUAUCAUAACCUAAUUUAAAAGCUUCUCAUGCUUGAGCUUGGACUUCAAAUUAUGUCUAACAUCCUUGGAUCUUGAUAUUGGGCUGGUGUUGUUUAAUUUCAACAGCCCCAAUAUUCUAAAUAUAUCCUCCAAAUCAAGUUUACAAUCUUCCAGAAAUAAGGAACAUAACAAGAAACAUAAGUUAGCAUUCUCGCCUUCAAAUAAUCGUAAUUCAAUUUUGGACAAGCAUAAAGGUUGACAUCAACAUCCUCAAUAUCAACAGAUUUUGAGUCUUUAAGUUUUUGGGAUACUACUGUCCAUUCGUCAGCAUCUUUUUCUCUUAAAACACUUCCAACAAUUACAAUAUCUAAAGGCAGUCCUUUACAUUCGACUUCAACUUCAUUUGCCACAUCAUUCAAGGUGGAGUUAAAUUCAUCAUCAUCAAUACCUGCAUGUUAUUUUAGUAAAGCCACUGCAUGUUUUUUUAACAAAGCCAAUCCUUCUUUUUCCUUUAGAACGUCCAGUGCAAUUCGCAGUUGACACUUAAUAGAAACAUAUACUUGUUGUCGUGGAGUCGUUAGAAGGAUUUUGCAGUCUUUGUGAUAAUUUCUAUUGGGAAUCCCAAUAAUUUGUCAAAUUGAGUCUUGUCAAAACAUCAUCCAGAUUGGGAAACUGUAGCAAUUACAACUUUCUCAAAAAUCUUCUAUCCUUCGACUUUGUUACCCACUGCUAUUACCAAGCUUGUCUUUCCCACUCCUCCAGUCCCAUAUAGUCCCACCAUUUUGGUGUUAUCAUCUUUUAAUGCCUCAAUUAUUUGAUCAAAAGUUGAUUUUAUAGAGUCCAUAGGGAUAAAUCUGCAUGUGCAAAGAAUUCUAUGCCGGGUAGAUUGUCACGAUGGGACAGUUUGUUGAAUUUGCCACUUUUCUGUAGUUUCAAAAGAAUACUAAUCAUUUUUGCUGCUUUCCUACUCAACCGAUAUCACAAACCCCAACUAGGAAACCAGCCGUUAAGACUUGCCAUGUGCAGCUGUAUUUCUUUUUCUAAUCUUUGAACAUUUGUCAUGACAUUGCUCGCUUCAAUAAGCCAUACUUGUACAUCUUUGUCAAUUUCUUCAGUAUUUCUUAUUGCACUUUCAAUAUCCUGCUGCAAGUAGAUCGCCCAAAUUCUAAUUUCUUUUCUUCUCUCCUAAGAUUCUCAACAAUACUGUUGAAACUAAAUAAGUUACCAAUUUGGUGUAAUAGUUGCCGCAAAUUCCAUCCCGUAGAUUUGUGACCAAGACACACUUUUACAUAAAUAUUAAAUAAGCAAAACAGAAGGGGCUAACCAAAAGAGAAAAUUUAAGCACCUUAGAUCAUGCGGCAAAAAUAAUGGAAACAAACACUUCCACAACAAUCCAAAAGUAGUCACCCAAAACAAGAAUCUAGUGGCAAAUGAAAUAUUUGAGAGAUCAUGAUGGACUUUUAUAUAACUUAGCACCCCACUUUCAUAUAAAAAUUCCUUAAAUAAUAACCCAACAUUAUCAAAAUAAAAUAAAAAUUGACCUCAAAUUAUUUUACAUAUCAGAAUAAUAUUAAAAGGGGAAAAAGAAUCGCUCUAAACCUCCAACAUUUGAAUAAAAACUAAAAUGAUUGAAAAAACCAAUGUCUUUAGUAAAACUAUAGAAAUGAAUCCAAAUGUUGAGUUUGCAAAAUGAGAAAAAAUUCUUGUUGACCCCUCAACGUAAUAUAAAUUUGAAGCUUAUCUUCGACUUCAAGAGCUUCAAAAGGAUUAGAAAUCAAACAAGAAAAACGGGAAAAUUGACUUCUCUCCAGUUGAAAAACGAACUAGAUGAGAGAAAAUAAGGUAAAGAGUUACUGACCAAUAUAACAAUCGAUAAGCUAUAGAAAAAGUGCACUGCGAUCUUCCACUGUUCACUUCAUCUUCUAGUGUUUCUAUGUACUAGAAAAGCAAACCCAACAAGUUUGAAGGAUAAGAUAUAGAUAUAUGGUACUGCUAAAUUAAAUCAGAAGACAAAUAUUAGCAAAGGAUAUUAAACAAUGAAGUUGAAAGAUGUUUUGUAAUUUAAAUGCACCUUACCUAUCAUGAGGUAAUAAUUGAAUGUGAAGGCAUCAUAAAACUCAUAAAAUAAAAAUAUAAAAAGGUUAUUAAUAAUAACUGAAAAAGUCAUACUCAAGGAUAUAUUUGGGAGUUGGGAUUGUUUCGGGGAUGAAACUGUUGGGAAAAUAUGCUCUUUAAAAGCAUAUGUGUUUAUUUAAUUGUAAUAAACUAUUUUUCUGAUUAAUAAAAUAAAUGAGGUAUUUUAUUCAAAUAUCUUAAUUGCAUUAAUAUUGUAUUAAAGUCCAUUUAAUCAUAUUAUAUGUAUUUAUGUGAUCACCAUGUGGAUUCAUAGAAGACAUAAAUACAAGUUAUCUUAAGAUUAAAUAAAUUUAGUUCGCAGUUGAUAAAUAAAGUUGGGCACUUUAUUUAGGUAUAGACUGUAAGAAAUUCAUUGAAUGAUUUGUCUUAAUCAUGUAUGAAUUUAUUGAUGUAGUACGACUACAUUGAACAGGAUCACAUAUGAGAUUUAAUUAACUUUGUAAUAACUGUCAGACUUAUUAAAUCUCAUAGGCGUUGAUUUUACUGUAAUCUUAAUCUUGAGUUAAUUAUGAUUUCAUGAUUGUAAUUGUUAUUCCAUUUGAGUUACCAAUGGGCACGACACAUCCUUGUGGUCAAGAUUACCCGGUAUCUUGGUGGGAGCAAUUAUGAGUAUUGGAGUUAUGUAUUAACAAUAUAGAAUUUGUACAACACAUCUCUUGAUGGGUUUUCGGCACUUGAUCAUAAAAUUCUCUGGCCAGAGUGUGUCAACAUAUUUAAUAUGUUGAAAAUGAUCAUUAGAGAAAACCAGUAAGGAUCAAGGAAUAAGAUGUUAUUAAAUUGAUUGGACAGUUGAGAUAUCAAUUUAAUUAACGAUGUGGUACAAAGGAUUGUGCAGUAAAGAAAUCAAUGUGGCUUGGGACGAAUUAUUAUUCGAGCAUACAAUUAUGGAAGUCAGUUCCAAUCUUUUAGUGGAGUAGAUUUGGAAUUAAAUAAUUAGGCUAGUUUAAUUACAGGCUUAAUUGUUAUAGCCACUAUUGUAUGUUCCCAAAUGAUCCCCGGGUUAGCUCAUUUAAUUGACUGCACCACUACUGGACUAAUAAGCAAGAUAACUAGCUAUUUGGGUCAAAAGCCUAAAUAUAUCAUUUAGUGGGAGGCUCCAUUUAAUAAGCUUAUGUGUAAGGGGCCUUAUGUUAUUUUACAAGGUGGGUCCCCUAUUGAAAAAAAAAACAACGUGAGUUUUAUUUUGGGCAUUCUUGGAGCCUAGGGUUUUCACUAAAGGGAGAUAUAUAAGGCUUAUUUUCUCUAAAGGAAAAAAUAGAAGCCACUUUAUACAGAUCAGAGAAAAAGAUUUUUCUCUCCAUUGUUGAGAGAAAAAUUUUCUCGUGCUAGUUGCUUUGGUAGUGAUAAAGGCGCCCACACGUCAAGUGCAGAUCGAACCUGAGUCAUAACCUGGAAGAUCAUUGGAGACAGUUCGUGAUCUAACAAGCGUGGUGGUGACGGAUCGUGAUCUAACAGGAGUGGUGGUGGCGGAUCGUGAUCUAGGAGCCUAAAUCACUUCAGCGGAAAAAGCCAACUCAGAUUUUCAAGGUACGAUUUCUAGAAUACAAAUUCUUAUAUAUUAUAUGAGAGCGAUCUUCAAAAGGUUUUAUAAAAAAUUUAAAAACCUAAUUUUUCCCCAACAAUUGGUAUCAGAGCCAUCUCAUAUUAAUAUAUAAGAAUUUCGUACGAAAUUAAUCUUGAAAUUUAUGUAUUAGAGUGGCACAAUUUAUUCAGAUAUAUAUUAUUUGUUUAAUAUAUGAAUAAAGCAUGUUUUGGUUUGUCUUAAUUCAUGGUUAGAUUUUUCGUUGUAUUUUUCUUUGGAUCUGUAACAAGAGGGGUGGUUUUUUAUCACCAUGUUUCCCUCUUGAUUUAUUUUUACUGUUAUAGAAUUUUUGUAAGCCAAAAUUGGCCUAGGAAAUUUGUAAAUUAAUCUCGGAUUUUCAAGAUCGGAGCGACGGAGGCCGGAAAUUUUGAGAGAGGCAACCAGCAGCGCGCGGCCAGCAGCACAUGCUGCCAGCAAGCGCGCGCUGCACGCGCAGCGGCAGCAGCGCGCGGCUCGCAGCACACGCUGCCAGCAGCCAGCGCUUGCUGCUCGCACAGCCAGCAACGCACGCUGUGCGUGCAGCAGCUAGCGCACGCUGUGCGUGCAACAGCCAGCACACGCAGCAGGCAGCGCGAGCAGGAGCUUUCCGUGCAGCGCGAGGGAGGUGUUUGGCACGUUUCCAGUGUGACGGCGGCAGCAAAUCGGCGUCGGAGAUGCUUGAACAGUCGCUGCCCUUUGUGGAGAUGGCGGCUGGGGAAGAUGAAAGAAAGAAAAAUAUGAUUUUAGGGUUUCAUGAUUUUUAUCAUGGAGGUCCCUAUGGUUUCAUAAGUUUUUUUUCGGGCAGAAAUGUUUUAAUUUUUUGCGUUUAAAUCUAAAAAUAUUUUUGGGCUUAAAGAAUCCUAAUUUUAGGCCCAAUUAAAAUUUGGGCUUAAUGGAUUAAAAUGCAUAGAUAAAAUUGAACACAUUAAAUUUAUUUUUGGUCCAAAAGUUUUAUUUUAAUAAAAAAAUAUUUAUUUUCUUUCAAAAUUAAAAUUGGACCAAUUAUAAAUUUAAAAGCCUAAUUUUUCCUAGUCCAUUAACAAAGACAAGAUUAUGGAAGAUGGACAUUGACAAGAAGCCCAAUGAAGAUUAGGCUUAGGGUUAAUGUAUUUUUCAUUAUUAGGAAAGCCAUGAAUUAAGAUUAUUUAAUUAUUUUUCUAUAUGUUAUGUUUUGGAUGAUAACAUGCCAUGAUAACAUGUCAUAUAGAAUAGGUAGUGCCACUCUAUGCAUAAUGAUACAUGUCAUUCAUUAAUAAUGAAUCUCAUUAUAUUGUUUGAAAUUUGUACAUGCUUAAUAAUAUUUGAUAUAAUCUAGGUAAUAUUAUAGGAAGCAUGCAAUUAACAAUAUGUAUGUUUUAAAAGGAAAAACCAAUUUUAAAAUAUUGAGUGGGAGAGGGAAAAUUCAAGAUAAUUUUUCCCACGGGCUCCAUUGUUAGUUCAAUAAUAAAAUUAUAUAUAUACCUCGACUUCAUGAUACGGUGAUGCUCCCUACGGAGGGUAUAUAUAUUAGAUAUUUUAUUUGAUGAACUUCUUCAAGAUAAAAUUGAAAUAUUUUUCAAUCGAUUGUUCGCCCCAACGGUGACUAUUGAUAUGAAAAAUAUGUAGAUUGAAACAAUGGUUAUACACUCAACUAAAAUUUGGUAUUAACCUUCCCAACGAAGCUCUGUUAACAAAUUUAGGCCAAAAAAGAUAACGAUAAUUAUUUAUCAUGUCUCUACAUGAAAGUAAAUAAUCCAAUGGGUAAUUGGGUCUAGUAAGUAUGGACAUGACUUCCCCACCGGAUAGCUUGUCAAAGCGGAACUAGAUUAUCGUUACAAUAAAUUAAAAUGCAUUUAUGGUUUUAUGCAUUUUUGUCAUUUAUUGUGAAUAUUAUUUCAAAUUAUUUAUGCAUGGAUAUUUAUUUUUUUCAGAAAAUAUCUUCCAUCAACCCAUUAUUAAUUAUCCUUGUUAAAAAUGAACUCACUGGCGAAAAUUAUUUAGAUUGCAAACGCAAUCUAUUUAAUAUUCUCACUGCUAAGGGAAGCAAAUAUGUGUUGACCCAGCCUUGCCCUCCUGAACCAUCGUUAUACGAUUAUAGAAAUCAGAGGGAGCCUUAUGAGAAAUGGUGCGAAGCUAACAAAAUGGCUAAGCGCUAUAUAUUGGCUUCGAUUUCUGUGGAACUGCAUAAGAAACAUCGGAGCAUGGAAACAACCACUGAAAUAAUGGCUAGUCUUCAUCAGAUGUUUGGGCAAAAUACUCAUUUUGCCAGAGAAGCAACAUUAAAACGUAUUACGGAUACUAAGAUGGAAAAGGGCACAAAAGUUCGUGAUCAUGUCCUCAAAAUGAUGGACUAUUUGAAUGAGGUAGAGAUUCAUGGUGUUCAAAUCAAUGAUAAAUCAAAGAUUAACAUUGUGAUUGAAUCUUUACCUGAUACAUUCAAAGAGUUUAAGGUCAGCUAUAUCUUAAACAAUAAAGAUAUGACCUUAAUUGAAUUAAUACACGAACUACAUGCUAUAGAAGAAUUUUAUCAUAGCAGAAAACUUCCUGAAAAAAUAUUCUCUUCAAGGCUUAAGUCGAAAGAUAAGAAUGAGCAAGCAAGAGUUGGGAUCGGCAAACUGUCCAUUAAAAGAAGUGGCAAGCCAAAAGGCAAGUGUUACAAAUGUGGACAGAAGGGUCACUGGAAGAAAGAUUGUCCUAAGAUUAUUAAAAUCAGGUAUAGGAAAUCUUUAAGCUUCCUAAUUAGUUCAGAUUUCUAUUGAUUCAUACAAUAAUGAAUUCUGAGAUAACUAAUCUUAUUUGUAAUUCAUUUAUUUGGUUUUCAGGAAACCAAGAGAUUAAGUGAAGAAAGCUUCAAACAGCAGUUGAGGACGUGCUAGUUUAUAUCAAUUGAAAGACUAGAUCAAUUUUACAAGACUUUAGUUUUGAUAUUUGUCUUUAUUUUUCCAAAUAUUAGAGGAAUUUAAUUUCGGUGGCUUGUUUUAAUAAACAGGAGUACACUGUUAUUUAUGGAUCCUCUGUUUAUUACUUAUUUUGGUUAUUUAUAAAGACAAUUUAUAGAAGUACAUUGAUCUAUUCAAAGUAAGAUAUAAUGAUAAAAAGUAUAUGCAUUUAUCUAAGAAAAGAAAUGUUUCUUCUAACCAAAAAUCACCUCUGAUAUUUAUGCUUAAGUCAUAUAAACUAUAAUAAGAUUUUUGAAAAUGAUUAAUGAUAGACUUGUUGGCCUAUUAAGAUUGAUCAUUGUAACUCUAUAAAUCUUAUUUAGAAAAGUAAUAUGACAAGGAUGCUCUUUUUGAGCUAAAAGCAUAACAUUGAUUUGAUGAUUUAGCGCAUACAAAUGUAUACGGACUAAUCAGUUUACAUGUUAUAAGAGGUUAUGAGUAUUCUAUCAAUCUUGUUGAUGAAUAUUCAUUUUAUUUAUGUUUGUCUAAGUGCAUCAUGAUUCCAUUGCUUUUGAAAUUCAAAAGAGUACGUGGAUAAGACAGAAGCAAUUAGACAGGAACAUAAAAGUACUUCGAUAUGAUCGAAACAAAGAAUAUCUCUAUUGAGAAUUCAAGCACUAUUUGGUUGUCAAUGAACACUAUGAUACAAUAGUGUAAUUAAAUGGAGAAACAAGAUUCUUUUGGAUAAGACAAUAUAUAUACUAAGUGGUUUAUCAUUUACCUUUUUGAUUCCAGAUACUAGUAUUUGAAACUACAAAGUUUAUUGAACUUAGUUUCAUCUAUCUCGGUGUCUACUACUCCAAGAUAUUAUGAAAAAGUCACAAACAUAGUUUGAGAAACAUUCGUAUUUGGAGUUUACUAGAAUCAGAGAUAGAGAAGAUGGAUUCGUGUUCAGAAGCUUGCAUGUUUUAGGUAUCUUAAAGGAAUAAGGGAAAGUCUGAAUUAUAGUCCUCAAGAUAGGAAUUUAUUUAUAGAAAUAUUCUUUACUUUCUUUGAGGAAGACUAUAUAAUGACUUAUAACCUAAGAGUAAGGUAAAACUAGAGAAAUAAAAGAGAUCAGGUUGAUGCUAAGCUUUCAACACCUGUUAUAGAACAGGAAGAACAGCAACAACCAGCUGAUCAGCACAGGAUUAUCCUUGAACAACCAUCACUUUUAGAACCUCGUCGUAGUGGGAGGGUAACUAGGUUACCUGCGAGAUACAUGCUUUUGGGAGAAACCUAUACGGCUAUCUCAGAUGAACAUGUACAAGAUCCCACUAGUUACAACGAAGCUCUAAUAGAUAGAGAUGUUGAAUUUUGAAAAAGGCCAUGAAUCAAGAAAUGGAAUCUAUGUAUUCCAAUAAAGUCUGGGAACUUGUAGAGGCACCAAAUGGGGUAAAACCUAUAGGGUGCAAGUGGAUCUACAAGAGAAAAAGAGGAGUAGACGGAAGGGUGGAAACAUUUAAAGUAAGAUUAGUAGCCGAGGGGUUUACUCAGAAAGAAGGAAUCGAUUAUGAGGAAACCUUUUCUCCGGUUGCUAUGCUUAAAUCCAUCAGGAUUCUGCUCUCCAUUGCUGCAGUGCUAGAUUAUCAAAUUUGGCAAAUGGAUGUCAAGACUGCCUUUCUUAACGGGCAUCUUGAAGAAAACAUCUACAUACAGCAACCAGAUGGAUUUAUACAAAAAGGCCAAGAACACAUGGUAUGUAAGUUGCAGAGAUCCAUUAAUGGAUUGAAGCAAGCAUCCCGGUCAUGGAACAUCAGAUUUGAUCAAGCGAUUAAAUCGCUUGGAUUCAUUCAGAACAUUGAUGAACCAUGUGUGUACAAGAAAAUUCAGGAAAAAUUUGUAGCCGUGUAGACAAUAUUCUCCUAAUUGGAAACGAUAUAGGAGUAUUGACUACAAUAAAGAUUUGGUUAGCAAAACAAUUUGAUAUGAAAGAUCUGGGAGAGAUAAGUUAUAUUCUUGGUAUCAAGUUACUACGAGACCGGAAGAAUAAAACUUUAGCCUUGUCUCAAGCGGUCUAUAUCGAUAAGAUAUUGGCUAGAUUUAGCAUGGAAAAUUUCAAGACUGGUUUAUUACCAUUCAGACAUGGAAUUACAUUCUCUAAGGAUCAAUCACCUAAAACAUCUGAAGAGAUAGAGAGAAUGAGACGAGUUCCCUAUGCAACAGCUGUGGGAAGUCUCAUGUAUGCCAUGCUUUGCACUAGGCCAGACAUCUGUUUUGCGGUAGGGAUGGUUAGUAGAUAUCAAUCUAAUCCUGGACCUGAACACUGGACUGCGGUCAAGCAUAUAAUGAAGUAUCUGAAAAGAACUUAAAAUUAUAUGUUUGUGUAUUCUGGUGAUAAACUUAUUCUAGUGGGUUAUACUAAUUCUGAUUUUUUGUCAGAUAAGGAUUUUAGAAAAUCAACUUCCGACUAUGUGUUUACAUUGGGAAGUGGAGCUAUUAGUUGGAUGAGUGUGAAACAAUCUUGUAUCACAGACUCAAUAACUAAAGCUGAAUAUGUGGCUGCAUCUGAAGCUGCAAAAGAAGCUAUAUGGCUCUGCAAGUUCCUACGAAAUCUUGAGGUGGUACCUGUUGUAACUGCACCCCUUAAACUAUUUUGUGAUAAUGGUGGUGCGGUAGCUCAAUCUAAGGAACCAAGGAACCACAAGAAACAAAACAUAUUGAAAGGAAGUAUCAUCUUAUAAGGGAAUAGUGUAGAAAGGUUAUAUGAAAGUACCCCAAAUGGCAUUAGAUGCUAAAUGGCAGAUCUUAUUACAAUGGCCAUUAGUGGGAAACCUUUAUAACCUGCACUUAGAGUCCUAGAGCAUGUGCAAUAUGCCAGAUAUGCUUUGAGAGCUAGUGGGAGAUUGUUGGGAAAAUAUGCUCUUUAAAAGCAUAUGUGUUUAUUUAAUUGUAAUAAACUAUUUUUCUGAUUAAUAAAAUAAAUGAGGUAUUUUAUUCAAAUAUCUUAAUUGCAUUAAUAUUUGUAUUAAAGUCCAUUUAAUCAUAUUAUAUGUAUUUAUGUGAUCACCAUGUGGAUUCACAGAAGACAUAAAUACAAGUUAUCUUAUGAUUAAAUAAAUUUAGUUCACAGUUGAUAAAUAAAGUUGGGCACUUUAUUUAGGUAUAGACUGUAAGAAAUUCAUUGAAUGAUUUGUCUUAAUCAUGUAUGAAUUUAUUGAUGUAGUACGACUACAUUGAACAGGAUCACAUAUGAGAUUUAAUUAACUUUGUAAUAACUGUCAGACUUAUUAAAUCUCAUAGGCGUUGAUUUUACUGUAAUCUUAAUCUUGAGUUAAUUAUGAUUUCAUGAUUGUAAUUGUUAUUCCAUUUGAGUUACCAAUGGGCACGACACAUCCUUGUGGUCAAGAUUACCCGGUAUCUUGGUGGGAGCAAUUAUGAGUAUUGGAGUUAUGUAUUAACAAUAUAGAAUUUGUACAACACAUCUCUUGAUGGGUUUUCGGCACUUGAUCAUAGAAUUCUCUGGCCAGAGUGUGUCAACAUAUUUAAUAUGUUGAAAAUGAUCAUUAGAGAAAACCAGUAAGGAUCAAGGAAUAAGAUGUUAUUAAAUUGAUUGGACAGUUGAGAUAUCAAUUUAAUUAACGAUGUGGUACAAAGGAUUGUGCAGUAAAGAAAUCAAUGUGGCUUGGGACGAAUUAUUAUUCGAGCAUACAAUUAUGGAAGUCAGUUCCAAUCUUUUAGUGGAGUAGAUUUGGAAUUAAAUAAUUAGGCUAGUUUAAUUACAGGCUUAAUUGUUAUAGCCACUAUUGUAUGUUCCCAAAUGAUCCCCGGGUUAGCUCAUUUAAUUGACUGCACCACUACUGGACUAAUAAGCAAGAUAACUAGCUAUUUGGGUCAAAAGCCUAAAUAUAUCAUUUAGUGGGAGGCUCCAUUUAAUAAGCUUAUGUGUAAGGGGCCUUAUGUUAUUUUAUAAGGUGGGUCCCCUAUUGAAAAAGAAAACAACGUGAGUUUUAUUUUGGGCAUUCUUGGAGUCUAGGGUUUUCACUAAAGGGAGAUAUAUAAGGCUUAUUUUCUCUAAAGGAAAAAAUAGAAGCCACUUUAUACAGAUCAGAGAAAAAGAUUUUUCUCUCCAUUGUUGAGAGAAAAAUUUUCUCGUGCUAGUUGCUUUGGUAGUGAUAAAGGCGCCACACGUCAAGUGCAGAUCGAACCUGAGUCAUAACCUGGAAGAUCAUUGGAGACAGUUCGUGAUCUAACAAGCGUGGUGGUGACGGAUCGUGAUCUAACAGGAGUGGUGGUGGCGGAUCGUGAUCUAGGAGCCUAAAUCACUUCAGCGGAAAAAGCCAACUCAGAUUUUCAAGGUACGAUUUCUAGAAUACAAAUUCUUAUAUAUUAUAUGAGAGCAUAUGGGUGAUUAUGAUAAGGUGUUUAGUCAAACAAUAUCUUACUCUCUUUAAAGUAAAAAGAAGGCAAAGAGCAAAUAAGUUACGAGGAGAUAAAGUUGUGUGGAGGUGUUUGAAGGUCAUUUGGGGAUGACUUCAAGUAGAUCACCCCGAGAAUGACGUAAUUCUAAUGAUCUUGAGCAUAUCACCUCAAUCAAAAGAUAAUUUUAGUGACCAAGAGAUAAUUCUCGUGACCUCGAGCAGAUCACCUCAACAAGGAGGUAAUCCGGUGAUCAUGAACAUAUCACCUCAAUCACGAGAUAAUUUCAGUCAUCUUGAGCAUAUGGGUUUGAGGAAAUACUUGACCAAGUCACCAAAAUAUAAAAUUUAGUCAACACAACCACUACUCUUGUCCUAAAUAUAUGGGACCAUAUAACUAAAUCCUUGAUACCAAGAAUUAAGGGAUUUAGAAGUCAGACUUUCAAACUUUACAACUGAUAAGACUUCAAUCUCCAUAAAUAUAUGUAACAAAUUCAUAAAUGAGUAGGUUCAACUUCUCUCUCUAUUAUAUCAUUUAUUUUUAACACUUUUGACUAUGAGAGAUUUCUUCUUCACCCAUCUUCCAAAAACAAAAACAAAAACAAAAAAAGAAACUAUUUAUUUAUUUAUUUAUUUUGUAAAACCAAAAAUCGACUUGACCAUCAGAAGGCUAACGCUGAAAAACUUCUAGAGCCUUUUAAUGUCCUUUGUAAUUUUAGUUAUUUGCAGGUUAUUUGCUAGCAUUCAUAGGACGUCCUAAGUGAUUGGCAAACCACUUCUUCACCAAACAAAUUUCAUGUUGAUGCAACAGUUUUGUAUCAAGUCGGUUAGAGUAGAUUUCGACAUCAACAGGAUAAUCAUAAAGAGCCAUAUUUGUUUAUCAAGCUCUCUAGUAACAACUUUUCCAAUAAUCACAUCAUACACAAUCAUUCCUAUAAUUGCAAGCCGGCAAAUUUGAAAAAAAAAAAGAUUGUCCAAAAAUUAAAUUCUUGAACAGGUCUAAUUGCCUGAUCGUUAAUUUAUCCUUUAUGAUUCUAAACACCGAUUGAAGUUUUGAAUAAUUCUUUAUGCUAUCUUCAAUGUUUUGUUGCAUGUGCCAUGACACAUCUAUCAAGAGAUGGAGAAGUAUUUAUUAUGGUGCCAAUUAAUUCAAUUAGUAAAAUUUCUUAAAUGAAAAUAAUUUAUUAAAAUUUGAAUCUCGAAUUUAGUUAUGAAGUGAGAAAGGCGAGAAUUGGACUCUUCAAUUCAAAACAAGUGAAACCGACUACAAAAAUAAUAAGCCUCUAAAUUCACACCAUUUCCAAAAUUAAUGUGUAAUACCCAAGCCUAAACUCCAAGGGUAAAUCUAACCGCAACUCACCUAUGUAAUUAAAUAUCUCUUUAAAUCAAUAAAAAUUUAAGCCUCAAAUAUAAUAUUUAGAUCGCAAAAGACAUCAAAAACUCUGUCAAACCAUCUACCAUCCUCAAAUCAAGUCUUCUACUCACUCAUCAAAAAUAAAUCUUGACUUCUAGAAACUGAAUCAUAAUAAACUAUAAUGAGUAUAAAGCUCAGUAAACAAAUUAGUUUUUUUUAUACCAAAAUAUAUACAUAUUUACAUAUAAUGCAAAUGGAUGAUAUGGCAUGACCUUUUGAAAACACAGUAAAACAAAUUCAUCAAAAUCUCUUUCUAUCACUUUCAAACUUUCACAUUUUAUUUUAUCAAAAUACAUGCAUGUGGCACUUUUGCACUAUGUGUAGUACUUCACAGUACAUUGGCCUUCGAGAGGCGUCCCCCCCCCCCCUCCCCCCAUAAUCUCAAGAGGUGGCCCCUGCACAACUUCAAGAGGUGGUCCCCAUUGUAAAACUCUCGCAAAACUUAAUUUACUUUCUUUAAAAUCAGUUUUAGUAAAACUCACUUUCUCAUUUCAUAGAAAACGUAAUGCAUAUUCAUGCUAAUGCCAAUAAACACUCGCACAUACUUAAGUCCAUGUACAUAAUCACAUUUAACACAUAACAGCACAUCACAUAAACAUUGACAAAAUCAUAAAAAUCCAUAUCCGUACAUAUCAAACAUAGGCUUUUCAAAAAUGCCAAACAUAUACAUAUUGUUUAUUGUGAUCCAUUUAGAAGUCUAGUUUACUUAUCUCUUGGCAUCUACUUGUAACAAAUGCAUAUUGAUAUCAUCAACCUAAAAAUCAUUAAUCAAACUCUCAUAAGAUAUAAUCAAGUCAUAAUCAUAAAUUCAUAGGUCCUCAAAUUUCUCAUUUUAAACAUCUCCUAGACUCAACCGCAAAUACCCUUAAUAUUGGAUCCCUAAACAGAACAACCUAUGUGCUCCGAAUUUUAAUAAAUUAUUAUCUUAUUAGAAAAUCUCAAAUUUUACAAAGCAUAUAUUAUGAUUCAUUUAGAAGUCUAGUUUACUUUUCUCUUCGUAUACACAUGUAACAAAAGCGUAUUGAUAUCAUCGACUCAAAAAUCAUUAAUAAAACUCUCAUAAGAUAUAAUCAGCUCCUAGUCAUAAAUUCCAAUGUCCCAAAAUUUCUCAUUUUAAACAUCUUCUAAACUCAACCUUAAAUACCCUUAAUAUUCGGUUCUUAAAACAGAACAACCCAUAUUCUCUGAUUUUUAAUAAAUUAUUACCUGAUUGGCAAAAUCUCAAAUUUUACAGAGCACAUGAUGACAUACUGGAAAUUCAUGGAUAAAAAUUUCAUAGCUUAGUUCCGUAAAAAAAAUUAUUGAAAAUAAUGUAUGUUUUAGACAACAUCAAUUCUAUCAAACAUUUUUUUUAUUUUAAACCUACCUACUUUAACAAUACAUAACAAUUUAUUGUUUUAUCAUAAAAUCAUGAAAAUUUCUAGAAUCAUGUUAGUCGUAUAUAAAAAUAACUUAUCCAAAUCUUAUAAUUUUUGAAGAAGUCUAGUUAUGGUAAAAUAAUUUCAAAAUUUAUGUUCUUCUCUGAAAUCACAAAAUUUGCAGGUCUUCAGACCUGAGUUAAAAAGAAAUCGUAAUAAUUGAAUUCUUACCGAAUUAGCUAGAAAAAAGUUUCAAAACAUUCUUGAAGAUGUCUAGUUUAACAUAUCCAAAAUCCAAAAUCAAAUCAAUUUGUGAAAUUUUAUGAUUUUCGAAAUAACUCACUCUCGGUAUAUUUUUGCAAAAUCUUGAGUUUCUACUUCUUCUACAAUUGUCUAAUCAUGUUUCUCCAUGACAAUCAACAAAAAUCAAGAAUUGAAAUUUACCUCCAAUUUUCUCUCAACAAAUAUUUGUUUCAAACGACACAAUUUGAUCUCACGUGUUGCUCAUGACUGAACUAAGAAGAAUACUUUCUUUUUCUACUCUUUUUCUUUUCUUUUCUCUCUCCUCCUCCUCUUCUUCUUCUUAUUUUCCUUCUUUCUCUCAAUCAAUCUCUCUCUCUCUCUCUCUCUCUCUCUCUCUCUCUCUCUCUCUCUCUCUCUCUGGUUAACGAAAAAAAGCAAGGUAUCUUAUUCUUUUUAUACUAAGAUACAAAAAUCACUAAGAAAAUUAAAAGACUAAAAUACCCUUAGAAGAAUUAAGAUAUUACAUAAUAGUAAUCCCAAUUGAUACUAACAAAUUAAGGAAAAUAAAAUUGCUUUCAAAACAAAGCUAGAAAUUCCAUUGAUUCUUUCAUCCUUUUUUACGAAUACAAGGUAAAAUAUUUAAACUAGUGCUAGCAAAAAUUUUGUUUCACUCACAUGAUAUUACAACUAUACAAAUUAAAUUUUUUUUAAAAAUUAAAUAUCCAAUAUAAUAAACAAAUUAAAUAAAAAUAAAAUCAGGCUAGAGAUAUUCCUAUGGGCUUGUGGCUAUGGGGUGGGUGACCAUUAGUAAGACAGCAAUAUCAAUCCUUAUCGGAACCCAACUAGCAGUCACGGAUAUUUUAAGCUCCAUGCUUCUCGCACUGUCUAUAGUUUUCCUUUUCCGCUAAGCUAAACCUUCGAAUUCUGCAUGUCACUCUCUACAUAUGUUUCUCCAAUUUAUUAAGAAUAUUUUAAUGCCACUCAUAUCAAUUUCUUUUCCAUAUUUCGAUUAGGGUUGCAAUAUUUCACUAAUGAUAUAUGAAUAUUUCUUUUAUGCAAAUUAAUAUACAUGAUCAAUUAAGGGGGUUUAGAACUUUUCAUUCAUAAUCAAUUCGAUUUAUUUGCAUUCAGUUCUUUAAAAGGGUUUCUCAUCUUUUAGUUUAUGUCUGGAACUUUAGUGCGCGACUUAACAAAUUAUAAAAUAUAAUUACUAGUUGUCAAAUAUAAGCAGGUGGUCGUGGCUGGUUUGUAAAGUUUAUUUAUCUCUCAGGUGUUUAUCAAAAACUUUAUAACGGUUUCAAAAUCAAUCAAACAUAAGCACAGAAAUUACAAACAUAUAUUGCUUUAAAACUUAACGAUUUUUCUUUCCCCUUUUUAUGCUAGGAUCGAAUGUUUAUCGACGAUGGUUCAAGCAGCAGGUAUUUCUGCCGUUCGUAAAACGGUUUCGUAUUGCAAAUGUGGUAUCACCAUGGUAUCGAAUGCCUCCAAUAUGUGUGUCACGUGUUUGAAAUCUGAAGUAGACAUUACUGAAAGUUUGCAGAAGCAUGCGAACAUAACACCAUGUCCCAAGUGUGAUAGAUACUUGCUACCACCAUGAGCAUGGACUAAAGCCAAAUUAGAAUCAAGGGAGCUGUUGACAUUUUGCUUGAAAAGACUCAACAAUUUGAAUAGAGUUCGGUUAGUGAAUGCAGAAUUUGUUGGUACUGAACCUCAUUCAAAGAGGAUCAAACUGAAGUUGACAGUCCAGAAGGAGGUUCUUGAAGGAGUGAUUCUUGAACAAUCAUAUGUUGUUAUGUCCAGAAAUAUCACAUGUGUGAAUCUUGUUCCAGGGUUCAUGCAAACCGGCCCUGCCCACUGGGAUGAUGCAGUGCUGUUAGAGGUGUCAUGUUGCUCAUAGACGAGGUUUCACUAAUUUAGAGCAGCUGAUUCAAAAGCAUGAUGCUCCUGCUCGGGUUACAAAGAUCAAGAAAAUGGAUCAUGGAAUUAAGUUUUUCUUUUCUGACAGAAGCCAUGCUGUGAAAUUCGUUGAAUUUGUGGGGGAGGUAGUUCCAGCACAAAGCCGCCAUGAAAAACAGCUUGUGUCUCGUGGUACUAAGAGUCGUAAUUAUAAAUGUAAGUACACAUGCUCAGUUGAGAUCAGUCGUAUUUGUCGGGAGGAUCUGAUUUGCCUGCCGCCAAUAGCUGCACAUAAUUUGGGAAAUCUUGGUCCUUUUGUUAUCUGCACAAAAGUGACUAAUAGCAUUGCUUUGCUGGAUCCUUUCACUCUCAGGCACUGCUACUUGGAUGCUGAUCAGUAUUGGAGAUCACCCUUUAAGGCCUUGCUCACUAGCAGGCAGCUUGUGGAAUAUAUUGUGUUAGAUGUGAAGGUCGCUUCCACUGAAGUUAAGUUUGCAGCCCAAAGUAUGUUUUGGCUGGUGCUCAAGUAGCUCGUGUACUGGAUUUUGGAAAGAACGAUACCAUUUUGUCCACUAGAACACAUCUAGGCCAUCUCCUGAUUCUGGGUGAUUAUGCUAUAGGCUACGAUCUCCAUGAGGCUAACCAAAAUGAUAUUGAACUUGAAAAUUACAAAAGUCUUGUACCACCAGAUACAAUCAAGAUAAAGAAGAGUUAUAAAGAGAAGAAUCAAAGGAAGCAUAGGAAGCCUAAUCCUCCGAAGCUCAAGCCCCUAGAGAUGGAGGUGGAUGGCUCUAAAUGUGGAGCUGACCGAGAGAAGGUGAAUAACGAGUAUGAAGAGUUCCUGAGAGAUUUGGUGGAAACUUUGAGUCGUAUCACGAUAAAGAUUACACAUCCUCUGAGAUGGCAUCAGUAACUGAUAAGGAGGAUGUGCCUUCCGUUCCUUUGGACUAUUUGCUUGCUGAUCUUGACUCGAGUGAUAAGGAAGAGGGUGAUGAUAGCAUGAUAGAGUGAAUGUACGUGUUUUUGUUAUGAAUUAUGUUUCAGUUAUUAGAGAGACAUACUCUGUUAGUCAGGAACCAUUGCAUAUGUUUAAAACAAGUUCCUCUCGGUUGAGUUGAAGAAACAAUGUCUUACUGAAAGCUUCUGUACUUAUUCUUAUUCUUCCAGUAGCCCUUCCUAAAUGCAUCACAAAGACUUUCUGGGAACGUGGAUUGUGAAUCUAACCUUACGUUCUAACUGAAACUGAGAUAUUGAUGCUAGUGCUUAUGCAAUUCCAUGCUUAUCUACAGAAGAGAAUAUUUCAAAGCAAUUUCUGAAGUCCAAGUUCUUAAGGAAUUCUGUUUUUGUAACUUUGUUUGUAUGAUUGUGUUGAAAUUUAUAUCGAUCAAUCAUGCCUUGGAAAACCAACUAUCUGAAUUAUUAUACGUACGUUUCUCACAGUAAUAUCCAAAUAUGGCUGCAAAAUUCAGCCCAUAAACAAUCAAGUAAACAAACUUGAUUAUCAUUACUACAUAAACACAUCAAGUAAACAAACUCGCUACUUUUUUCACACCAACUGCACCAGCAAGGAAAGUAACAUUGAUCGAAACAUACGAUACCAAAUCUUCUAGAUUUCACACAGCACUUAUUCAUCACUAGUUUCUCCUGUUUUCAUUUUCUAGAUUCCACACAGCAUUUAUUCUUCACUGGCCUCAGGUAUUUUUUCAUAAACUUCCAGUUCCCUGAAUCUCCGAGGAAGUAAACAACGACCACCAAACUGCUGCUGGAAGUGAAUGAUUGCAGCAAAAAGCAAACCAACAAACAGGAUAGCGACAUCCCAACCAGUGGAGUAGAUGUCUGCAGCAGGAUCAGCAUAAAUGUACGAACCAUCGAACUCCUGAACAUAGUUUUGGGCACUGUAAAUAUCAUAUGCGUGUGGCACCAAGCGGACAACAGUCAAUCCGAUGUAGAAGAAGCGGGAAAGUGCAUUUUCUCUUGAGUUGUGAAAGAUGUUGAGGAGAAUUUGAGGUAAGAGAAAACCAUCCAGGAUCAAACCAGCAUAUGAUCUCAAGUUCCCCCAAAGAGAAUGCUGGUGGUUGUUAUAGAGAAAAGAUUGUGCCAUUAUGCCAGUUUUGCUGGUCCUCCAGUUUACAAACAGAGCUAUUAAGGCUCCAGCUAGAUACACUGGCACGGUCAGGAAUAAUGCCUUUUUCUCAGCAGUCCACAAGGCCUUCAGGCUGUUGUCACGCAUUCUUCUGGACAAUGAGUGCUGGAGAAGACGACAAUGCAACAGAAAAGCCACCAUUGUGACUACUCUUACAAUCACUUCUUGCACCUCUAGCCAUCCUCCACUUCUAAGCAAGACAGAGUGGGGAUACUCGUUUUGAAAGAACAAGGCUUCAAAAUUUAGAACAAGAAGAAUCAUGUGACCCAGAGUGAGAAUCGCAAGCAUGAGAAGCGAAAUGAAAGGAAGAACAUCUGGGUGCUUUUUCACGUACAGGAGUUGAAAUACUACAAAGAUACACGCAAGUGUCUUCGAUAUCAGAACCAUGAGGAGCUCCAAAUCCAUCCUCCAUAUUGAUCGUCUCUCUAGGAUCCUGUAAUAAGAAGUGGCAGAGACAAACAGAGGUUCAAAGUAAAGAGAAUCAGAUUUGUUGCGUAAACUUGUAAUUCUUCCUCUGAUAAAACCUCCCUUCGUCAUUGCAUUUAGUGGAGGAAACUGCAGACGGAUGCUAAUCUCGCAGUCCGUAGAAUUAUUGCUCGAUUUCUGAUAUUUUAAGCCAGCAUCUCUACAGCCAACCAUGCAAAGGACUCCUGUUUCUGAAUCAUAAAUCCCUUCAGCAUAUAUUGCAACUCGCCUCUCCCAACUUGAAGAAAUGUUGAAUAAACUUUCCAAACCACCCAAUUUCAGAUAGUAAUACGGUCUCAAACUUAUUUUGUAGCUGAUAUUGAGUGGUUUACUACUGCUGAUAUUUGAUUCAACAGAGCUUGUGGUACUCGAGCUUGACCAUGAUAUGAAGGAUUCUGACAACGGAGAGAUUUGAUCAUCAACAGCUAUUGGAAGUGCAUGGCCCCAUGCAAUUUCCCCUCCAGAGAUUUUGACAGAAAUGCCAAAAUUCAUUUCUUGGGAAAAUCCAUCCGGAUAUUUUUCCAAACUGUUUCUCAAAGGUUUCUUCUGCAAGCAUGACAUAUUUCUUACCUUUUCCAUCUCUGUGUAUUCAUACUUCAGUCCUGGAACUUUAAGCACUUCAUUAUCCGUACUUUGGAACAGAAUCCUCCCAAAAUAACCUGUAUCAUUCAAAGCUCUGUUGCUCCAUAUUUGGCCUGACAUGCUGGUAGAUUCUCUGAUUGACCAAAUUGCAGGAAAUCUUAAUGUCAGCCGUAUUGAACAAUCUUCCACACGAGAAUUGUCCAAAGAGUCAUGUGUGUUCAAAAUUCUGCAUGCUGCAACACACAGCCGAUUCUUCUUCCAAUCCCAUGAUCCUUCUGCAACAAAAGUUGUUUCUGGAUUGAAACUGCGGUAAUAGCCAACAUCGCUACUAUUCGGAAAUUCCAUCAGAAACCUCAAUCUUUGUCCCUCUUUUGAACACUGAAUGGUGUUUAAAGACAUUACUUGAGGCAAAUAUCCCACAGCAUCACCAAAAGGAUUGCAACUUGUUGAAGAAUUGCAAUCACUUGCAUACUCUAACUCAAAUUCAUUGACUCGCCUCUCAAGGAUUGAACAAAUAGUUGAACUGACCUGUAAUCUGAGCGACAAAUUCUCUGCUGGAACACUGAUCUCACCAGAACACUUGUUCUCGAGUUCUUUCGAAAACAUAGUGUACUGGUAAUUGGUUUCAGGGAAUAUCAACAAGGAAAUAGGAUCAAAAUAGUUUGGAUCGUCAGCAGAACUCACGCUCCGCAACGUUCCAGCUACAAGAUUGGUAAUAUUACUUGAAUCUUUUACACCAUUAAGCUUUAGAACAGCAGGAUGAUGAAGCAGAUUACCUUCUGGAGAGUAACUAGUACUUGAACCCACCAUGCAAAGCUUCCCGGAUGAUUUUGACCAGAAGCCUUUCAAGCUAAAGCUCAAAGCGCUAUCAUCUCCAAUCCUUAGAGGCGAGAAGAAUGAAUGACCAUAAGUCCUACCGUGUCCAAAAUGGUACGAGUUGUAGAAGUGCAAAUUCCCCUCAAAUUUGAAGACACCUUCAGCAUUAGUUGCAUAGACGCUCUGGGUGUGAAACAACAGAAGGUUGUGUUUAUUUGAAGAGUAUUCAGAUGGGUUUGGAUCGAGUACUCGAUCCCCACCAUCAUAGUAACCAUUUUGGAAGCGAAGGAAUGGUAAGGAGGCAAACUCAGGGGCGGUUGCUGUUGACUCUGGGACAACUGAAGCACAGUGGUCACUGUAAGAGAUUUGAGUUCCAUUGCAGUGAGUUGAAAGCAGGAGAAAUAUGAAAGUAUGAAUAAGCCAUGAAAUCAGAAAGCAGCAUCCAUGCAAAGUAAGAGGAACCGUAGCCAUAUGCAUAGAUUGUAAAAGACGGGAAGAAAAUUUAGUCACCACAGGAAGUUGAGUUAUUCAUUUUAAGUCGUCUAUUUAUGCAUCAUUCAUGUGUCUCUUCCCUUAGAAAUUUCCUACUACAAGACUUGAGAGAGUAGGUAGAAGUCUUUGGAUCAUUUACAUGAAAAGCUUACUUGGACAUGAACCACUUACUUUGACACGUGCUUUGAAUCUUAAGUUGAAUAAUUUUGGAUAAUUUGUCUGUGAGAUUGUAUGGUCUAUAUAAAAUCAGAAAUGAAUGUUAAUGUCAAUAGCUCUAAUGUCAAGUUCACAUUGAUUAUUCAUGAAGAAAAGUCAUACUCCCACCUUGAAAGUUCUUCUUGAGGCAUGAAAUUCUAUGCGUGCACAUGGGGUUUGAACCAGAGAAAACGUUAACCGGGAUACUAAUAGUCCACUGAUGGUGAUCGAUGGAAAUGUUUAAUAAAAAUGAAAUUGCUAGGAAUUUGACAAGAGGGAAUGGUGGACUUUCAAAUAAAGUUAUUUGUUUACAGAAAAAAAUUUGUUGAAAUUUUAUAAAUAUGUAUUCAAAGAACAUUAUCUCCAGACAAUUUUAUUUACAUAAUGUAAAACUGAAGAGGAGUCACAGCUACGUAGCAGCAACAUAUAAAUAAAGUCGAUGAGAUUAAGAGUGCUUUAACAUAUAAAAAAUUAAAAAGAGUACUAAUGUAACUUAUUUUGCAUGGUUGAAAUAUAUAAGAAAACCAACUACAACUGGAGAAUUAACAACUGUUCAAAUGUAGAAUGAAUAGGCCAAAGAAUUCUGUGACAAAUUGCAAUCUCUGUGCUCUGUUCUUCCUGGGAAGCAAUAUUGGGCUUUGCAUCCCAAAAUACGUAUACUUAAUUAAGAGAGUCCGUAACUUACAAACUAAUCCAAGAAGUCACUCGUUGGUGAUGUGGGAUACUACAAUCACUCACUCUCGAAACCUUACUACUACUAAUUCCAAAAACGAACCCUCAUUUCCAACAUUUAAAGACCGAUUCUCACUCGAAAAAUUUCUCAAAGACAGAUGCAAUCGGGUAAUUUUACUCCCACUGAAGCUCUUUGUUUCUUUGAUUCCAUGAUCAAAAUGCAGCCAGCUCCUCCUCCUGCGUCUUCCUUCAACAUUUUGUUUGGUGGUCUUGCUAAGGGUAAGCAAUAUGAUACUCUUUUUUUACUAUACAAGAGACUUAAUUCAGUUGUUGGGUUGUUGCCAGAUUGUUUAUUGGUUAAUUGCUUUUGCAAAAUGGGCAGAAUGCGUGAUGGUUUUGUAGUUUUUGGGAGAAUCCUAACUGGAUAUAUUGUAGAGGCUAUUGAACUAUUCCAUACUUUGAGGAAUCUCAAGUUUGAACUUAAUGUUGAAGCCUACAACUGCCUUAUUGAUGGAUUAUGUAAAUCAGGCACACUCGAAAUCGCAUGGAAAAUUUUUAAUAGCUUGCUUAAUAAGGCCCAAUUCCAAGAAGAGGUAGGAAACCCAAUCCAAUUCAAUGAACCCGAUUUAACCCAAUCUAAUUUUGAAGGAUUGAGUGAAUUAUUAUGGGUUAAUUGAGAUAAUUUUUUAGAAUUUAAUUAAUAAUUGGGUUGGGUAAGGUUAAUUAUGAACUCAUCCAACCCAUCCCAACUCAUGUAAAUAAUAAUAAUAAUAUGUAUAUUCUCAGUUACAAAAUUCUAAAGAUCUAAAUGGCUAACUUAAUUUCUAAUUCUUUUUUAUUUUUUUAGAAGAGAUUAUUUCAUUCUUGUAUCUGCUAUUCUAGACUCUAAUUUUAAAAAUAAAAUCACUCUCUCAUAUAAAUAAAUUUAUUAUCUUAUAAGUUUAAAUUUGAAAAUAAAUUGGUUUCAAUUUCUCUUUAUUUUUAGUAAACAAUUAACAAUAAAUAACUAUAAAUAAAUUUCAUGUUUUUACUAUAUAUGAAGCUAGUUAAUUAUUUAAAAGCUCUGAAUUUAGAAUUAAAAAAAGAGAUGUGGGAAGCUAGGAAUAAAGACUAGAAACACAUUGCCCAAAUUUUCUUAAUUUGAAGGUAGUUGAUUUUUAAACUUUUUUUAUCGAACACUAGACAGUAAAUAAAAUUUUUAUGUCAUAAUAUAUAUAUAUAUAUAAUUUUAAUAAGUUUCAUUUCAUAUCUCAUAUCUUUUUUUAUUUAAAUUUAAUUUUAAUUUGACCUUCAACUCGAUCAACCCAACCCAACUCGAUGAUUUAAGGUUGGGUUGAAUUGAGUUAAAUAAAUUUAUUUAAUUGAGUUGGAUUGAUUUUAUUUCAACCCAUUCAAUAAUGGGUUAGGUUGGAUUUUCACGUACCCUAUCCAACCCAACCCAUACCCACCCCAUGUUGUGACAUAUAUGAUACAUAGGUUUGUAAUAAGAGGCAAAUUGGAAGGCAAAUGAUUUAUUUCUUGAUAUUUAAUAACGUCAUGCACGGUUUCAUCCGAAAUAACGAGACUUCAAAAGUUAAUUAACUUCUUCAGAAGAUGGAGAGAAAUGUAAUGCCAGAUGCUUCCAUAUUUUCAAUAGUUGUGGACUUAUUGGUUGCUUCCAUAUUUUCAAUAGUUGUGGACUUAUUGGUGAAGAACGAAAUUAGACAUGGCUGACACUUCCGAAAGAUUUGUUGUUUCAUCAGAUAACUUUCAAAGUCUAGCAACUUUUUGCUGUAAAAUAGCUUCUUCUUUUUUUUAUUCAAUUCAUAAUUUUCUUCUCAUGAUGUCUCUUUCUCAUUUGCUGGAAAUAUUAGUUCUUUAAGCUCUUCCAAUUUAAGACCUUUUGUUCUCUGAAGUAUAUGAGAUGGCAUUUUAUUUUUCUUCUGUUAGAGGGUGCAAGAUUAAUGUCAAAUCUUUGCUGUAAUUAGAUUUAUUGUAAAAGCCCAAAGCUCAAACCUAACAACCAAGUAGAUAAUAUUUGUUUUGACAGAUCACCCAUCACAAUUUUGUUAUUAGGUUUUACAAUUCAAAAUGCAUUUAUCUAAUUAGAGUAUCUCCAAAAGGUUUUAUUAAUUUUACUUUUCAAAUAUCUAUUUGCUUACCUAUAUAGUAAAAAAGAUAGUGAAAAAUAUGUUAUUCUCUAAAAGGUUCUCUCAAGUAAAAUUAAGUUAAUAUUAUUUUAAUCAAAUAAAUAUAUUUUUAAAAGAAAAAUAAAUGAUAAUUAAAGUACUUCUCUCACUCUCCAAUAAAAAGUAAUAAAAUAUAAAUAAAAAAGGGAGAAAGCAACUCUACAAAAAUUGAAGAGAGAGAUUAUUUUUUAUUUGAAGAAUCCUAAUUGGAGUAUUUUUUGGAGUUUUAAAUGUUGAUGUGGCUCUUCAAAUAAAUAAUAAAAUAUUAUUUGAAGAGAGCAUCUCCAAAAGACUUUUUAGAUUUUACUUUUCAAAUAUCAAUUUGCUUACGGAUGUGGCAAAUAAGUGGAUGGAAAAAUAUAAUCUUCUCCAAAAGACUCAUCGAAUAAGAAUAAGUUAACAUUAUUUUAAUCAAAUCUUUCCACUAUUAAAUUGAAUUGUUGUUAUGUUUUUUAAAGGAAAUAUAAAUAAUAAUUAUUGCAGCCUUAUCUUUUCAAUAAAUAAUAAUAAAAUAUUAAUAGAAGAUGGAGAAACUCACUCGGCAAUAUUGAAGAUUGAGAAACAAAUCUUAUUUGAAGAAUCUAAAUCAAUGUGUCGUUUGGAGUGUUUAAUAUUAAUAGGACUCUUCAAAUAAGAAGUAGAAUUUUAUUUAAAGAGUCUUUUGGAGAUGCUCUUAGGAGAGCUCAAGGCUUAUAAACUAAUCUAGAAACGCUCUCGCUAGAGAUGUGGGAUUUUACAUACUUUUCCCCUUGAAGAUCUCAUAUCCUUGUGAGGAACUCUCUUACUAGAAAUGUGGGAUAUCACAUACUUUUCUCCUUAAAGACUCUGUGUCCUCUUGUGGGUCAUUAGAAAUAGAACAAAACAAAAUAAUAUCAUACAGAGUGAUCAUUUAAUAGCUAUUUUACUUUAAUCUAACCUAUAAAAAUCAAAAUCAAAGAUUUAUCUAUCCACACGUAGGGUCGCGAGUCGACUCUGAUUCCAAUUGUGACACUCUAAAUACUCGCUUUAGGCACAACUCAUCACAGUUUUAUUAUUGGGCUGUGCAACCCAGAAUACAUCUACCUAGUUAGGAGAGCCCAUGACAUAUAAAUGAGUCCAAGAACUCUCUCACUAGUCAUGUGGGAUGUUACAGUUAUUGUUUACGAUUUAUUGAACUUCUCUUUCAAGAUUUGCUAACCUGAAUUAAUAUCAAUGCGUGAAAUGGAGCAUCAAUCAAUGCCUCACAAUUUAUGCUUCUUCUUUAAAAUGAUUCAUUCCGAAUGUUGCUAGGUUAAUGUUUCUUCUGGAAUCAACCUGGUGUGAGCGUACUCAAACAUAUUAAUUAUUUAAAAUAAUUCAAAACAAAAAUUUUAAAACUUUAUUUAUUUACAAAAUACCAUUCACUUUUAUUAGAUGGCUGGAGCUUUUAUUUUACAACAGCCGUUAAAAACCAUAACACCACAAUAUCAAACCAAAGACAGACUGCUUUUAAGGUAUAACUCUUUUUUCAUUGUUGAAACUUGAAGAAACCACAACUGGAGAAUGGAGAAUAAUUUCACACCAUCUGCAUCAGCAGCCGGAGGCUUAAAAUUUCCGAAUUCCAUGGCCAAUUAGGUUUCACUAACAAGAGAAACCUUCUCAUAUGCCUGGCCAUCUAUAAAUUUCUUGCGAUCAUUGCAACAACCCCCGAACAGCUGCUGCAGGAAAAUGACUGCAGCAAACAUCAUACCUCCUACAGAAACAAUGAUGUUACAAGCAUCAGAGAAAUAAUCUGCAUUGGUAUGGAGAGCAUGGUAUGCAUGUGGCAGCAAUCGGAGACUGGUCACUCCAAUGUAGAAUGAACUAGCCAAAGCAUUGUCUUUGGAGUUUCGGAAUAUGUUGAACAGGAUUUGAGGCAACAGAAAUCCGUCCAAGACAAAACCUGCGUACAAUUUCAGGCCCUCCCACCGCUGUGGCUGAGGAUAAAAUCUUUGGGGAGAUGAGAGAAACCCGAGAUAAUGAUUGUGCUCCCUCCAGUUAAAAAGGUAAAAUAUGAUAGCCCCUGCAGCAUAUAAUGAGAACGACACAAAUAGAGACCGCUUCUCAGCUAACCACAAGCCUGGUUGGCCUUGCCCAUCAGCCUGUUUUGCCGACCAUGAAAGUUGCAGUAAUCGGAACUCUAACAAGAAAGCUACCAUUGUUAUUAUCCUUACAAGCACUUCAUUCACUUCAAGCCAUCCACCUCUGCUAAGCAAAACACGUGGCCUGUCGAGAUUUUUCAGGAACAGGGCUUCAAAGUUUAGCAUCAGGGGAAUCAUGUGUCCUAAACUAAGAAGCAAAAGCAUAACAAGCGAAAUGGAGCGAAGCAUUUCGGGAUGCUUCUUCACAUGCAAAAGCUGCAACCCCACGAAGAUACAUGCAAGAGUGUUGGAUAUAAGAGCCACGGUUAUCUCCCAAUCCAUCUUGGAAAUGGACUUUUUUACAGCAAAUGCAGAAUAACUAACAGAAUAGACUUCCAUUGGUUCAAAAUAAAGAGGGUCUGAUUCCAGCCGCAUGCUUUUGAUGCUUCCCUUGAUAUGAUCUUCAUUCUCCUUAGGAUUUGAUGGCGGAAACUGGAAGUUUAGAAGAAUUUCACAGUCCAUGGAAUCACUGGUUGAUGAUAGAUUAUUGGAGAAAAUGCUUCUACAACCAACCAUGCACAACUGUCCUCUUUUUGAAUCAUAAAUUCCUUCAGCUGAAAUCUCCACUCCCUCAUAAGAACUCCUAGAUAUAUCAAGAGAAUAAACCUGACCACCAAAAGUUGCUCCAGGUAGUAAUCUGAUGCCAAUUUUGUAGCUGAUGUUGACCUGGCUGUUUCGAUUGAAGCUUUCUUGAACUUUAGGUCUAGAAGUACUUGAACUUAAGGGCAUUUUACUAUAUAGGUACCGUGGAUAAAACUGAUCGCCAACAGAAAGAGGAGUUGCGUAACCUCGAGAACUGUUUGCAUUAGGUCUGUGAACACGAAUAUUGAACUGCAUGUCGUAAGAAUGCUCACUUGGAUAUUUCUUCACAUUGCUCUUUUGAGGCUUCCACUUCGGCCAACAUAAUUCUCUUGCUCUGUUGAUUUCUGAGUAUUCAUACUUCAAACCUGAGACUGUUCUGAAAGAAUUCUCAGAAUUUUGAAAAUGGAUCUUCUCGAAGUAACCAGAAUCAUUCACAGCUUUUUUGCUCCAAAUUUCCCCCACGAUGUUCCUGCUCUGUCUGAUUGACCAGAUUGAAGGGAAGCUCAAACUCAACCUUGUGGUGCAAUCUCCAAUAUAAGCAUUAGCCAAAGAUUCUGCUGAGUUCAGAAAUCGGCAAGCCACAAUAAAUAGCUUAUUCAUCUUGUCAUCCCAAUAUCCUUCUGCGACCAAUGUUCUGUUGGGAUCAAAUGGAUGGUAGUAUCCAACAUAGCUACUGUUAGGAAAUUCUACAAGAACUCGCAAUCUCUUUUCCUCUUCCAGGCACUCAAUUUGCUUUAAGGAAACAACACGAGGAAAAUAUCCAUCUGUCGAGUCACUGAAAGGACUGCAUAUAUUUGCAGAACUGCAAUUACUGGAGUACUUCAAAUUAAAUUCAUUUCCUCCUAGGACUACAGAACAGAAACUUGUUCUGGGCAGUGAACUAAGUGGUAAACAUUUCACAGUAUCAUUUCCACCAGAAAAUUCAUUACUUAAAUCUUUUGAAGCCAAACUAUACUCAUAACUCAUUCUUGGCGGAAUAAGUAUAGAAAUUGGCUCAAAAUAGUUUAAAUCAUUAGCAGAACUCAUGCACUCCAACCUUCCACUUACCAAAGUUGUAACAUCACUUGAAUUCUUGAGAUUACUAAGCUUCAGGACAGCUGCAAGGUUGGGUAACUCAUCUUCUGUUCCCACCAUACAAAGAUUACCAGAAGAUUCUGACCAGAACCCGUGUAGCCUGAAUCUCACUAAACUUCUCCUACGGCGAACUCCUGGCUCAUGAGAAAUGGCCCCUGGAUCAUAUGAUUUAGCUACUUGCACAUACGUAACACCUCCGUCGUAGGAAUAAGUGUUUCGGCUUCGUAACAACAAUGUUCCUUCAAUUCCAAACACACCAUCCUUCUCAGUUUUGUACACAUUCGGGGUGCGAAAGGUGAGUGAGUAUGCGUUCUGAGAGAGGAUCUCAUCGCCUCCAGUGUAGUAGCCAGUGUGGAGUCGGGGAAAUGAUGAGAGGGCAGGUUCAAAUUUGUUCAGAGUCGAUUCGGGGACUAU
rnacentral:lncRNA from 1 species